UUUUCCAGUGUGACUUCCACCGCUCAACCUCUGCUUCCUGCUAAAGACUAAAGGAAUAUCAGCUUCACUCGGUUCUUAAAGUCUUGUUUGUUGAGAUUGAGGUUCUUCUUCACCGACACAAUCACUUCUCUACUUUAUACUUCUGGAAUAAGAUUUCAAAACAUAGGGAAUGUCCUCAGAAUUAAUUGAAUCUUUUGAUCCGCGAGGCAAGACUGAAUUUGGAACUCCUUUAGCCGACGCCGAGUCAACAACUUCUGUUAGCGCCUCAAAGCCUGUAGCUUAAGAUUCUUAUAGCAUUGGUUACUGGGUUGGUAAAGAGCACAGGGUUCCUAACGCGCCCCACCCCAAGAGGAAGGAUAGGUCGGGGUUGUCAGUUCAUCAAAUCCAGUUCUGGUAUAGAUUGCUGAGUUGCGGUAAACCAUUGAUUUGAAGCUGUUCUCAAGUCAGCUGCUGUGAGAUGUGAGAGUUGCAGACCGGAGAAGGAUAUUCAUAAGAAACAGGAACCAGAGGCAGAAGCUAAGAAUACAGAAAAAGCCAAGCGUAUACUAGUGGAAUUAGUUUCAUCCCCAUAUUCCCUUGUUUCAUCCCUUGUGUCAGUUGCCAGAGGAACAGAAAUGGGUAAGCUUAUGAAUUGCCAGUUUACAGUUUCAUCUUAUUAUAAAGAAAAGUCUCAAGCAGUAGCGGAAUGAAGUAUCUGAGGCUGUAUCCAAAUCCUUAUUUGUAUCAGAAUACGAAGCGGAAUCGGCUGUGGAAGUAGUUCUGGCAUUGUCUUAGUUCUGGCAUUGUCUUAUUAUAGGUUCAAUAUUUCCUUUCCCCGGUGAACUCACAUAUGUAAGCCAGUGAAAACAGGACAGUACUUGAGCCAAGGAUCGGAUACAGAUGAACUUAGCGCUUCAACUUCCUACAAGUCCUUUGUUUAGCAAGCGGGUAUCUCGGGUUCAAGUAAGCUGUUAGAGCGGAUACAGCAGUAGAUGAUUCAAAAUACCAGAAGAGAGGCAAGUCACUGUAGUAGUAGCAGUUAGAGCAGUUGCAAUAAAGAAAGGUGUAUUGUUGGGUUCUUGUUUUCCUGCGUAACACGGGUGGAUAUCCCUCUUCUUUUCUCCUACUCUAGAUACGGAUACAGCAACUGAUCCUUCAACUGAAACUACCUAUUCUCUCGUCGAUUCAUUUAUAUAGCAAUAGCACAGGUGGGAUACCGCAAGGACAGAAAGAUACUCGUCUCCAACAACAAGAACAAGAGCUGGACUCCUACUACUGGGCAGCUACUACCCGGCUUGGCACUGCUUCCAUUGGACUCCUACUACUGGGCUGCUACUACCAGGUCGAUCAUAGGAUUAUGUUUAGAUCCAUAGCACUUAAUAUAGGAUUAUGUUUAUAAAGACACUCGCAACGAAUACACUCGGUAUUCCACAAUAACAGAAACAUCAUUUCUAACAGAAACAUCAUUUACUGAUCUAGCAUCUAAUCUUUAUUCGACUCCUGCAGAAAUACAAUCAACAGGCAAUUGAAUUGGGCCAGCGGGAUUACACUUGAACUCGAGUAGCAUGUCGUCCGCCCUUACCUUACCUGUAAACCUGGACUACCACUAGUUGGGGCUGGAAACCCGGACUUCUCCUCUUGCUCCUAGUAGUAGCUUUCCGGCUUGGCUCUUACUUGAAACUAACACUCCUGGCUCGGCUCCUGUACAUAAGGUAGGAAUUCUCCGAUCAUAAGAUCUAGUACAGAAGAAUAAGGGAUCUACUAAUAAGAUACUAAAACUAAGGGACCUGUCUGAAACUAACACUCUCAACGGGGGAUCUAACUGCCUAACUAUACGGCUGCGACUACUGAUUCUAAGACAACAACCAGUGCUGGAAAGAAUGACUCUAUUGAAGCAUACUUCCAUUGGAAACUCGGAACCAACUACUAGCUAGUAGGAUCGAACUGUUGCUUCUCGGGCUGCCCUUACUCGCUUCAACUCUAGCUAUCCAUUCUUUGACUUACUUAUUCCAUUAUGUACUCCUACAUAGAGAUACUGGGCUCCUUUACGGAGUAGAGUUCUUGCUUGUGAGUUUUUGUAUCGUACUCCCGGGGUUCAAACAACAUCCCUGCCUCUUAUCCUACUAUUGAAGGACUCGAUGCAGUCUUUUACUUACUUCUCCGAUUCUCCAAAUGCUGGCUAUUAACCUGAUAGGUUCCCCAAUAAGCUUCUAUUCUUUAGCUUCAAUAUCAACAUCAACCUGGCUCUAACUCCUCCGCUACUUAUUCUCAAACUCACUACCUUGCGCUUCAGUCUAUAACCCAGUACUAGUGCUUCUAUAUAGCUACUUCAGACUGAAACAAGUGGUAUCAAGACCAACAACCCUAGUCACUUCCUUCAUAACUACUAACUGCCUUCCUCGCCUAGUAACAGACUUCAUAACUAGUAGUGGGCUUCGGGGAGUCGAUAGGCUUCCUAACAACUAACUGACCUAGCCCAGUAACUGAAUGAAACAACAAUCCCUAGUAUAGGAAUGCAACCAGCCUCCCCUAGCCUUCAUUUCCUUCUUCUCAACCUAUACCUAUUGUUUCAUCCUAUUAUAAAGAAAGAAUAUCAUAGUAUACAUAGGCAAAGAGUGACUUAUACUUAGAGGAGUUGUGUUAAGACUUCAUAGCUCAAUACUCUUAUUAUGUUUUAUACCUGAAUUCGGCUCCUCGCCAGUACUUUACUCUGCCCCGACCUAUCUCCGACAAAGAAAGUACUUAUUCUAUUGAUUUACUAAAUGCUAUACUACUCGUGAUAAGAGAUAUAUUCCAAUUCUGAACUGAAAGUCUAUACGAUUGAAGGCAGAAUCAAAUCGAAAAGAAGCUGCCCGCUCACUAUAGCCCUCCGCUCCAACUCCCAGGUAGCCUAAUUCAGUAUCAACGUCAGUAUCAUCUCAUUCUUUACUAACAGGAGCUCGAACCACAAGUGAAAUUCCCUUAGUUUCAAUUCCACAAGCAGGAGAAGUCCAGUCGACAAAAGAUGGAGCUGGAUCAAGAUCAAGUUAGUCAGCAGUGUUAGAGCCUGUUGAGUUAGGAGUGAGCGGUUCCUCGAACACUAGUGGCCCUGCCGCCCUUAAUGCAGGACUCCCGAAGAAAGGUUAACUCUGGAUGCGGUUAUAUCGUAUUUCUUAUUCAUUCCCUAUUCAUUCUAGUUAAUAAUGUCUUUCUUACUUGCUUUGAUAUGAGGUGUACAAAACCCUCUGUUCGCCUAGUGCUUGUUGGGAAAGUUGACUGCCGCGUAACUAGAACUCGCUGACGCACUUGUUCUUGCGGAACUCCCGUUAGCACAAGUAAAAGAUGCAAAUGCUAUAAGGUAUAUCAAAAGUCAUAUUACUUCUCUAAUGGACUAUAGACCUAUAUUAUCUAAUAUACAAUAGGCGUAGCGCAAGUCCAGAAUCAACAGUUGCUUGUUUGGUGCUAGUUUCUUUAAUCCUAUCAUCCUAUAAGAGGUAUGGGGGUGAAGCAGGGAGAGGUGCGAUAUCUCGGUGUUGCAGUAAGUUCAUAGUCUUCUAGUCCCGCUCUAGCAAGCAAAGUGAGUUCUUGUUGUACGGUUGACUUUCUUGUCGGUUCAGUUCUGCAAGUGGAGUUUGCUUUAGGAAAGUUCGUUUGUGUGCGAGUCGAGUAUCACGGUGUUGUAUCAAGCAAGUGUCUACUAGUAGCUCUCAUAUCGCCCAAAGUGUCUUCACCUAUAAACCCAACAAGUAACCACUAGACAAGUCACUUGUUACGCGUCAUCGAGUUACCUGUUACGCGUUAUAAAAGUUUCAUCAUAUGUAAGAAGAAGAUCUCGGAUCAACUGCAGAAGUCAAGUAUAAAGAAUCAUAAAUAGAAAGUUCGUCAGCAGCAAGCGCUAAGUCAAGAAGAAGCAAGUAACUGUAAUCAAACAAAGAGAGGCGAUAAAGAAGGAGGUAAUCAAACAUAUAGGUAGCUGAACCAGCAACAGAACUGGAUCAAGCAACAAGACUCAGUGCUAAUGUUCCAUUUCCAUUCAUGUUUUCCUCUGCGCUCGAUGUCAAGUCAGUGCCGAUUUCGGGUGCACCAUCUUACAACUAUUUCUUAUUAGAGUAACAAAGGGAAAGCCUAUAUACAGAACAGGAACACGGAUCGGAUUCCACUCAUACAUAAGUCAGAAUGGGAUCUCUCUUGCACACUGAUAGAGGGAUGUCAUAACCAAACUGUUUCUUCCGUUGUUUGUAGAAUGGAAGAAAAGAAUGGAACUGACACGUAAAAGGGAAUAGGAUAGGGUAUGGUCUCGUAUAGAAAGCUUGUAAUAAGGGAAUCCGAGUUAUAGGCCUUUCUUGGGACUUACCCGCUUCGCUUCCUUUAGCCUCUAAUUCGAUAUAAGAUUGAAGUUAAGGUGAAACACCAACCUCUAUAGGAUUCAAGUUGCAAAGAGCUGAACCCCUAUUAGACGUAAAGCCAACAAACACGGAUUCAACAAUCACAGUCAAUUCAUAAGCUCACUUUUGAACGGCUUCAUAUCUUUCUUCCUCACUAAGCAUCUAAUCUUGUUUGCCAACACAGAUUCCACUCGGGAUGCUAAGGGCUAACAUGUGGUAGAGUCAAGUCACUAGAGUCAAGUCACAAGUAUUUCUAUACAAUAUGCUACUAAAAAGCGACUCGCGAUGAAACAGAUGAAACACCCCAACCGCCUCCGGACUCUUUUCUUUAACCUAACUAGAAUAAGGUACUCUGGCUUUGAAGCGCUAAGUGGUCAAUGUUUCUUUGGGUGCUUCUUAAACUGGAGCGAGAAAGUAAGGUGUUUAGGUCAGAUCAUCGCUGGUCACAUAGUCGCCCGAGGUAUUAUAUCAGAUAGUUGCCAUAGUCGCCACCAAGUAUAAGAAAUAACAUCUGAAUUCUCUCUUCUCUGACAUGCCUAGCUCCCUCUUUUUUGUCGGUAGGGAGAAUCAGUGCCCUUACUGGGUUAGUUACAGGGUUCAAUGAAUUGUAGCCCGAGUGAAAAUAGCCAUAGGUAGAUUAGAGUCCAGGUCCAGGCACAGGCCCAACAACAACAAGAUCUGAAGCCGGGGAAGACCUUUAGCUAUCGGGCGUAAGGCAGCUAGGCACUACUAAUCUCUGGAAACACAGAUCUUUCAGCAGCAAGUGGUGAUGUUUUCGUAAUAACUCUUAUUGGCUGCCGUUUUUCAGCUCGCUGACGCUCUUUUAACUCGCUACCGUUUAGCUCAGGCUCCUACCGCACAACGUCCGAGCACAGAUACUGUAAUAACUUCGUUAUGACUUCUGACUAUUGCUGACGCACAACAUUAGCAGUUGUUUGUCCCGUUGCUUGGUCAUUAGUAGUUGCUUGGUCGAACACAUAACUAGUAAUAACUGGGGAACUCUAGCGGCCCUGCCGCGCAACAUUAGUAGUUGCUUGGCCCUAUUGUUGUUACUGCCGCACAACGGCGUAGCCGUUGCUUGGCGUCUAGUCUAAGCUUGGCCCCCAACAAGCAAUGGGAGAGAGGCGAGAAAAGAAGCAAGCUACGUUCGAGUUAAGUCCAUUAGAUCAUCAGUAGUUUCAAGAUCAUAAGCAGUGGGGUAUUUCGGAAACAACUAUCAAUCUGGUCUUCAAGCCUUCAACUAGAAAUCCGCUUUCUCUUGCCUUUACUCGGACAAGGGGUCGGGGUUUCUAUUGCCUAUAAAACAGUGUAGCUCCCCCGCUCCCUUAUGAUGACUUUAGAAUCGACAGAAGCACAAGAUCGGAAGAAACGGAAUCAGGGUAUUGAGCUAGGCAUGCUAGAUCUACUAGGUAACUUCCCUCCCCUUUUGCCGACCUAACGGCUUCUUCUCUUGAUUCUACUCCUGCAGAAAUACAAUUAACAGGCGCAGGACUUACUCAUAACCGCCGGACUUAACCGGAGUUUGCUUGAGAAUUAUGGCUUGAGGUAUGGGAUAAGAGGAGAGAGAGGCUUUGUUGCGAGGUGUGGUCCACAGAAUAGAGUUUUCUACUUAAAGAAUCGAUUGUAGCUGACUUUAUCACUCUCACUGGAACACCGGAUUUAGAGUGGAAUACCGAGUUUCGUCUUCAAGUCCUGUGUUCGCCUUCCUCAUCAGUACAAGAAUCCAUACUUUAUUAAACGCACACAGGUAAGGGGCGGGCCUUAGCUCGCUUGCUUAUUGACUUUCGAGCAGAGGAAUAAGAAUAAGGGAAUAUAGAAUCCGACUACUGCUUUUCCUCCUUUAACUUAGAACUUUGACUUCACUACUGGUAGCUAACUCUUGCUUGACUUUCUUUUGAAACUUAUACUGAUGCUAAUAAUAAUUGAGCUACUACUGGCAAGGACCGAACAGGUGCUAUGAUAGAACCCAACUGCUGGUAACAAGAAUUGAUUACUACCUACUAAGACUUUCAUCACUGUUAGCAAGGCUUUCACAACAAAUAGGGAAGUUACACUCACCCUGACUUUCCGUUUAUAGCUGCUGAACCGGCUCUCAACACCGUAUCCAUGCUUUGAUUCUAACUAUCCUGAUUGACUCUUGCUUUGAGUCUACAUAUCCCCUGCACCUAAUUCUCUGACUUGCUAGGGGGCUGAUCUGCAACUUCGCCUACACCCUAUUAGUAAGUCCGCCUUUCCUGUAACUCAGACUUCCCUUACUGUAUACUUACCUUACUGUAUAUAAGGCUUACUAUCCAACCGAACGAACUAAGUCUCACUUUCCUAGCUAACAAACUCAAACUACCGAUCUGGUUUCUUCUGUUAUACUAGUACAGUCCACCCUACCUCUGACUUUACUGAGACCUAUGAGCCUUCCACCUGGUCUUUCAAUCCAUAUCUCCUUGAUCUCCGCCUGCCCACUCCUUGUACGGGUAAUAAGAAUCAGAAUAGUACUUAAUAGGAAGGUAAUAAGAAUAUAGGAAGGUAAUAAGAAUCAGAAUAGUACUCAAUUGGAAGGUAAUAAGAAUCAGAAUAGUACCUAAUAGGUGAGUAUCCGAAUAGCAAUAAGAGUAUAGGAAGUUCACUACAGGUAACAAGGGUCGAUGUAAUUGAGCUACUGAUAAUGCCCGUAAGUAGAAAACUGCUGAUCUAGCAUCCGGUAACCAAUCAGAAUUACCUCCAGGAGUGCAAGAACCAAACCAGUGCUAACAAGAAUGUAACUCACUAGUCCAAGCCUGAAAGCACUAAAGAUAGGGCUCGCGGGUAUAGCACUAAGAAUUGCACUCAGCUAACUCAGGCUCAUCUAAUCUACUUAUUGCUCCUAUCGACUACUACUUUGCCUCACUCCUACAGUUGCUACUAUCUCCUCGCUUCCUCGCCUGUAGACUCCACUCUCACUGCAGACUGCUUUCCUGGCACAUAGUUUUGACUAACAAUUCUAUUUUGGGUAGGAUAGCUCUAUAGUAGUUGGCAUUAACUUGUCCGGUGAAGGGUAAGCAAAAGGGGGGUUGGUUUCUAGCGCGGUGUGUACUUUCAUUGUCUACAAGUUCUGUUAUAGGCUUGACGUCUAUGAAGGAUGGGUUUAAAGCCCCCCGAGUCUGUUGGUAGUUUCUUUAGUGGUGGAUCAAUUCGUUCUUCAGCAGUAAGCAAAGCAGUGUCAUCGUAUCCUGUUGGUUAAGUAUAAAGUGAUCUCCACGAUAGAUAGUCUCUUUCUUUGUUUUCUAAUUCCUUGCUUUGACUACUAAUCAUUACAGCCUUAACCGAGCGCAGAGUUGUUUCAACUCCCGGUAUAAGCUGCUCCAUUAUACACUAUGUUCUGUGUGAAGUUACUAGCCCCCUCUUAUUCUAACUGACUAAUGCCUUUACGCUAAAGAAGCUUAUUUGACUUGUGCCUUAGCGAGCGAAUGUAUUUGACUACUACUACUAUUCCACUCACUUGUUGAAAAGAGUGAAAGAAUAGAGGAUAGACCCGUUACUUUGAAAAAGGAGUGCCAAAAAAGAAGACAAUAAAAUCAGAUAGGUCCGUAGCUUUGAAAGGAGUGCAAGAAUAGAGGAUGGGCCCCUUGAAACUAAUAGAAUAGAGCUACCCACUACAUAUGUAAUAUCGUUCGUAAAAGCAAUUAUUCCAUGCUAUGCCAUUCGAGGACCCUUUUCCUACUCCUAACCUAAUAAGUGAAAUCGACCUACAUUUGCAUUUUCCCGAAAAUGAAGGCAUAGAUUUGCUUUCUUUCCUUCCCCAGUGAUCCUUCCUUUACCUUUAAGAAUGGAGUUUCAGUAUUGCCAGUUGCCUGAGUUCGGGAAGUAUAGUCAAUAAGAUGUAUAGAUUGCUGAGUUGAAGACCGCAUAGUUAUAUAGUAUAGUUAUCAUAUGAGCUAUUGGAUAAGAAACCCUAUCAAAUAAAGGGGUUGGUGCAAAGUUAAUGUCUACUCGAUCAGAGGUUGGAAAAGAAAGGUUCACUCUGGUAUGCCUGCUUGGCCUGUAUGCCCGGGAUGCCUGCUUGGCCCCUACUAAAGGAUAUCUUCUCUUCAAUUUCCUGUUCUUGCUACUUAAUAUAAGGGCAACUAACCACUCCUUUGACUUUUGUCUGCUUGUCCGGCAGGGAAGGAGACUCUCCCAUUAAUAAGUAAGAUAAAAGCUUGUUACCCGCCUAGGUAUUCUAGAGCUAGAGCACCCACCCUCGCUACUUUAUAUUACAAUUGAACUAAGUCGCCUUAGAGAGUUAUAGGCUUUCCUCGCCAUAAAUAAGUGUAUAGGCUUUUAAGCUGGAAGGAAUGUACUGGUCGGGAAGAUACUUGUUCUCGAAAGAAAAGAAUCGAAUUAGUUGACAGCAGGGCUUUCAGGCGGGAAAGGUAGAGUGCAAGAGGCGAGUAGGCAUCCGAUGUUAGUAUUACAAGAAAGAAAGUGAGGGUGCUUGGUCCGCUAGGUUUAGUUCAAUAGGGUAGUGUUUUUGUCUUGUUAAUCCUUAGUGGGUUUCCCUAUUUCUUGUUUAAGUGCGAGAAGCAGUAAAGUGAAGCCUAUGAGCAGGGUAGGACGUCUUUGAGUAAGCAGUAACAGUAUUCGAAGCAGCGGUCUCAGGUUCAGAACAAGGGGGUCAGUUCAGAGGAUAAGUCUUGUCGGGCACUAAGUUCAGUUAGCACCGGUUCAUUUCGAAAAGUCGUAUUUUAUAGCCAGGAAAGGUAUACUAAAACAAACAAGCAAGAAUCAAGGUAAGAAGUAGAAGACUCCGAAGUGAAAUGCAUAACGCAAGAAAAAGGGCAGGGCUAGGUUCCGAGUUGAGAUCUUGUAGUUGUAGUAGAAUCUCUAGUUCCCAGUUAAAGGAUUCAAAGCAGUAGUUCUUUUCUUUGUAGCAGUGUGUUUCUAUUCUCUUUUCUAUACAGUUGUACUCCUUAAGAUAGUAGCGCGUAUCGGGGACAUAUGGGUGAACUGCGGAAUGCAAGUAACCUGUAUAGGAUAGAAUGUCGGGAAGCAAAGAGAAAAGGCAAAGGGAUAUCUGAUUUCAUUCAAGUAGGGAUAGACUAACAGGUGUGUCCAGAGAGAAUGAAACCCUGCAGAGAUAGAUUGAUAGCCAGUAAGGUAAGCCUAUGAGUGGGGAAUGGCAGACUAACAGGCGAGAUAGAAAUGGGAGAUAAAGACCUGGGACGCAGUAGAGCGAAUCCUAUAGUCUAGGGAGUUUCAGGAUCAAAGUGAAGAUAGUAGUAGCUAGCUUGGAAGCACCAGUGACAGCUUGAAGCGAGGAGAGGCAUACUUCAACAUACAAGCAGGCUAAGGGAAUAGAUGGUAAGCCUAAGAGCCGAGGAACGAGUAAAAGAACCGGCAAUACAUAAUUCAAAGUCAUAAGUAUAAGCCUAUAGCCCUGCUAGCAGUGGUUCAACUCCGAGUUAUAAGAACAAGUAUUUGUUGGCAGCGGCUCAAUUCACAAAGACAUAACAGUAACCCCCAACUAACAAAACGGAUUUGGGGGUUUUGAUUCUUGCAGAUGUCCCCUGGGUGCUGUAUUCCCUUCCCGUGUUUAAAUCCUUAGACUCCUUUCUGCAAUGCCUAGUUCCAAGUUCCGUUUGAUAUCCUUAUUACGUUAUGAGAACAAGUGGGUAGGGCACCGUAUCAGAGUGAAGGCAAGUCAAUUAAGCCUUACAGUCCAACUACAAAAUACAAAUAAGCAAUGGGAGUUUUAGAGCUCGAGCGAGGAACUGCAUAAUUGAGGUACGGCACCUAGUUCUUUCAGGUGAGAAAUCAGAAUCAAAGUUGGAGUCAAGUGAUCCGGAUCUCCUUUCACCCAAAUGCCCCCAUAAGAAUUUGACUCAUCAGUAGCAGACCUAAGCUAAGGCGGGAAAACAUAUAAGUUAGCCCUACAUCCCUGUCUUCUAUUCUUUCUCUACAAACUACGAUUCUACCGCUCCUUACUGACUUUCUUUAACACUGACAUGGAAUCCCUGCUUCUUAGAUUUAGUACUCUCCUCUCCUUUCUGAAUCGAUUGUUCCCAGAAGCUAUAGCUUGUUCCACUUGUUCUGCGUGUGCCUCAAUUCAUUCUUAUACUUCUUACUAUCGUCGACUUCUACUUUCAUUUAUUCUCCAGCAGAUGAUCUUGUCGACUUGACUUCUUCUGAUUUAUAUCCUGUUCAAUCUACAGGCUAAGAUCGUAGGAAGAAAAGGAAGUCCUAUUUAUAAGGGUAAGUGUCUUGCUAUCAGCUGUUUUUGUCGGUAGUGUCACAGUUUCAUUCCCUGUUUCUAGUAAGAGUAUUGCUCGUAGUAGAUCUAUUCCGGUAUGCCUAACCACCUAGGGUACAGUUCCAUUUUCUUAUCACUAGUCCAAUUCUAUCCAUUGCCCGUUUUAUUAUGAGAAGCACUUGUUCCUUCUAUUAGGAGUGACAUUCCAAUAAGUACUAGUUCAGUUCAAUUAUGGAUUCCCCAGCUUAUCCUUGUAAGCAGUAGGGGCGCAGCCUCAGUUUCAAGUUAAGGUCUUGUCAGCACUAGUUGAUUCCCUAUAUGGAGUGUUCGAUUCACACUGAGUUGGUUUCGUUGUUGCCUUAGCUGUAGUCGGUUCAGUCUUGUUGGCCUGGGUUUCCUAGUUCCGGGUGUCGGUAUUGUUAGUAGCAGCUCCAUUCCUUUGAGUAGUGAUAGCAAUCUCAUCAGCAGCGGAAUUAGGACUUGCACAAGUUAUAACAAUUCCUUUCUUCGCAUUACAAUUCCUGUUUUUGGGAGUUCAAACACUUCUUUAAUAACUAUGGAUUGCUCCCCCACCUCUGUAAACAAAUACAGAUUCGACUACUCUACUACUUAAGGAUGAAACUGGGAAUUCCACUGAUUGAACUCUUGAUGGCAACUAUGAACUUAAUUCAGCUAAUCUAACUCAUGCUCAUCUACCGGAGUCAACCAAUACAGAUGCAACUUUACCACUACACUCAAGCUUGCUUCUCUGGCUCAUAACUCUAACUCUGACAACCCUUACUAUUAAAGCUUCCACUCUAACAAGUACAGGAACAGAUCCUAUUGCUACUACUACAACUACUACUCCGAUAUUUCACUAAUUCUUCUUUCUGACCAGACCCGUUAGCUGACCUCUUACCUGGUAGCUGACCUCUUACCAGCGCCUAAACCCUACUUGAGAACAGAAGAGCAAAGUAACUACUAGACAAGUAAAGGAACAGACCCGCUUGCAACAGGCUUGGCUCUGUAAACUAACUAUUCCUCUGAUCUUGCUAAUCUACCUCGACUCUGGACUAGAGCAUCUCAGCUAACUUCAUUCGGCUCAUCCAACUUGAAACAAGCACUCCUGGCUCAUCCAACUCGGGCAACGAAUCAAGAUGAAACUUGGCCAAUCCACUACUACUACAUUACAUCUGGUGGAACACUAAGAAUUGAACCACUGUUUCCUUUCUAAUAGGAGCUUGUUUGUAGUAGGAUUCGGCAUUAUCUUAGUUGUACAUAGGCAUAUGGAUGCAAUAAGGCUACUCUCGGCGGGGUGGAUUAGCUUACAUUCGCUACUGCUGCAGCUUGUUUGUUUGCGCCCUAGCUUAAAAGUGCUCUAUGCCCAACACCGGGAAAGAAGAGUGUUUUGCCGUUGAAGCGCGAGCUUAGAUCCAUUUUUCUUAUGCAACUUAACAACAGAAAUGCGCGUCGUACUGAAAGUAGAGUCUCCGAGUUAGUGUUAGAGUCUCCUUUAGAAUAAUAGGAUGGAGCUAUAAGGGGAAGAACCAGAGUGCUGAGCUAGGUAUGCUCAAAGAAUCUAUAAUAAGAGAAUCAAUAGCCCACUAUAUGGGUAAGAACCAGAGUUAUGAGCUAGGUACGCUAGCCGAGUUAGUGUUAGAGUCUCCUUUUUAGUAUCCAUGUGUUAGAGUUCCCGCUGCUUUCGAUCCACCCCUUCCCUUGCUUUAAUCAUUUUAUUGAGUGCACCACUACCACAAAUAUAUAAUAGUCAACAACUAUAAGGAAGAAUCAAGAAUAAAGUAGGAUAACUUCGGAUUGAAAACUAUCUAAUGAACCCACGCACCCUGCAAUAACUCUAUUAGAUUAAGUUAGCACAACGGAACAAGGCGAAAUCUCUCUUAAGGAAGAAGCCCAGCCCAGCCCAGAACAAGCUUUAGGCAGUGAGGUGAUGUGACCAGUAACUUGUUAUUCUAUAAGUUGUGCCAUGAAAGCAGUCAGCAGAAGAAGUAGCGUUUGUAGAGUCUCGAGUUGGUUACUCAGAUACAUGUUGGUUACUCAGAUACAUAAGUUGUGCCAUGAAAGCAGUCAGCAGUCUUAGGUUACUAUCCUUUAAGCAAGGGUGAAAGAAUGAACACGCUAAAAGAGAAAAGGGGCACCUUAUAGAGCCGAGCGUAAUGGGUCAAUAAAAGCAGAAGCCUUAGCGAGAUCUACUGAAGUGGAGUAUCUUAAAGCAGAAGCCUUAGCGGGGUCUACUGAAGUGGAGUAUCUUAAAGCAAUGCAACGGAGUCAAGCUCUUUAGUCAAGUAAACAAACCGUAUUGCUUCCAACAAGAAACUACUAACGCAGAAGUUCAUAACAACACUGCGAACUCAAGUAAAGUAACAAAACACUAUUUUCUGUGCUUCAAAACUCCUAAUGCACAACAAGGCCUUGAGCCAGAUACUGGUAUUAGAGCUAGCUUAUAUAGUAUUUGUAUCAGGUAUUAGAGCUAGCUUAUAUAGUAUUAGUAUCAAUCAGCCCUGCCCUAGCCUUGCCUGUUUCAUUUCACUGACAAAGAAAAGAAGCAUUGAACUAACACGAACAUUAUAUGGAAUUGGGUAAAAAAGAGAUGGGUAGGUUCUCCAAAGAGCAUAGGUAGGUUGUUUCUACUCGUAUUCAAAAUAGAAAAUAAUAAUAAGAAUUUUGGAACUUGCAAAGAAGUCAUCAACGGCUUGCGGAACUCACAUUAGCACUUAUAGGUUACUAUACUAAAGAAAGAAGCGACUCUCGUCUCAGGUCAACAACAACGGCGCUAACAGAAGCUUGAAAGAUGGAAUUGACUCUUGACUUGUGCACUUACGGAGUUUGCCCCACCCUACCAGAUAGUCAGCCUUAGCUAUAGGCCACACCUGCCACGCUCAAGCAAGGACAAGAAGUCUCUCGCGGAUACCCAUACUUGCUCGAAGUAAAGUAUCUCGUCUCGUAAGGUAUCAAUCAAUUCUUCAAUUCCUGAACUUUAGGGAAAGAGUACUUAGGCGGGUUAGCAUACUUUACAGGCAAUAAGCAGGCAAUAAGAGUUUACGCGGAUCCAACAAGGGAUUCAACUCCAAGCGCAUAAGCAUUAGAUCCUUUAUCUCUUCUUACUCAAACACCAUUUGAAAACCACUCACUUCCUGGAGGAACUCUAUUUUGUGACCAAUAUCUAUCAUACCGAGCUAAUGAUUCUGUUUAUUAUCUUUCUAACUUAACGGAAACUGCUUCUUCCCCGGAUCCGUAUCCAGAUCCAGCAUCUGCUUAUACCUCUUUCUCCCCUGUGUUACAUAGAUAUAUCCAUACUAAACUAGAAACGCUAGAUUCCGAUUAUGAAAUACACUGUCGACCCGACCACCUCUACUUAUAAGUGCAGAAUGUCAUUAAGCAACUUCUCUCGCGGGUCCACGCAUACGCACAAAAUGCAAUUGAAAACUCCUAAUGCAUAAGCCAAAGAAGGUAUUGUUUUACUGUCUAUGAGCUCUAAAACGGUGUUUUGUACUUUCUUCUUCUAUUGAAUAACUAAAAAGCUACCACUCGGGUCUAUCAGACUCACUACCUUAUCAAAUAAGUCUUCCUUUCGCCUCUAAACUCCUUACUAGCAAAGGAAUCAGAUUUAGUGUCCCGGGUUAUAAGACCUAGACGAGAGGGUGACUUCACUCGACUUACAGGAAAGGGUGACAAGUGUUUCAGUUAUCCGCAUACUGUGUCAAAACUCACCUCUUUAUGUUGAACAAAAGAUUUCCACAUUACUCCGCUCUUCUUACUAAACCUACACCAAUAAGCUCCCGUAGCAAUAUAUGCCCAUGUGUUAGCAUCUUAGGAAGCCUUGAUAGGAUAAGCAUCUCCGUCCAUGGUAGGAAUCGAGCCAAGCGCAACUUUUAGGCUAUACUUCAAUCAAUAAUUCAAGGCUUUUAGUCAUCGCUCUGUGAAGGAGUGGGCGAAUCAACAUCCGGCAAAGGCACUGCUAGCGCACUCUCGUCGAUCCACCACAAAGGUUAACGACGUAUAAGAGUUUUGAAUCCAAUGGGGUAAGCUCUAAACCAAGAUUGGAUACUAGGUAAAGAACUUAACUCUACGCACUGAAACAAGCGACGGAACAAGAAGAAGCACCGCCCUCCUUACUCCCUAAACACAAUGACACAUGAACUCAAACAUCAUUUCCUCGCACCCUCUGGAUACGAGUGUAAUUGAAUUUCCUCGCACCCUCUGGAUACGAGUGUAAUUGAAUUUCCUCGCAACCGACCUAUACUUGCCUAUUCUCUUAGCGCCUAAGCUUGUUCACUUACUGAUGCCUACUGAGUAAGUCUGGUCCCGGACUUUUACUGUUUGAAUAAUUCAUGGAAUCUUUCUUUCUUGCAGACAAUGCUAGAACUACACUUGAUUGACUUCCUACUUCGCGCUUGCUGCUGAUUGACUUUAUACUGUAAUUACCCGAGAGUUGAUUCUUCCCCUAACUGCCCCCACUCGAUAAGAAUGGAAUGGAAUCUCUGCUGACCUGAGCUUUCGCACACCAUCCCUUUCUUUGGAAUCUGAUUAUGAUCGGCUUGGCACAGAUCCAUCUUUCGCUUCUGAUCCUUCACUUGCUGUUGACGACUAAAUUGAUUAACUACUUCUUAUCGGUUCGGCUUCAUAUCCUGCUCCUAAUAGAGAUGAUUCCUUGCGCUUAGACCAGUUCCAAAUAUGCUUCUGAUUCAAUGCGCUCUUCCUAGGUGAGAGAAAUUCCUUUCUUUAGAGUCAAGAGAGAGAGCAAGCAAGUGGUUAAGUUACAGAUGCAACAAACAACGGGUAGAAUGAACAAGCAAUGGAUCGAGUCACUACUAAACAAGCAUCAUUUUUGGAAUCCUUUGAGCGCCUUAGAUGAAACUCGGGAUUAACGGAGAUUGCUGCUGUCAACGCGGAACUCAAACCUGCUUGCUACUGCGGGAAGUGACUGUUAAUAAGUUGUUCCAGAGGUCUUUCUUUGUCUUCAUUUUCUUUCUUUGUCUUCAUUUGUUUAAGAUCACUACAAGGGGCUGAAGAAGGCAAUAAUCUCGGUGUUGGACUCGGGUCUCUGUUACUGUUAAGAGAGUUCGUGCGGGGGCGGGGUGUGUUAGUGAGUGGUGCGGCGGAUGACUCUCGGGGUGCUAAAGGAAAGGCGAGCAGUCUGAGGUCACUUUAAUGAAAGAUGUAAGCAGCGAGGAAGCAGUUAGGUUACCUUCAAGGAGUGGGUGCUUACGUGAGUUCCAGAGUUCGGUUCCGCAGCCUCCGCAGUUGCUUUAUAUUUGACCUACGUCUCAGCAGUUGAUCUUCAAUCAACAAAGAACUCCUUAGCGGUAAACUCGCAAACUCCCUUACGAAAAUCCCUUCCCUUUUCGUUUGCCCGAAGAAUCCAAUCAGUAUUCAAUCUCCCAUAUAAGUUGAGAAAGAGUCGUUUUAGGUUGUCCCUUAUUGAUAGCCCCGAGUCAGCAUUUAUGAGCUUAGCGGGUGGAUAGUGCAAUAAGCCUAUAUCGAUCCUACCACCUUUCAAAUCCAUAUUUUGGAUAGCCUCUCGCCUUUCGAAAUCAGGUCUAGCAUCAACUCAGUCAGAUCUUCUCUUGUUUGCCCGCUUUUAUUAGGCUUCCAAAUCAUCUUUGAUCGGCAUUUCGUGCCUGCAUCCCUGAUCCAUUCGACCUUUUCUCUGUGAGUGUAGUUGUAGUAAGGUUAGAGGCGCCACUAUCAGAGUAGGCCAGGCGCUAGUUUCUUUUUUCUUAUAUGUCUUUCUGUCUCCGAAGUCCCUUUUUCUCAAUGCUGUCUGUCUCCGAUGAUCCAAAUCUUGCUUAUUAUUCUAAUCUAGCUUCAUAUCCAUCUUCGGCUUCAUAUCCUACAAUAACAGUCCAUUCAGCUGCUGCUUAUUCUGAUUCUAGGGAUUCUUCUUGGCCCAUUUCUUAUUGAUUAUUUCCCCUAUCCCCUGUGUGCCUUGUCAACAACUACUUUAUUGAAUCUUGGUUGCGCAGAGUAAACCUUUUAUGUUAUUGAAUCCUUCUUGACUUGCAAAUAACUCGCCGCGCUACUGACUACUAAGCUUGGCCCAGGAGUGCAUACCGAAGCCCAUAUCCAUUAACAGCUCAUGGGAAUGGUCAUAUGUGGCAGUAGGCAUCAAGACCGACCCUUUCAAAGAGCCUAUUCUAUUCCAUUCCUCAAUAGAGGCACAAGCUAUUAUUGAAAUAUGCGUAGUCAUAGUGUGCUCAUUUAACCCAUUGAAGUGAAGUCUUGUCUUGUCCACCGAUUGUGGGGUAACGGGAACUUUUCUUUGGGAUUCGCUUGGUUAAUCGUACUUCCAAGGGUGUCGUACUCCAGCUUGCCAGGACUUUUGACUGGCCUAGGACCACGAGUCAGAGGCGCAUCUCUUGUCUGUCUCACGAUGGUGCACCACUAAGGGCUUUUCCCUAACAGCGGAUUCCUAGAAUGGAUUAGAAUGUCAACUGAAUCCGGAGUGCAUCAUCCGCCCCAAAAAGGCAACUUCUUUCUUGGUGUACAGCGUCGACUACUGAGUCGUCUGCCUCUUCUUAAGAGAAUUUGAUCAGGCACGCGUUUCUCUAUAGAGUGUCCUACUACACACACCUCCGUGAAACUCAAAAAAACACUUCUUUCUUCGGGAGAAUCUAAUUAAUAUAAAUAAUACCUGAGGUCGGGAUCGAGGAACUACUGCUGGAGAACUGCUGCUUACUAACUGAACUUUCCAUAUCGUUUUGAAUUGGGAACUUCAAGUAUCGUUUGCGUCGACAAGCGAGUUCCCCAUCUCAACGUCUUCCUUCUCAUGAUCCAAAAACCAAAUUCACUACUGUCAACUAUUUCCGCUAUUCUUGAAGCUAAGUCGACUAUUCGGCAUUCAACAUUCUUCAGAAGUACUCUCUUAUUGCGCACCGUCUUUUCAAGUUAUCGAAUUCUUUUUCCCUUGCGAGUUCCGUUGCUUUAAGAUACUCCCCGUACUCUGUACUUUUAAGAAGGUCAUAAUCAAGGUGAAAGGCAGGGCUAUAAGGCUUAUUUCUCUAAGUGGAAGGCAGGGCUAUAAGGCUUAUUUCUCUAAGUGGAAGGCAGGGUAAACGAUACUCUUAUGUGGAAUCUAUCAUUGAGGGUCCGCUCUGAGAAUACAUUAGUAGCCUCAAAUACUGGAUUUGCAAGCACAGAGUCAAUACAUAAUCCUUUUAGCACGAGAAGAUCAGAUCAGAGAACUCCGUAAGCAGAAGUCAAACAAUCAUUUCAUCUAUCGAGCUAAAGUCAAACAUUCAAAUCAGCUGUUGUUUAACCCGCUAACGCACCCGCUCCAGAAUGAAAGGAAGUAGUAGGAAGUAGUUCAAGCUUAAAGCAUAUAGUAUGAUUAACUCGGGACUGGAACUCCACAUUAAGAAGAACCUAGGGCUGCUGAUGAUUCGGCUUCGCCUUUUUCUCCGGAUCCUUCUCCAAAUGCUUUUAUUCUCUUGUCCACUCUACUAGAAUGGAAUUUGAUGAUUCGGCUUCGCCCACCCGACCUCUCCUUAAACAUUAAUUUCCAUCUAUCGCUGUCAGGUAAACUCCCUUUAGCCGCUGAUACACUUAUUCUUGUUGGGCUGGGCCUGUCUGUGAACAAGCAGUAAAGGUCAACUUUCCUUCCCACGGAGUUUGCAACUAACUUGCAUUCGGCUUCAGUCAAACUAAGAAAGAAUUUCCAUCUAUACUUUGCGCCUACGCCUAUAAGAUUGGAUUUGAGAUCAGUUGCACAUGGGGAAUUCCGUAAAUACAUAGCUUGUUAACCUUUUGAAUUAGCAUUAGCGAGUUAACCCUUGAGAACUGCUUCCUUAUAUGAUGAAACAUAUCCUUAAAAGAAAGCAAGCGCCUUAACCGAUUAACUGCGUAGCUACGUGAGAGAAAAGAAAAGAGAUGAGCCUAUAGCCCUAUGCAUUCUAUUAUAGAGUUGAGUAGAUUCCGCUUCAACAUAUGAUAUAAGUGGAACUGGGCGAAGGAUACUUCCGGACAGAUGCGCUUUCGCCAACACCGAUACACCUCUUCUUCACGGCAACACUUCUUAUUACUCAGAUUACCGCUCCGGGGGGCUAUACUGAGUCUAUACAAUAAAUACUUUCGCUUCUAAACUCAUCUGCGCAUAUGAAAGAAAAGAGUAGUAAACUACGGGCUUGACGGAGCUUCUUCUCUCGUUGACAACACUGCACCCUUACAAGACUCUCUGGGCUAUCUUUCUGUACAACUAAAUAAUGAGACCAGCCCUGGAAUUCCAUCUGGGUUUUCCCUUGUAGUGGUCCAGUCCAAGCACCGAACCGCGACUUGACUUCCAUAACUAUCCCAUCCCCGCGUAGUAACUAAACUAUACUUGCAGACCCAAUGGCUUUAUACCCUUACUUUCGACCCUUGCUUGUUCCCCGAACUUCCUUAACUGAGACCAUUGCACUUUUUGCUAACUUAACCUAUGUGAAACAGUGCUAAUAGAAAAAUCCCUUCAUGGAAACUCUCCAACUGGACUUAUAAUGAAUUUCGCCUAAGAAACAUAGACCCACUCCUUGACCUGACAUUACUUAACGCUUUAGUCAAGUCAGAAAAUAGUACAUUUCCAUCUUCGGCAUCAGAUCCAGCUUAGACAGCUUACUUGAGAGCUACUUCUUCUGUUGGGCCAGCGCCAGUACCUGUAAUUGAUCCAUCCCCUUAUUCCCCUUAAACAAACAGCCGCAGAAUGGAAUGACACCUUUCGAGCACAUUAUGGAGAUGGUAUAGAAAUGGGGAAUAUGACCUAAUCUAUACUUCACUUUAUACUUUACUGAGUUUUGCUUGUUUGCUUGUUCGGGACUUGGUCAUAACUUGGCAAAUGGAGAAUCUCUCCUCUGAUCUUGCCUCUGCCCUUAUAAUAAAUGGUAGACUCACUACUUCCCGCCUCAGAUCUUCCUUCUUCUAUGGGAACUCUACUUUCAACAAAUCAUUCUUUACUUAGCUCUCCCUCUUACCUCUGACUCUUGCUCCUCUGUUGCUAUUAUACCUAAGGCAACUAACACUCUCCUCUGGCUCUGGCUCUUUAAUAAGUGCUCUAGAGCUUAAGUCUCCUUUCCUCUUGAACUCCUAUUUCCUAGUUUCCUAUUUCCUCUUUCUCUAGAAACUCAUAGCUUACCGCAAGCACCUAAACUAGUCUCUGCAGAGGCAAACAAAGGGCCCUUACUAUCAUUUCUGCCAAUAAGUCAACAACUACGGGAGGGGUGCCGGUCUUCAAGCCAACAGAUACUGAAUGGAAUUCCGAGGGAACAAACAAGAGUCAGUUUCCCAGUCAGAAGAAGUUCAUUCUACCCUAUAAAGUGGAAAGUCAGCAGCAAGCGCAAAAGAAAGUCAAGGUGGUCGAGGAAAGUCUAUCAGAGAAAGAUGUAGAAGAUGGAAAGUCGAAUGGACGACACUUUACUAAGAUCUAUACUAUGUGCCCGCUAGCGGAGUUCUCUUGUUCGCAAAUCCAGAUUGAGUCCAGGCCAUAUAUUAGAUAGAGACACUCUUUCUUUUUCCCCUUCUCGCCAUUUGUUGUAAGAUAUGCUUUGUUGUAAGAUAUGAUAUAUGGCUGUUUGGUUACUGAAGCAUAUCCAUGUGCAAUAAUCAGAUUCUUGACCUGUGCUAUAUUACCAUAUUAGGAAGCUAUAGAUGCCGGAAGAGAGAAAGAAGCCCAAUUCAAACAAUCAAUACAAAUAGAGAGCUAAAAAAGUGCUAUAUUGCUUCAACGCUAAGGUACCAUUUCGAAUGUCCUUCCUCCGCGCUAAGAUCCUUCCUUUACUGUUUCCGUUCUACUUUCAUCGCUAGUUUCAUCCUAUAUUAUGCAUGUUUCACUCGGCACAAGAAAAAUGACUGGUUGACUCUCGCCCUACUGCUCGAAAGAAAAAAGUGUCAUAUUUCUCAUAUCAUUGCUUAACACAAGCACCGAACCCAUGCCUAUUAAGAAGUGAAGAACCUACUAUCCACCAAUCAACUACUAGGCACCAAUACUAGGCAAAACGGGACCCAUACCUGAACUAACUCUAUCUGACUUGCCGACUUCAACUCGUCUUGAUUGAUUUCCUUCCCUAGUGCUACUCUCUGGCAACAAUUAACUAUAUAAGAAUUCUACUCUCUAUAAUACCUAGGCGGUGUAACAAGACUGAUUCAGUUGCUCCCUAACCCGAUCUUGACUCUCUACUUUAAGUUUCAGAAUAUCUUGCAGCUUAUGGAACUCUACUCACCAAGCUUAUACAAGAGUCGAAUCUCCUUCUUUAUUUCAUAAUUCGUUUAAGUAGUGGGGUCGAGAACUUGAACUGGGCAUUCAACGUCAACAAACAAGGAUUGAACUCACCAAUCAACCUAGAAAUCAAAAGUAUAUAUUGUCUAAGUAGUCAAAGAAUUCAACUAGUUGUCGACUUGGGUGCUAUGCCCAAUAUUCUGCUAUUGCCUACCUAUCCGAUGGCUGAGCCUUUAUCCUAUGCCUUUUCAUCUAAUCCAACUCAUUUGUUUUCAACUUGAUUUGAUAUCUGAAUUAGGCUCAUCUACUUACCCAAGGCAACAAGACCUAUGGCUACAAUUUCAUAAUGCCACUAGUAGUUAAGGCCACUACUCGGGGAUGUAAACCUAGACCGCUCUACUACACCUAUUGCUACUAAUAAAGAAUUGCACUCGGAUCAUCUACUUCAUAAGCUAGAUCAGCUACAGGCAGAAUAUCUUCCUUCUUCAAGCGAGGUAUCUUCGAAGCACCUUUGUAUGCGAAGGAGCGGUCACUGGAACAAGACUUGUGGAACGGGUCGAUAACACACCUAUGGGCUGGGCUAGAUAUGGAACUAAUUGUCCUGAGAAGAAACCCUAUCAAAUGAUAUAUUCUCUUUUACAGAUGAAACUACUCUACUACUUGUUUAAGGGUCAAGGGUCAUCGCCUAUGUCUUCCAAUUCUAUUCCUCAGUUGUUUUUGCUUGGCCCGAUCCUUUACUUCUUUUAGAGGGUCCGCUUGGCCUCACUACUAUAGUUACAAAUCUUGUAGUUGCAGUGAUUGGCUUGACCGAGUUUCAUCAGUUAUCCUUAAUAAGAACAUAUACCUAAUUGAGUAUGGGAAUAGUAUAGAUCAUAUCCAAAGAAAGGGAACUCGUUUCUCACUUUUUGGAAUGUUUUUUCAAUUAGAAAUUAUUUCACCACUACUCAGGUAGUUGCGGCGUUAACUGGGCCCUCUCUUUGCCUUUACCUGCUUGCCCCCUUGUUGGAUCUGUUCUCGUAUAGUUUCAUCUGUUCUCGUAUAGUAAGUAGAAGAAAAGACAUAGCUUGUUCACCCUUUCGCCCGAUAUACCCGGAUGAAAACCCUUCUUUUGAGUCCAGUGUUUUAGGGCUGAUUGAUACGGCAGGGCAAUUCAUAGUUACUAGUGGCAUUCUUAGUCGAGCUGGUAUAGUUGACUUUUGAACUCACCCCUCGUAGUAGUUUUGACUUGUAUGCUUGGCCCUUCCACCGGCAAUCCAAUCCACCGGUUACGGACAUUCCUUUCCUCAUAAGGAUAGUCUAUCUCAGUAUAGUGGGCAACUCGUUUUUCAAAGAUCAAGAUAGGCAGGAGUCACUUUUGUAUCGACAUAUAGCUGCAAAAGUCCUUAAUUCUAAAUAAGUGAGACAGGGAAGACAAGCCAGCAAUAAGCAAUGGAAGCAAUGCCCCAGCUUUUGAACUCAACCAGACCUAGGAACUGCAAUGCCUGUAAAAGAAAGAAGUAAAGCUUGCCAGUCUACUCAUUGCAUUGCUAUCUGAUAGCCAUUGGAAACCUUCUCACUAUUAUCACAUAUAGAAGAAUGCUGCUAUUCGGACAAUCUUCUUCUAGCGAGUCAAUGUCGGAUAAUCUAGCAAGAGCUUAUAGUGCAAGGUGCGGAAAGCCGGAUGGAGCUUAAACAAGUGGGAAUCAAGACAGCAACAAGUCCCAUGUUGAAUGAGAUAGCUUGAAUCUUCCAAUCUUUCUGAGCUAUGAAGUGGAAUAGGCUGUCUUCCCUGUAACUCGGAAGGCGGAUCAAGGUACAUGAACCACUACCGGUGUUGAACCGCUCCUGCCGCUACACUCGAAGACAUCGGAGGUCAAAGGAAAGUCGACAUCGAUAACAGAAUAAUAAGUGGAAGUUUCAGUUUCCAGUGAAAGUUAAGGAAAAGUGAUGGAAUUCUUUGUUGCUUCAGUAAAGUGAUAGUUUAGGUCGGAAAUGCAAAAGAUAAGGGAAUAGAGUAUUGCAUAGACCCCCACGGAGCGGUAAUGAAAGAGGUGAAGCUGUAAGAAAGUAAGCUGCCCAACUUAGAUAAGCGAGACCAGCCCAGGCAAUGAAAUCUGUGUAAAAGUAUCAAUGAAAGUAGGCGAGAGGCCAAAACGAAGCCAAGCCCUUUGUUUACUCGAAUCUAUCAUAAGAAGCAAUAAGGUAUAUUUGGAUUAGGAAUCUGACCCCAGUAUCUAUACGAUCUCGAAAGCCAUCCAUAUCAUAUAUCAUGUCAGUCCUCGUUCCCAUAUACCCAGUGUAGUAUAUGAGUUCAUAGCAGAUUCUGGCUCCUAUUUCUACCAUUUCAUAUUGAAUAAGUUCACGAAGUACUAGGCGGAGCUACUAUUGAGACAGAAAACUCCACGCCGAUACCUAUUAAGGAGGGCUCUCCUUUUUCAUUCCCUUUCUUUCUUCAAUAAAAUAAGCUAAGUAAAGAAGCGAGUUCCCUUUCCUGGCCAGUAAAUGCCAGCGGGAGUGCCUGUUUCAAUUCCCUUUCGAUUAUCGCAGUCGCCGUAUGCUUCACACGUGGUGUAGCGAAAGCAAGGUCAUGGUAUAAAGGCUUGGUUCUCUUCUCGGUCAAAAGCCUAGUUCUCAGUUAGCUAAAAAGAUAUGGGCUAGAGCAAGGCAGAGGAUUUGAAGCAGGUCUAGUCUUCAAAAGCAUCGAUUGGCAGAGGUUUUUUUGUAGCCCAUUGUGAUGAAUAUUGGAAGUUGGAGUUGAUUUUGAUGUCGCUAGGAGUUAUCUUACACCCUACCAGUCUCCCUUUUUGAAAGCCUUUCCGUCCCUUUCCUGUUUCGAUGAGUCAUAAAUGGAAAAAAGCUUAAUAAUCUACUUUCGAGCUUUUCUUCUCGCUCCAAGUUCAUCAAUUGCAAACUUACUUAUUACUUCGAUCGAGCAAGAAUUGAAAGCAAAUUGGAGUCUACAUAUAAGAAGUGGUUUACUUAGGCUAAGGCAUUUCAGUUUACACCCCAUACUAAUUCAUAUGUUAAAGAGUCAAGCGCCUUCCCAUACCCUUAGGAAAACCAGUGUGAAAGCAAACGCAGAAAUCAAUAAUGUGUUUGUUUCUUUAAUCAAAAAAGCAUCGAUUGCUGUUCGAGUCUGAAGGUAAUCUCUUUGGAAAGGAAAGUUCAAGUUCUCUUGCUGAGAGAGAGAGUUCCUGGGAGUUGGAGUCUCCAGACGAGUGUCUCUCAAGUGGAGAUAUUUUCUGACUCGAUCCAUAGGUAAGGGAUAGGAUCUAGCAAGUAUGUUAUUACGCUUAGGAAAGUUCCCCGUCAUCAAAUUCGAAUCCUUCUGCUUUCGAUGGCGCCGAUCUAAUAAUAUACCUUAUAAAUCCAAUAAUAUACCUUAUAAAGAAAAGAUCAAGACUAUAUAAUCCGCUAGCCUAGUUGCAGGGAAUUGGAUUUCUCAGUGCCCGUUGGGAUAAGGUGGAGUCUCUUGGGGCUUACAUCUCGCGCUGUAAUAGAUCUCUUUCCCUUAAAGGUGAUAGUUUCUCUUAAUAAUUCGUUCUUUCCUUUCACUCUAUCGAAGGAUAUGUGUAGGUCUAAGGCGCUGAUAGAUUGAUUUCCUUUCCAAGUGCUAUCUAAGAAGUGAGUGCUCAAUCGAGUUUCAAGUAUGACCGAGUAAUAGGAUUACAGCUUAUACAGGAAUACCCUUUUCUGCUUUUGCUUGAUUCGAUUCAUAAAGUGCUCAAAGAUAAGUGCGUUUUCAAUACCUAAGGCAAGUGUUCUAUAAAUUCGUUAAUAAAGUCCGGGUAGAAAUCAAUACGGAUGGAUUUGAUUGAAGCCUAUAUCUGCCGAUCUUUUGUUGCUCUUGAGCGAACGAAUAGGUUACCUUAUUAUUCCAUAUCCCUCUGCUGGAACAGAAGUCGAGUGGAUCAGUAGCAUCUUGGUAUAAGUAAGUACCGAUAUCGAUAUAGAGCAAUUGUUGCCGGCCUAAAUAGUUGGGCAGGAUAACUCCUGAUAGAUUAACCGAUCUGAGUUUGGUAUUUCCAUUCCUAUAGGAUUUGGGCGGAAUUCCUUUUUGAGAGAAAGAACCAAAUCAAAAGAAAAACAAUGGAGAUCCAUUCACCCUGUCUUUAGAUUCUCAUUCUAUGCUAGGGGGAACUGUUCUACUUUCAUGCAAGGCUUAUUGACGCUGAUGUUCGAAAUCGCUCUGUGUCCAUCUUUACUAACAUGCCUUUGAGAAAUAGAGUCCUUGGUUAUGAUUAUACUGUUCUAUGCCCUCGGGUUCCUUCACUCGCUUAAGAGAACUAUAUUCUUUGCUCUUUCCCCAGACACCGAGACUUGCACUUUUGACUGACAUUCCGCUUGUGUUCCGUGGAGUAGCUUCUUUAUCCCGUCGCAGGAAAGGAGCGACUACUCUUGCUUGGCCGUUAAGAGUUCUGCUAUUUUCUUCUUUUGUGGGGCAUCUUAUAAUCCUUAGUUUUGCUUGCUUCUGUGAGCAUAUCCUGUUCAACGAGUAUGGUUUCUUAGCUACUGGCAUCCUUUCCUUCGUGCUAACAGCCAAAGACCCAUUUGUCCAAUCCAAACCUAUAAGGCGCACAAAGAAGCACUUCUCUUACGAACGUUGGAGCAUCACUUACUCGCGAAUCCCGAAAGACAGACUUCCUGAGCACUUGCCUAUUUCUAUUCAUUUCUAUUCCUUGCCUAUUUCUAUUCAUUUCGAUUCUAUUAUUCUUUGUUAGGCUAUUCGCGGGGAAAAAGAAGGGCCUUUCCUCUUGGCAUCGAUCUCAUAUCUGUGUCAAAGAGCGGAGAUUCUCUUAUCUAUGUCUCUUCUAAACUAUGCAUGCCUGCUCCUAAAAUGCAUUCUUUGUUUAGUUCAUACACUGCACUCCUUCGCCACCCGGAGACAAAGAUUCCAUAAAUGAAGUUUCCUGCAAGCGCAAAGUAGACCAGAGAAUCAAAAGGAGAACGAUCUAAAGUAGAAAGAUACGGGUCUCAAGUAGGAGUAGGAUCUUAUGUGGGUAAAGAAUAUAGAGCUGGUGAGGAAGCCGGGUUCACUCAUAGAAUUAUUCAGAAGCUAACUACAGCGGAAAAGAAGAAAGAGUCAACCUAAAGCAUUAAAGAGAGAAACAGCCCUUAUGUUUUCAAGAGAAAGAAGAUACUUGCUAAGAUAGAUAUACCCCGUUUUGAAGCAAUGCUCUGUUAGGUUAAGAAUUGAUGGAAUAUGCGGAUCAUGUUAUUCAAGCAAGGGCAGCUUAUUUAUUAGAUGGGGAGCGGGUAGUUACAUCAAAAUAAGUAUAGCAAGCCCGAGUUCCCGGUUGAGUCUAUCAGGUAGUAAGCCGAUUCCCUCUUUUGCUUGUUUCGACCUUACCGGUAUUGUAUUGGUGACAGGAUCCGGGUAUCGAGUGCAACUCUUUCCAUUAGUAGUCAAAGGCUAAGUUCCUAGUUAAAGUACUUCCAUUAGCUGUUCCAUCCGCCAAGUCACUACCACAGAUGAGACUGACAUCGCUACUAACGACACAACUAGGCGAUUUAGUUACUACCGGCAAGACUUCACCUAGUACUUCCAAAGCAUUACUCGACCCACACAGGGUUUAGUAGCCCCUGACUUGCUUUCGUUCUCGUAGUCGUCCCUGGCGUUCCGGCUCAACACUUAUACCAUUACUCAUGAGAAUUCAUUGUUGUAGCCCAAGCCGUAGUCUUAUGCCACGCCCAGAGCAGAAAAAAACACGAGUCCUCUGUGUUUCAAAGCUGACACUACUAAGCCAUCAAGUCACCCAACUAUUAGAUCCACCCUAGUGUUAUAGAAAGAAAGUAUAGAUGGUAAGGCGGGGAAACAUAGAUAUCAGAUCUGAAGUAAGUAGUCGAUUUCCUAUUGAGUAGAGCAAGUCUGCUCCAAGCGAGUAAGGAUCUAAAUCAGUAGACACAGGGUGAGAUCGAGCUUUGAGGUAGGUGGUGGCAGUAGAUAGGUCAUAAGUAAAAACAGGCCUAUUAGCAGUAGUUGGUUUCCCGGUUGCUAGUUAAGGACCUGUUAGUGCUAGUGGAAUUCUCUUUUCUUGGAUUCAUUGCUAGAUGCGCUAUAGAUUAUACCUAUGCUUCUAAAUGCCCUAAUAAAUAAGUUCAUUAAGGGUUGCAUUAUGGUUGCAUUCUUAGAAGAACACGGAUAACUAAUUGAAUAAUGAAAAGCGAUAAAAGAAAGAAACACAUAAUAUAGAAUAGAACCCGGGCGGAAAAGACUGCUACUUACUAAUAUAGGAAUAAAAGAACUACUAGAAAGAGUCACUACCUGCCCAACAAACAAGACAACAACUCAUAAGUAGGAGAAUGCGAUCAAUAACAGGAAGACCAGAACUAGCGGUGUAAAGAACUUCUAUAAGAAUACUGAAUUGAGAAGGACACUUGGAAUCCAGCCGUAUAGGAAUAACGACUACCAUAUGGAAUGCAACUAACAACCAUUAGCCUUAAGUUGCUACUGAUAGGGUUCAGUCGGAAUACACCGAACUUGGUCAAGCGCCAAUACUAAUAUAUCAAUAAAAGAAUUGCACCGAUACCAAUAAGGACGGAACUACCAGCCAGCAGCCAGCAGCUGACGCUGACCUUACUUUUCUUCUUUCACUAAUGACCCGGAACCCUGUCGUCUGUAUUGCACCUCGGAUUCUUACACACUCCAUAGAGAUAGGCCUUACUCAUAUAGCCAUAAAACGGAUAAUACUUUCUAUUAGAAUAGAGAAUUGCGCUGGCAUUAGCAGGAUGAAACCGCUGUUUUUAAGGCUGCAUUUAGACAAAAAGAAAGACUUCUUAACGAAAUGGGAGGGAAUUCUUUCACUGCCGGGCAUGAUCCUGAUCCUGUCUCCUUGCUUACUUUAACUGAUUAAGAUAAGACUUGCUCUUUGGCACAAGAGAAUCGAACCUUAUGGCACGUACUCAAAACAGGCAAUCCGAAUAAACCCAAUGAAACAAACCAAUAAGAAGAAUACUAGAAAUAGGAACUAAGCCUGGCAACUACUACCCAUAAUGUAAGUAUUAAUACGGGAGGGCAAAAAGGCAAGUAAAUAAGGAUCGAACUAAGGGAGAAGGAUUGUGCUACUGGGUUGAGUUCUAUGAGUGAAUUUAUUGAUUAUGAGUUGGCAAAGGCAAAGCAAGGAAUAGCUACGUUAUAAUGAGUUAUUCCGGUUUCUCAUUUGUGUUUCUUAGUUUCAUUCCCGUUUUCUUGUUUCGUUAGUGCACAGUUGGAUUCGUUAUGGGCUGUGUCUCAGCCAUGCCCCCCAGGAGAAAGUAUCAUCGGUUUCAGUUCUAUUCAGGGGUUAUCGUCAGAGUAGGAAGAAAGAUGUUUGCUGAGCACCUGCACCAACUGUUAUCAAGGGAAGAGAAAAACAACUACCUUUUUUCACUAAGAAACUAGAAGCAAACUACUAAUAAACUAGAUUCAAAUCUCAUAUAAGAAAAACAUUCUAUCUAACAUGCAUGAGUGAACAAAUUAAUAGAAGAGUGGAACUGGAACAUAGGCAUUUACGAGCUAGCUACUAUAAUACAAAGAAGGGAUAGGCAUAUUUCAAAAAGGCAGGACAGACUUGAUCGAUAGGAUAGUAAGGAUGCCGGAUAGCAGUUUCAGAGCUAAAGCAAGGGUCGACAUACUGAGCUCGCUGGGGAGAUGCUAGAUGAUAAAAGGAACCCCGAUUUCGGUAUGAUUGAAUAUACCACUUUUUCUUAAGGUGCUCGCCCAAGGCUAAUUAUUAUAUCUUAUCUAAUGACAAAUCAUUCUUUCUUUCCCACUUGGCACUUGUGGUAGCUUAGCUGCAUUCCGCUUACUAGUUUUGUUGAGGUCGCUACUCUUUCUUCUCCUUGUUUAGGUCGGCUUACUCUUUCUUCUCCUUGUUUAGGGCGCUUACUCUUUCUUCUCCUACUGAGUUGUUUUAUGUAUUCUGGAAAUGACUGAUUCAGCUAAGGAUCUUACUUAAGCCAAAGAUAUCGUUAUGUUCUUAUUAUUGAUUAUGUCUAUAAGGGGUAAUUGACGAAUUACUAAUUCCAAAAGAGUCUUGACUAGCGCCCAAAGAGUCAAAGUAGGGCGUGGCCAAGCGGUAAGGCAUCGGGGUCCCUACAUUCGGAGGUUAUAAUCCUUCCGUCCCAGAUCGUUUCCAUCAUAAACUCAAGAUGGGAUCACAUUGUAUCCCACAUAAGUGUCAAAAUCAUAAAGAUAACAACCUUUUCUUUUGUUCUGAAUUAGGAGAAUGGAUUCUUAGAAUCCUAUUGCUUUCUAUCUUAUAUCUGACAUGUCAAAAAUCAAUAUAUUUGGAAAUCCAUGUAACGGGGCGGGGGGAUAUUUUGAUAUGGGGAAUCUAUUGGAACUUGAUUGUAAGGUAUAUAUGGAAGAAUUGUUGUAAGGGUAUAUAUGGAAGAAUUGUUGUAAGGGUAUAUAUGGAAGAAUUGAUUGUAAGGUAUAUAUGGAAGAAUUGUUGAACCGGUGAAAACAAUAUAUAAUAUAUCCUUAGAAUUGGAACUAGGCCUAUGUAAUCCGCUUGCUAUCCCUAUAUGUGUCUAUGCUAUCCAUGCUUUCCCUAUAUGCUAUCCCUAUAUGUGCUUAUGCUAUAUCAAAUAAGUUUCUUGUCAUUGUUGUAUUUCAAUAGCAAUGGCCUUUCACUAAAUCAUUUUAGGAAGGGGUGGAGAUCUCUUCUUCUUCAAAUAUCCACGAUUACCCCCAGUUACAAUAUGAUGAUUCGUAUACUUAGGGAAUGAACUAUCCGCUAUGAAUUUGGAGCAACUCAUUGUGCGUCGACUUGGUGAUGGAAUUAUAGAUCCAGUUCUUUAGUCAUGACUAUAAAACAUAGUUCCAGUCAUAAUGCUGAAGUGAAGUCGGAGAUCUUUUCAAACAUUCUUUUAUUAACUCUUGGUUGGUACUCGAAGAAGUAUGAGAAAUCCAUAGUAUAUCAACAAGAAAGGCAGUGAUUCAAGAGGAAUAAUUCCUAUCGGUGAAAUUCAUCUCUUCUCCCAGAUCUUCUUUGUAGUCCGGUAUAUGUCUGAAUUCAUCUUGUCAGUGUCAGUUAGAGGAAUUGUUUGACUUGGCUGCUUCCUUCGAUAAGUAGGUUCUUCCUUUUUUUGACUAUAUACCCCCUCGCUCUUCUUCUCCGUUUUGUAAGUGAAUUAAAGACGAACAUAAGAAAUAGUUGAACGAUCCACUUUUCUAUCCGGCUAGAAAUCCCAGAUAAGCAGUUUUGCCUUCUACACGUACUUUUGCCAAUGCAUCGGCUCUCUGUCCUAAAAACCACACCCGAAGAAAGGCCAGCCCAGAGCUGCUAUUCUAGUUAUUAUAGUCAAAAAGAGGCUAGGCAACGACUCUUCUUUGGUUAUUCUAGUGAAAAGAGGCUAGGCAACAACUCCUCUUUUGGCGGGAACACGAGCAAAGGCAACUUCCAAGUCAGCGGGUACUAGCCUGACAGCCCGACCUCACUAAGGAAUAGAAACAUAGAAAGGCCCUCAAUAAAAGGAAAGAAAGAGUCUCUUCCCCGGAAAACUCUCCUCUUGGUCAGCUGCUCCUCGGUCUCGAACGGUCCCCAGUUCGUUCCUUAAAACAAGAAUCCGCGCCUCUGGUCUUGUCUUGAAAUGAAAGCAAUCUCCUCUGGAAAGGCAUUACUGAGACGUCCGAAUCUCUUCUUAUCUUAUAUUCGAAGCAAGGACAUGUUGGCAGUGAAGUUCCACAGACGUGGUCCAGACAGAGACUAUACUUUCCCUUUCCAUUAGGGUUUUCUAUUGACCACAGACACAGUGCCCCAGAAAAGGCUUAGUAUUCGAUACUGUCGCAGGUGUCCCUACGGCUUCAGGCAGUUCUAUAGCCCGUGCCCACUUUCCCCACCGAGUCAAUCAAAAGUGUUUUGCUUUGGCUAAAGCCCUUUUGUAGAUCCAUGUGGGUCUCCGCCUUUGUCUUUUAGGCUAUAAGGUUGGCGCCCCCCUUUCCCCUGCCCCCCUGUCGUUAAAGAACUUAUUUAGACUUUCGCUUUCGGUUUCAUUUCAUCAGCAGUGAGGGUCUAGAAAAAACUCCUUUCACUGGUUUCCCCUAUACCCUAAGCCGGGCGACGUACGGUGUGACAGACAAAGAAGAUAUGCGUGGGAUUUAGUACCUUACGAAGGGGUAAUCCGACAACCUGUUUCAUCCAACGACAUCGAGGGAAACCCCAAGUCUUCGGGGGCAAGUAGACUAAAUGGAAUAUGAAAUCGCGGAUACACUCGGAACCACUCAAAUCAUGACGAGGUGAAAGCAAACUACUGCUGCAUUCUCAAUAUAUCAUAAGAUCGAUCUCAAAGUAAGGGCGGCAACUAUUAAUAUAAAGAAGGAGAGUGCGCGCUUCCCUUCACUGAUAAGACGGUACGAAAAAGAGUCUGCCUGCAUGAUCGUCCGCUACCUUAGAUUAUACAUCUGUCUUCGCCUAACCAACAUUACUGCAUUGGAUACUAGUGCAUACAGAGAAAAGCCCCUCUCGCUCAAGAUUUCAGGAGGUUACGACCUACUUUUCCUACAAAAACUCACCGCUUUAACUAACUGAGCUGCUUCCACUCCUUAAAGCACUAUCGCUUCCUACUGCUUUAAGUACCAAAAUAGUAUUAGCAUAUAAUAAGAUGAAGAUGCUCGAAAGGGUUCUUUGUCAAGCCAGAAAGCGCAAACCAAAGUUUUUCGAGAGGCCGACCACUUGAGACGGGUAUAAGAACUCACCCUUGUUAGGAAGUUUCCAGAGGGGCGCUUCAAUAGUGUAGAAAUGGGAAUCAAAGACGGAGGAGCCUAGCCUGAUUCUCCUGCUUCCUUCCUUAUCGCUAACCGAUGCUAAUCAUGCUUGACUUUACCUCUGAGAUUGUCCCCAGGCCCUUCUCCUACCUCUAUUGAUGGAAAAUAAGUAGGUCUGUGGUAAUGUCAAAGGUUCCCCACACCUUCUUUGUCUGAGUGCUGCCUCCUUCCUUCUUCCCGUCAAUCAUCGUUAAGGGUUUCAAAUCCAUAGGCGCUGCUAAAAUGGCUUCUUUCUGCCUUGGCUAUAGGAACAUAAUCUCCAUAAUAGGGCGGUUUGCUUCUGAGUAGUUCUGUCCUUCCCUCCCCUAUCCGAGAUGUGCUCUUGAAAGAUCUCCCUCUUCAGCUUGGUUAGGUCUUAGAGAAGUCACUUCUUUACCUAAGGUUGUAGCCAAGGGGAUACUUGAUUCUUCUAACAAAGAAGUAGCCAAGGGGAUACUUGAUUCUUCUAACAAAGAAAGCAAAGGAAAAUCUAUUAUGAGAGAAUCUUCCUUCAAAGAUGCUUUUCUCGAUUCCCCUACAUCUACGAAUGGCUAAAUGCUUUCUCACGUAGGGCUUACUAUAAGGGAGGGGUUCCGCUUUCUUUCAUUCCUAAAGAAGGAAGGGGAAGGUAUUUCCUCAUAAAGGAGUUUGUUCUUAGUAGCAGCCGGAUACCUUUAAAGAGAUAAGUCUACCUUUGUUCCAGCCAUUCUCAAGAUCUUUCAUUUCCGGUUUCAUAAGAGAGGAUAGCAUAUAGCUUAGCCUCAUUCCUAUAGCUCAUAGAGAAGUUCCUCUUAUCCAGCAUAUUUACAUUAGUCAAAUCCUACUGGUCGAUCAAUGGUUGUGCUUGAAGCCUUAUUCUCUGUAUCAGGCAAGAAGAGGAAAGGAAGGUAAGUUCGAGAUAUAUCAUAAGAAAGAGAAGAAAGAAAGAGAUGAACUCUUUAUAAGAAAGAGAAGAAAGAAAGAGAUGAACUCUUUGGAGCGCUUCUCGGCGGUAAGACAGACCGUGAAUGAAUAAGAAAGAAAGAAGAUAUAGUUCUAUUUCCUGCAUGAGGGAAAUCGACCGAUGGACAUGCUUGACUUUACGUAUAAGUAGUGCUAGGAUUACUUGCCUUAUUACAUAUGUCUUGCUAGUAUAUAGCAGUAGUCGGAGUAGCACUAGGAUAAGUCGGGGUCAGCACUUAGUAAACCUUUCCACUCAUACUUAAUAGUAUACCAUCACUGUUAGCAGACUGUGCCAUUCCUUACACUGUUAGAAUAACUUCUCAUCUCCCACCUUCUAUAAUGCGCAUAUUGAGACUGAGCUUGCUUGCAUUAAGCCUAUCGCCUGCCUCCCUAAGACCUUUCUAUUGUGCCUGUCGUUAACUCCAGUGUACCUUCCUUUCGGAGAGUGCCUUACUCUGAAGUAAUAGACUGAUUAGAUUGCCGGGAGUGGAUUCUUCUUUUUACCAAACAUAUGGGAAAAGGAUCCAAUCCAAUGACUUCGAAAGAAUGGAACGAGGAGCAUUCCACGGCCGGGGGAACAGAGGUAUCUCAUGGUUAGUUCUGUAGAGUAGCAGUAAGUGGGGAAUACUAGCUUGCUUUAGGAACUUACUAACUUCGCCGAGGUAACUAUGUCCUCAGCCGAGCCAACUUCAUCAGCAGUUCUAUAUAUGGGUGUUGUCGACACAAGAGAAGAAGCACAAUCCGGAUUAGCAGAUGUGUUUUCAAGUCCACUAUACUCAAUAAUUAGCUUUGCAUUAAAGUCAAGGUUGUCGACAGGAGAAUCUCAAGUGUCUUUCUUUUCUUCUAUACCAAAAGCUCAAUAAGAGAGAUAUUCAAUUCAAAGGUAGACAUCAGAAGAUGCUGUGCCAGGUAAAGUCAAGUUCCGGGAAAGAAUCUAUUACUGGCCGGGGAAGGUAAGAAGAAAAUACUGGCUACGCGGUUCAGGGAAGAGAAUAAUAAAGUACUUCCGAAGCAAGGUGUCAUGGAGACGCGACAUCAAGCCAAUAAUCUCUCUAUACUGUAAGUUAAGGGUUUAGGGCCGCCGGUGACGAAGAAAACACUUUGAUCAGGGUCCUUACACCUUUCCAUACUAUAUGCAAAAGAGAGAGAUUCCGCAAUUCCAGAAUCCGCUGGAGAAGGUUAGGAAGCAGUUCUGGUUUUGCCGACGAGAUCAGUAGAGUAUCUUUCCGUGCAAGUGAAGUCUACGAGAUCAUCCGGAUCUGAAUAAGAAGGGAAGGAGUGGAGUCAGAAGAAAAUAGCCAGUACCAUCUUCUGCCCUACCCAAAAGAAAGUAAUCCUUCCUUGCCUACCCAAAAGAAAGUAAUCCUUCUUUGCUCUUCCUUUCAUGGGGUUUAUUCUGCCGCAAUCCUUCUUUGCUCUUCCUUUCAUGGGGUUUCUUCCGCCGCCCUUAUUAUCUGUCAACAAACAAAGCAUUAGUUUGAGAGUGAGAUUCUGGAAAAGGAACUAAAGCAGAGGCUUUAGAAAGAGGAUCCGACCUCCCGAGCUUAUUAUCUUUAGAAAGAGGAUCCGACCUAGCUUAUUAUCUGUCUUCGGCAGGCAGGAUCGAAUGAGGAUGAUGGGACGAAUGAAUGCUUUUGAAACUACAGUUAAGAGCUUGCUUCAUUUGAUGCUAAGGAACGGAACCUUACUUAUCUAAGUUGCCGGAUAGUGGGAUAUGCCGUACUCUGAUUCAACCGCUUAUGUUCUUCGCCAAUGUUCCAAGGAUAAGGUUGAACACCUUCUAACAUAUACUUACGGACUACUCUGUUUUCUCACUUUUCGAAAUGCUCCUAAGGUAAACAACAUUUUGGACUAGUGGAAUUAGGAGACAAUCUUCUAAAUGUGCCAAGAAAGAGGUGCCCCAAUAGAUAGCUCUGCGGGACAGAUUCCUUCUUUGAGGCUUGGUAUGAUACGGUUCAGUUCCCUUUCUGCAAGGGCGGUGGGCCUGGACAAGUACGCUACUAAAUUCCACCGGAGUACUAAGAUCUAGAUCGAGACUAAGCUCUCAGCCAAGGAUAACUUAGAUGGGCUUCUUUCCCCACUAUUCAAUCCUUAGUUAAAGGGGCCGGUCCGAAAGCUCCGUUUUCUAUACAGCCGAACGCAUAAUUCCAGUUAUUUAUUGUCUCCAGAAAGCGAAACUACUAUCGUUACGCUGCACCAUCAUACGCAGGAAUGGAAUAUAGAGAACCGCUUCUUUAAUACCUUUCAAUAAACUCCUCACUUAGACAUGGCAAAACGGGACCCAUAAUAGGAACCCGUGGAUCUGAAGUCAACGCAGAAGGAUUGGAUUAUGCCUGAAUUAAUAGUAAAGGCCCUGCUUUCCAGGGGUGGAUUAGAGUUAGCAGAGAUGAAGGAAGUCGGGGGUGCUCCUACUAUUGGGGUGCUCGUUAAGUCGUUAAGUUACUGUGGAGCUUCUGUUGGGACUGGGCCUGGCAAUACUGUUCGAAUAGAACCUAGCUCAUUACUGCCUUCCCGCUUCAAAGCAUGGAAUUGACUCUGCCCCACCCUAGUAAUAGGAAUGAAACCACCUUCCCGGAUACCCAGUCCACAAAGAAUGAAACACAAAAGUAGGAAAGGUCGGAAUGACACUAAAGCAGAAGAAUGACCUGCUCCCUUAACUACAACUACCAAGUAUUCAAGUCAGAAGUAAGCCCCGCCAAGAGUCGAGGUGGGCAAGAGAGGCAGUUAGAGCGGAUCCUGUUCUAGCUUCUGAUUCAUAUCCUGCUCCAGCAAGACCAAGACUAGAAGUAAGGGAAGACUGAUUGGAAAUGAAUAAAGUCAAGGCUUUGGUGCGAGGCGAGAGAUGGCUCUUAGCACCUUAUUUGUUGAGACUCGGAUCAAGACUUAGUGGCGAGUUUACAGUGAAAAGUUCCAUUUGUUGAAUGAGUUGGGGCAAGCUAGUAGUUGAUUUAUUAUACAACAUAGCAAUCCGGGUGUAGCAAUGAAAGGUAUUGCUCGAGGCAAGGGGAGGCCCUUAUAGUAAUUGCCAAGAGAGGAAGGAGAGGCCAGUUGCCAGAGGUAUACGGAUGCGGCAGAUUGGUAAUACACCUUAAUGCUCGAUCAAGAGCCCGCCGGUUAGUUCAUCGAUUCUGCAUAAAAAUAUCGAUUAUUAUGUUAGGAUAAAGAGCUACUGUUGCUACUUAGUUUCAUUCUGACCUUACUAUUAAAGCCUCCACUCUCACUCUCACAGGAGCAGUAAAGUAUCUCGGAACAGUCGCUAGGGAUUGCAGAAGAUUGGUCAUAACCUUUCCCUUAACAGAAUCCGGGGAGAUUAGGUGAAAUAGCCGCCCUGUCGCGCCACUAAUAACUCAUUACUAUAUUCUUAUUGGAAUGUUUUCUUUCUAUCCAUCUUAUAUAAGCUUCUAUAAUAGACUUGACUUUAGUACACCUCGCAUCAAAGCCAAGAAGACUGGUAUGCCUGGUAUGCCCGGUAUGCCUGCUGGAUACCUAACAACUCUACUAAAGACAAAGUAAGCAUCAAGUGAUAAGGUAGCUGCAAGCGGGUCUUCACUGAACAGAUGGUUUUCCCCUUCCCCACUGCUCGAAGUAAAGUAUUUGGUUUUUGUCUUUUUUCUGAACUUGUAAAUUCAAUCUGAUAAUAAUAACAGAUCUCGGAUCUCGGAGAGCAGGGCAAUAAGAGAGGUGGACAGGCAAGGUCCAAUCUUUCACCAAGGAAAAGAGGUGGGUUCGGGUGAUGGCAAUGAGAGAGGCUCAACGCACCUCUGUGCUAACAAAGAUCGAAAUAUUCAAUAUGCGAGUUGGAGUCGGGCGCUAAGCUAAGAGAGUUCAAUUCCAGAAGCUCAGGGAUUAGUAGGUGGAGCAGUUAUUGACUUUCCCCUUUCCCGAGUCGGGUGCUUAGAAACUAUAAGAAAAGGUGUUAGCCCUUUCGUUUCGGUGGAAGUCUUCGUAUUAGAUAUAUAGAAAUAGGGGACAAUUAAGAGAUGGGUAACCAGCUAGAGAUAGAGAUUGGUAAGGGUAUAGUUAUUGUUGCCCGAGGAUGGGUAUGCAAGGGUGAAGAAGAAAGAUAUGGGUAUCAGGUAGAAAGAGAAGAAAGAGAAUUGCCUGUUAUAUAGUUCAAGUAGAAGUGAAAGUAGAUGUUUCAUCCUCUAUAGAAGCUGUUCCAGUGUUGGCGAUCAGAUGCUUGCUUGAUCAGAAGGUGUUUCAAGAUCCUUUCUAACGCUCUAAAUGACUACCUUUUAUUCCCUUCCUUCUCUCUGCUACAAGCCGAGUGAGAGUGAAAGUGGCAAGUAAAGUGGCUUGUGUUUCAGUCUGAAGCGGUACCUCGAGAUAGAGUUCAAGUGGCAAGUAAAGCUCUUAAAGCAAAGGUUUCCUGUUCCGUUUUCGUAUCAGCAUCGGCGUCAAGAGUCACUGUUGUGCGUAAGGGAGCUGCAAGUGCAAUUGCUUAUGUCAGGCGAUGAGAAGGAGUUGGCUUACCAGAAUCAACUGACAUACAUAUGUUUGUAACCAAAGGGAGAGGUAGCGGAACCUGCGAGGGAACUAGCAUCUGUCCCUUGAAAUCUAUAUUUGCUACUCACAAUAAGCUGCUGUUCCAAUGUUUGGCUUAGAAGCGGGAAGGAAAGAAAGGAACUCUCAUUAUUGAGUUUGUAGGAGUUGUUCUGGAGUCCUGUAUUUAUGGCUAAAGUGAGUUAGUAGGCUAUUCAGGUAUCAAACUAUCGAACAGAACCCACCCCUCUUAGACGUCAAGCCAACAAACACAUCAUUAACAGGCGGAUGCGGAUUCUCUGUCUCUUGUCAACAAUGAGGGUGCUACAGGGGCAGGGCAGGGGAAAACUCUACUCAAAAGUUUGAAUUGAACUCCUUAUUGCAAACCGACUAUAUUUCUUGCUGCCAAUAACUAUCUUGGAGACAACACUCGAACAGAAGGAUACAAAACGGUAGUAUACCUCCGCAUCAGAAGGAACUAUCUCUCCACGACCAACAUAAACAACUGGAGAGAGACUUUCUUACUUGCUCAUAACUCACUACCUUUCUACUAUUCUUCUCUACUUAACCGUUACGUGGGCAGUUUCGCAUUAAACAUUCCAUUCUUUCGACAACACUCUCACUAGGCGAACGAACAAAAAGACAAUCCGGCAAUUCAUUUACCAUACCCUCUUCUCUCUCUACUACAAGGAGCUAAAGGAACUCUACGACAAACAAAUACUUCAUUUCUAUCUAUCGAGUAAGCAUGUGAUAUAUAAUCCAAAGGGUAAAUAGACUGAACGAACAAGUCCUUUUUUCGUCAUGGCGGUAGGGCAGCUAAGAACCACUUCUCAAAUAGCUAAUUUCCCUAUGUUGGUACCCGGAAAACUGGAAUGGAAUCUCUCUCGUCAACUACAGGAAUUUCAUAUCUAUAGAACCAGUAUUUGAACCAACCUUCUUCUUUACCUUUUGAACCAACCUUCUUCUUUACCUUCUGAAGAUCUCGUUGAUGUCGACUUUUCUUUCUUCGGAUCCUUCUCUUGAAACUGUUUCUGAUCGCAGCUUCUUCACUUGCGGAUUCCCUUGCUUUAGAAUAUCAAUUAUGUGCAUUCACUACAAUAGACAGACCAGUGGGGAGAGUGAUACUUAUUUCAACCAGACGAGAUACUAUACUUUAGACGAUACCGAUAUCGCAUUAACCACAAGGCAGAGUUGGGACAGUGAACAAGCUACGUUUUGCUUUCCUUUGAGGUUGGUUUCUCUUCUCUUCCAUCUGCCACGGAACCGUCGUGUUCAGGAGCUAGGCGGGAAAGAAAAGCACUUUCAUUUUCAAACAAAUGCAGGAAAUGCUUAGCCAGCCGUUGCAGAAGCACUUGUUGGUGCAGAAGCACUUGUUAGUGAGUGAUCGCUUGUUAGUUAGUUUUCUUAAUGAGAAGUAUCGCUUGUUUUGGGUGAGUCUUUCUAAUAUGCUGUGGUUAGUUACUUCAUUCAUAUGCAACCUAAGCUAACGCUUACUUCUCUUCUGGGCACUGGGCAAUAAUAAAGUCAAGGUGCUUGGUGGCUUUCCCUUUGCGUGGAGCAGGGUUUUUCGAGUUCUUUACGUUGCUGGGCUUUCCUUUCCCUUGUAGUGAUCCAAGCAUUUCAGUUCAGAGGAAGCUGUCAACCUUACAAGUCAUAAUGUUACGCGUUAUAAUAGUUUCUACCCUUAACUAAAGCAAGCUGUCAACCCAACAAUAAACUCUCUCGUACGACGUCAAACCAAGAAUCUAUAUCGUAAACCACUUUAGCACCCAAAGGAACAACACUUGAAGAUUCAUAAUGGAAUUGAAACUCUCCAACAGUCCAACGAAUGCAUUUGUAGCCUAGAGCAAGUCCUUUCUGCGUUGGCUAUGUUAGCACAUAUACUGUUUUCGCCUGGAGCAAGUUCUUAUUUCGUUGAUUGAAACCUUGCUUUUUCACUAGCUUCUUGACUUUGCUUUAUAUACGGAAUUCGUGUUGAGCCGGUAAGUUUCUAAUUACGUAUAGAAAAAGAGAAUAUUCUGUGAGACUACGACUUUAUACUACUUGUUUGGUCUGCAAGAGAAGUUAUUGUGUCCGUAACUCUCAAAAGGUAGGCUUUUCAGAGAGAGUGAAGUUUGGGGGAGACGAAGCUGUGCUAAGGGAAGCUACAAUUCCAGUUUCGUUUGUGGAAAAAGAUAGUAUUGGCUCUUAAGCUAGCAAGGUGUCGUGGACGUAGAGAGUCUCUUUGUGCUUCUGAUGCGCUAAGUCCUGAUUACCCUUACGCUCUUUCAGCUUUACUUGGAAAUAAGUCUUCUUGCCCAACACAUACCUUAACCUUGAUUAUUGCCUUCUUAUGCUUAAGUAUAGGGUUCUAAGUCUACCGAGAGAAGUUAUUGACCUGACCGCGAGAGAGGAAAUGAAUGAUUCAGACAGGACAGACCCAGACUUCAGCACUAUAAUAAAUGGUAAGUGGAAGGAUUCUUUGUAUACCUUACUGAGUUUGACAGAAAGAAGGGAAUAGAGUAUCUCGCUCGUAUCGAGAAGCCGAGCCUAGAGAAGAAUCUUUUGAAGUGAAAAAGUAAGCUGCUGUCAGAGUUCAAUUAACAGUUUUCCUUGGUGAAAGUGAAAUGACUGUUUUCGUCUUGUUCUGUUCGCAAGUAAGUUGAAAGUCAUUCUGCUCUUUCUUGUUAAGGUCUUACCAGAGAGAGAAUCCGCAUGAGAGUUGAGUGUUGCGGUAAGGACGGGACAAUCUGUUUACCAUGAUAUUGCCUUAUUCCCCGGGACCUGAAUUAUGUCCUUCUUCAGUGCUAACGAGCAACAGAUGAAGCAGUUAGAGGAAAGUAGAGAAGUUAUGUUGCUGCAAGUGAACCAUCAAGUGAAGAAGCUGUGUUAGCUCCCGAAUAAGCUGUUCCAAAGUAAGCUGCAAACGGGUAGUCUUAAGUUGAAGUCUGAACUUCCCGGUGGUGUUCUUGUUUUGUCAACGAGAUCAGGAUCUUAAUAAAGAGAAGAUAAAGGAUCCGGCGUGAAAGUAGGGGGAAAGGAAGCUGCAUCGCCUGUUGCAAGGUUGAGCCUCAAGUCAGCGGGAAAGAUAGAUGGAUCAGACUCAGGCGCUGGGUUAAGGACAUAAUGUAAAGGCUUUGAAGCGUUAGCGGUUCCAACUUCAAGUUUCGUUCAAGGAUAGUUUGGGAGAGUGUAAGUUGAAGCGGAAGCAAGAUCGGAUCGGAAUCUUAUUCAAAAGACAGAGAACCUGGGUAUUUACUUGACUCUAUACUACAUGUGCUCGAUAGAUGAAAUUCCAUUCAUUCAUAUUGCCCCAUACUAAAGGCAAAGUUGUUGACAGAAGAUCCCCUGCUUGAAAAUGCAUUUGAGCCUAAGAAAUAGUCCUAUAGCUCUUAAACAUCAACUGAAACAAUAACUUCCAACUCCACUUGAAGAAACGAACUCCACUUUACUUCCAGCACUUGCUGCUAAUGACAAAACCUCUUCUGAUCUAAUUACUAUUUAUAUUGCACAGAGACCCUUAUUUAGCUUAUUGCCUCUUUAUACUUUACUGUGGAGCUGACUUCCUUUCUCUACGAAAACUAAGGUCAAACCAAUCACUGACACCGACCUUUCACAGUUCUGAACCAACAACGCAUGAACCUCUAGCGUAAACAAAGAGCUACGCUACCCUUAGACACAAGUAGAAGAUCGAACCUCUCUCCCACCAAAAGAACAAGACUCCAAGUUUCGCUAACCAACUUAUAAGAAUCGCUAUGACCAGACUUUAGCCUUAUUCUCGGCUGGCUUCAAUUCCAUUCAUCUUUAUUGAGGAUAAGACUUAUUGCCAACAGGAUAAGACGGAUUGCCUACUUCCCUUCCCGACCCGAACUCUACUACAAGGAAGAAGAAAGCCCUUCACUUUCUUGCAGGACAUAGGCAUAGGCACCGUGAUCCAUACUAUACAAUAUACUUUAAUACAAUAAAUAUACUUGACUUCCAUACUAUACAAUAUACUUUACUUCAAUCAGAAAAGAAAGAAUGGAAUGACACUUAUGGAGGAAUAGAAACCUUACUCUAAACUCAUAGCUUUGCUUCCUUAAUAACCUUUGACUCUAAACUCGUAGCUUUGCUCUUCCUUAUAACCUUAUUGUUCCGUUGCUUGUUAGCUUAUUCUUGUUAGCUUAUUCUUUUCUGCUGUAGUUAGUUGGGCUGAGUCACCCUUGAAUAGAUUUGAGUUCGGAAUCCGAAGAACCUCUCUCUCUAUCCACGAGACUGAAUUGCUUCUUCUAAAGAUUAUGACUUUAUUCUUCUAAAGCAUACUAUAGCAGAAAUAAUAGAAAAGAAAAUAUGACCGAGCCCUCUAAAGUUCAAGUAAAGGGGUGCUUGGCCAUUUGAGAACUCUCUUGUGCUAGACCCUUUUUCCCUUGAUAGUCUUUUGAUACUGGGAAACUUGUAAAAAGACCGAACUUCUACUUUAUAGAUAUAGAUCCGAGCCUCUAAUUGACUCUUUUUUUUGCUUAUGCUUAAGCCCGGAAUGGAUUGACAUACCUGCUUUUGCAAACGAGCUUGCCUAUCGCUACAAGAGAGCUCGGUUCACUUGCUUACUCUCUGAGUGCAUUGCUUGAAAGAGCUCUUUGCGACCUCUUCUCUUGCCCUUCCUUCUCUUGUGCCGGGCGUGUGAUCGAUUGGACCUUCCCCUUUUCGCCUGUAAUAGGAUCAAAGCAAAUGAAAGCGGUGGAUUUGAUGCUCUCCGGAAACAGCCGAAAUUGCCGCGGAUGCAGAGUUAGCACUACCUUGCUUCCGUCCCUCACCCCUUCUUUUCCUAUGUCGACGUUGCACAAUGACUUUACGUUAAGGGGUCAGUCAAGGUAUACACAAUGACUUUACGCUCAGGGGUCAGUCAAGGUAUAAUUCGUCAUAGUUUCCUUCGUUAGUCAGUAAUGUGGGUUGGUUUGCCUUCUAAUCCAGCUUGAGAUCGGCCAGUGUUUACUCGGAGUUCUAGUUAUAUUCGUGACUUCUUCGCAUCUAUCAAUCAAAUGACAUGCUCGACAUCCAUUCUAUCACAACCCGCGCCCAUAUUUGGCUAAACAAAGCACUUUAUUAUUAGUAGCUGGUUCAACAAGAGCAAUUGGAUCUUAUUGGCUUGCUUAUUCAAGUAGUUUUAGUAAAGCCAGUGUUUUUGUCCUAAACGCCUCUUCCCUUUCAUCCAUUACCGCGCAAUAGGCUGCUCUUUUUCCCAUCUCUUCUCCUCUUGCCUGCUAGACCCAAUGGAAUGGAAAAUAAGGCAAGCGCUAGCUACCUCCUUGCACGGGAUUUGUUUCCAAGAAGAAGUUGAUUCCAUCCUGCUAGUUAGAAUCCCUCACUUCACUCCCUAAAGGCGGAUUAAGACUAAGGCUAUUCUCGGGAGGCAAGGAAAGAGAUAUUCAAUCAACCAAGCAAAGAACCGAUACCACUACCACAGUAUUAACCAAGACAGCGGGAAGGAAUAGAGUCGAGCCCAAUAGAUAGGAAGAAAAAAGAAAAGCCCGGGCAAGAAGAGGGGACAACCUCGCUCUUGAAGUGAGUCCUCUUCUCUUAGUGGGAGUCAGAGUUAAAGCUACCUGAGCUAACUGCUUUUCACUCGAAUUAACUUCACUGCUCUUAGAGCGAGAAAAGGGAGUCGACAUCAAAACGGAACUUCCAAUCUACAUAUAGGGGGGCAGCUUCCUAUCCUAAAACUAGACCCCGUGUGACUCUCCAGCUUGUGUUCGCUAACUUAAAUGAUCUGUCAUCCAAGCAAACAGCACUUCUUUCCUAAUAAGAUUCGAGGGUGUUAGCGAUAAAGAGCACUAGGUUUACGAGAUAUAUAGGUCAAUUCCAUUAUUGAGUGUAUAAGGGUUCGUUAAAUAAAUAUACUUAUGUGCUAUAUGCCUUCCCAGUAUAGGAAAGAAGUUGAUAAUAAGGAAUUCACUGCAUUAGUGAAAGAAUAGCCAAGUGCCAGAGACCACAGAGCUCAACUCCAAGGUAAGAAGUCACAACUAUACUACAGUAUAAAGUGAAUAAAGAGAGGCAUAGGAUCAAAGCUACAACACCAUAAGAAUUGGAACAGAGUAGUCCAAGCCUGAACGCGGAGUACUUUAACACAUAAGUUAGCCUGCCGCUCCUGACCUCCAAUCUUAUCCCUGCCCGGACACUCCCGCUUCUGAGUUUUGCUCUGCAAUUAAUAACUAUAAUAACCGAGCUGCACAGAUAAAAAGAAUGAUAUCUCGGCCAAGCCUUGUGCCUGUUAACUUCCAAGCCUUCCCUUCCUUUCUAUUAGACUUACUUCCUGCCGAUUAGUCUACUUAUACUUACUUUUAGUCUUCCUUCCAUUGCUUUAACUCCUCCGAAUUGAACUAUUCACCGAAGAAGGACAGAAACAAGGAAGAAAACGACUACCCCAAAAUGCAUUAUUUAUAAGAUAAGGAGCUGGUAACUAAUAGUAGUGAAAUAAGAUAGGAGCGGGUAACUAAUGCUUGAGUGGAAUUCUUACGGUUACUACUGAUGUGACUAAAACAAUAGGCAGAGUUGGAGGUAUGCAAGAACUCAUUCACUUAGCACUGAGGCGAGGUAGGCCAGGUGGGAAACUGCAUCAGUCUUGUUCCACGCUGUGAAGAAGGUAGCCUACUUUGACUAUAAACUUAGAGAUUGAAAUUGGUAAGUUGAUGUAUAGAAUAGAAGAACUUAGAUUUAGCUGUUACUACGGGAGAUUGGAAUUAGAAUAAGUGUAAAUAAAAUAGACUACUAGACCUUAGCUACGAGGCCCUUAUAGUAAUUGCCAAGCAUCUCUGUCUGUUUAGGGUGUGAGUUGGCGACGAAAGAGGUAAUUGUUUCGAUUCUUAAAGGAGAGUUUCUUUGUUACAUCGACUAAGAUGUUUGGUUCAAAUGCAUUCUAAGGCAAGUUGAUGAGUUGAAAUGAACUGUAGCUGGUGGUAUUGUUGCUGGGUGCUCAAGAGGUUAUUGUCCCGCUUCUGCUGGUGGUAUUGUUGCAGGGUAGGGUGAAAUGAUGAGUUGCGAGUUGUGAGUUGAAGCCUGAGCGGACAGUAGUAAAGCCUGAGAUGCACUGGUUGAAGUCUUGGAUUGCUGAGCUUGAUUCUUGUUGGGGCGAGGCACUGUUUGAUUCUUAGACUUAGGGGUUCAAUUCUGAUCUCUGGAGAAGAGGUCUAAGGCUUAGUACCCUUGCUUUCAGUCUUAGUAUACCUUUUAGCAGUCCCAUACUAGCUACCCUUGCUUUCAAGCUUAGAUGCAGUGGUUCAAUUCCCAGACUACCCGGUUUUAGUCUUUGAUGAGCUUCUNNNNNNNNNNNNNNNNNNNNNNNNNNNNNNNNNNNNNNNNNNNNNNNNNNNNNNNNNNNNNNNNNNNNNNNNNNNNNNNNNNNNNNNNNNNNNNNNNNNNNNNNNNNNNNNNNNNNNNNNNNNNNNNNNNNNNNNNNNNNNNNNNNNNNNNNNNNNNNNNNNNNNNNNNNNNNNNNNNNNNNNNNNNNNNNNNNNNNNNNNNNNNNNNNNNNNNNNNNNNNNNNNNNNNNNNNNNNNNNNNNNNNNNNNNNNNNNNNNNNNNNNNNNNNNNNNNNNNNNNNNNNNNNNNNNNNNNNNNNNNNNNNNNNNNNNNNNNNNNNNNNNNNNNNNNNNNNNNNNNNNNNNNNNNNNNNNNNNNNNNNNNNNNNNNNNNNNNNNNNNNNNNNNNNNNNNNNNNNNNNNNNNNNNNNNNNNNNNNNNNNNNNNNNNNNNNNNNNNNNNNNNNNNNNNNNNNNNNNNNNNNNNNNNNNNNNNNNNNNNNNNNNNNNNNNNNNNNNNNNNNNNNNNNNNNNNNNNNNNNNNNNNNNNNCAGAAAUGAGAAAAACAAUCAAUUAGAAAUCACAAAUAAUCCAGAGCCAGGUAAUAUAGAAUCCAAUCUGGCAACACUCCCUAGUCAUUAACUCCUCUUGCUACUGCUACUAAUACAACAACUACCGGUAUUCCACUGGCAGCUACUUAUAGAUCUCAGAGAAUUAAUACCUUUCCUACCCGACCCUAUAAUGAAAAACGAAGCCCUGCCCUGGACUCGUCACUUUCAUAAUUUCAUUCAAUCUCAGAUGACUCAUUUAUUAUAUACAAAAUCCACGAACUUAUUUCUACGCUUCCCUUGAUACUUUACCUAUGGAGUUGAGAUCAUCUUCCUUAAAGGAUUCCACUGGAGCAGCUCUCUCCCGAACUCUGCUUUUACGCCUGAUUGAGAGCGCAGAAGAUAAGAUUGCUUUGUGGAUUAAGAUUGCUUGUUCUCUCUAAAGCACCUACCCGCUCAAAUAAGUGUUAGUGCAACAGCCUGUUCAAACCAAUAAGUGUGGUUUGCGCCCCAAGAACUAAGCGUAAGCACAAUUGCUUGUUGACUUCUGGAAUGGAAUUAGUUGACUACCGGCCCAUUAAUUAAGAGCACAGGUACCGGACAGGGUCGAUUAUUUACCCAUAUCCUUCAUGCCCAUGCCUAGACCUACAUCCUUCAUGCCUAGCUCCCUCUGCUUUACCUGCUUAAGAUUCUAAGGAAACUUCUUCUUAGCGUCAAAGAUGAAUUGAGUCUCCAUCUUUUGCAUAUAAUUAUGGAAUGGAAACGGACUCUUUUCUUUCUGUUAAGUAUGUUUUGUAAGGAAAGGAAGCAAGCCACUAGAGCAUUUUAGGGAGUUUGUCAGGAAAGGAAGAGCAAAGGGAAGACUAAACCAAACCAAAAUAAGGGGCUUGGAAGCUAUCAGUGAAUUCUUACAGUCAUUCUCACAGGCACCGGUUUCGUUCUCAUACCCCUAAGCAAACUCUUAUUCUUAUGUACUUGUUUUAUCCUUACUCGUUGUAGCUUCGUUCCUGUUCUUAUUAGUAUAGUUUGAUAACCCAGGGGAGUCACUCACUCCUAUACAACGACGUUCAAUUCUUUGUAUUUUGGUUAAUUCCGAUACUACUGUAGCGAGCUCUUACUUCUUUGUUUAGGGCAACUUCUUUUGGUACUCUACUUGUGGGCAGUGUUUCAAUCCGGACUUAGUGCGCUACACGAUACAUUCUGACUUUCAUUAUAAAUGGAUUAGGCAGGAACAGCAAAGUUAGAGACAUGAUAGCAAGAAUUUAAGGAACAACUACAAGAACUAGAUACGGGGGGGGCGAAGGCAAACUCUUUUUUGCAGGCUUUACUUUUAGGUGGUAUUUACAGACGGAUAUAGUUGGUAGCGUAAGGCUAAGAGAGAGCAGUGUCCGUUUUGGAGCUAGUGAAUAAAGGCAUUGAGGCAAGGUAGGCUCAUAGGUUUUAGUCGCAUUAUUAUAGGUAAUAGUUUGAUCCCUUAUUCUAAGAUAAAGUAUUGAAAUAGGUAGUUCAAUCCUUAUUCGCAGAGGAAUCGGACUUAAACAAAGGUGCUGAAAGCCUCGAGGCCCGUAACUACAGAAUAAGAGUCAGGUCGGUAAGCGCGUAGGGGGAUUCUGAUAUUGCUAGUAAAGUAUGAGAAGCACCAGUUGGUUUCUCAGUUAUUGAUUCAAGCAUUAGAAGCACUAGUCGCAUUCUUUUUAUAGUAGUGGAUUUCCUGGUUUCUUUCCCGGUUCGGCUAUUGCCAGUAGCUGUGUCAUUCCAAGUUUCCAGCUAUAUCCCUAUAGUUGCAGUUGCCUCAUCAGUAGUGUUUCUAUCCAUGUAGGGGCGUUUCGAUUCCCUGUUCCGAGUUAAGAUCUUAGAAGCGGUAACUCAAUUCUGGAUUCUAUUAAGUGAAAGCAUUAGAAGCGCUAGCUACAGUUUGAAAGUAAGCAUAGUCAGAAUCCACAGUUAGUAGAACAAAGAUAUGAAUCGGGAGUUAGAGAAUCCAAAGUCAAAUACAAAACUCAACCCAGCAGUAAGGGGAUGAAAACUAAGAUAGUGAGGGCGAUAGUAAGUAGAACAAGUCUGUUAGCCAUAGGUUGAUUCUCUCUUAUGAGAUUAUGGACGAGAACCUGGAGAGUAAGCCCGAGAAGCUGCAGUUCUAUUCUUAGAUGUAGUAAAGCAAGCAUUACUAGAUUAAGCGCGGCUGGUUAGUUGGAAUAGGAGUUUAGUGAAGGACAUCUUAGGUGCCAGUAUCGGCAGUGCAGAUGUUGAUUCCACGCUCACUUACUUUGUAUCCAGGUAGGGUGGUGGACUGACUUGGUGGUCCAACUGUUGUUGCAAGAGAAGUCGAAAGUCCAUUAUUGGCCCUGACCUAUAGGCCCUAUAGUUCAAGAGAAGAAGUAGCCCUUAUAGUCAGUUUCGGUUGAAGGUGCGAGUGUUGGUUCGUGGCUUUCCCUUUGCGUGGAGUACACGGUUGAAAGUUGGCUUGUUCCUGCGCUGGCUUAGUCUUAAGGAACGGUAUAAGAAGAUGAAUAAGCUGUUUGUAGUUCCUUGACUUCUAUCCCAUGUGUUCAAUAAGAUAAUAAAUGCUGUAUUUACUCCUCAAUGAGUAUCUGUCUGUUCUUGUUUCAAAUCCCUUGUUUUAUCGUAUCUAGUUGUUUGCUCCUUUAAGAAUGGAGUUGACUACUAGAAGCCGGGAAAAAAGCCGAAGAUAGCAAAUGAACUCUAAACUCGUUCCCCCAGUAGCUGCCUUCCGAUGGUAUCUUUUAAGGGCUCGUGUCUGGUCGGCUGUAUACUAGCUUCUCUGAGCAUGCGUGAAUCCCUGUCGGAAAGUAGAUUCCUCCGCAUGAAGGGAAAUCAAUUGCGUCUCGACUACCACCCUACCCGGGACUGUAAACUAUCCCAACAACCCAUAAUGACAUGACUGGAAUCUAAAGAAGUCGCUUGAACCCCUCGGUGCCGUAUUAUGAUGGAGAGCAUAAACCGUUGGGUCGCUGGAAGAGCAUUUGGAUUUGUCUAUGAAACUACAGCCUGGGUGGAAUGAUCCCCGCUUUCCUCGUUCAUAUGUGACCUCACCUCAUCUCCGUCGGUUGAAGACGAGGCAUCUUCUGACCCCACCCACUUAGCUCCCGGGGGGCAAACUGGAGGUUUGUGUUGGUAGUCUUCUAUCCCCUCUGGAAUGCUAAGUCUUGCUUCUAUCUUCGUCCAUUCUCCAGCGUAGUCUUUUGAACACCUCCUAAAGCUGCUUCUUGAAUACCGCUUUCUCUUUAUCCCAUUCCCACUUUCUCUGGUUGACAAAACCACUUUGCGCAGAUCACUCCUACACGAGUAUUAUACUAGCCUUAUAAAUAGCCUUACCAGCAACGGGGCUUGCUAAAGGGCUGUGAACGUUAACCAUUUGAAGUCGUAAGGCAGGCUACUUACUAAGGCAUUUCAUCAGGUCUGGAAGAAGUGGAAAGAGAAAAGGCAUUCGAGCAAAAGCGACUUAUUCUUGAAAAAUGUUUCUAUGGGGGUUAUAAGGAACUUGAAAAAGGCAUGGAAAGAAGUCUGCCCCUCCUUUUUCUAGUGAAUGUCGGAAAUCUUAUUAGAGAUUGAGAUUCUUUCUUGUCUGAGACUGUAGCCAGCUUAUAAGGAGAGUGAUGCACUAUUCGCUAAUUAGGAAAGAGGGUUGACUCUUGCUUGUCGAUCUCUAUUCCUCCUAUUGUAUAUUAAGGUCGAUCUCUAUUCCUCCUAUUGUAUAUUAAGUAUGUAACUUGCUUUCACUAGUAGCUGCUAUUCUCCUCACUGCAGAUAAGGCCAAAACUGCCUAAUACUAUGUCCUGUCCCCUGCUCUUAGAUUCACAAUGGAAUUGAAGAUAGCGCUAUCACAUCACAUAUAGAAAUUGUAGUAAAAACACAGAGCUCUAUAGUGUGGUUACAAAUUCUAUAUAUAAGAAUAUAUGUAUACUUAUUCCGGAACCUUCUAAGAAUAUAUGUAUACUUAUUCCGGAACCUUAUAUUGAUUAAGGCUUGGAAUCUCCCAAUCACCGGAUCGGAUCAGCAGUGAAAUGUAUUAUUAUAUAUCUGAUAGCUUAUUAAGUGGGUGGGCACUCCCAUAAAGUCUGUCUACAAAGCCCUUGACUUUCGCCUAAGGCAUCAGAUCCUAAGGUUUGAUAUGAAAUGGCUCUAUAUCCAGCCACUUCUUCGUCAUCAGCAAAGAGAAGUUACUAGCGGGUCGUCGAUAAGGAACUUUCCCCUUAUUUGGUUGGGGGCAAAGAAGAGCUUAAGACACCCUUUGUUUGCUUGGCGGUAAACUGAACUUUGCUAAUCGGGGCUUAUGAAAGACAUAGAAAACACAUUCAGACUGCACUUGAAAAGAGGAGUGGAAUAUAGAAAGAGCACACGCAACGCAACGGAGCCCUUCUUUAAACACCAACACCAGUAGGCUCAAGCGCUAUAGAGAAAUAUCUGAAUUCAUUAUAUGAUGGCAAAGAAUGUAGGUUUGGGGGUAAGUUAAGUCUAUGGAAACCGUAUCGAAAGCGAGAUCAGACUGACCUUUAUUGCUGGAAUGAUUCAAUAGUAGCAAAAUGCAUGUAGCCCGGGCCAAAAAGCUUGUUUCCUCUAGAGAGUUUCUCUUCGGCCUUGCCCUCCGCUUCUUCGAACCCGCAAUAUAGCAGCAAGCAAUCCCGCUUCAAAAAGAGAAUAGGGAAUCCCGCUUCAAAAAGAGAAUAGGGAUAGGGUAAGUGAUACCGAAAAAGACAUCAUCAUAGGUUGGGGUAAAGAAAUGAGAUUAUUGCAAUGCCAAGGCAAGAGUGAAUAUGACUUAUUGCAAUGCCAAGGCAAGAGUAGAUAUUAACUUAUUGUCGGGGCCAUCACCUCUGUUACAAGGCAAGAGUAGAUAUUAACUUAUUGUCGGGGCUAUCACCUCUGUGAGAAUAUAUGGAGAUCAUUUAAGUGAUCAAAGCGAAAAAGGAAUUUGGACUUGCAUUGCAGGCUUCUACGAUGGGCGGGAAUCAUAAGAAAGAAAGCCCUAUGAUGUGAAAGCUCCCCGCCCUUACGCCUCACCCUUCUACUCUUGGUUGACGAUCCGGUCCAAGAUUUCCUCAGUUCGGAUUUCUCUACGAAAACUAUCUAGGGAAGAUGAAAACCCAGUUGCUCAAGCACCGCAAAGGUAAUCCUCAUUAUGUUUGUUUGAACGUUCUUCUCCUGUUAUUUAUUAUGAUUAUAGAUAGCAUAUAAAGAAUAUGAUUAUAGAUAGCAUAUAAAGAAAGCAUUUAGUAUAUCUCUUAAUAACUCUCAAACUAUAGCAUAUAAAGAAAGCAUUGAGUAUAUCUAUCUCUUAAUAACUCUCAAACUCAUUCGUGUACAAAGCAGUGCAGACGAAGUCCAAAUCCAUUGCUUGGAAUUACAUCAUCUUUUCGUCUAAGGUCGGAUCGGAUGUAGGCGAAUCCAACCAAGCUAAGUUACAGCCACAUAUAAGAAACCUUGCAUCUAAUCUGAAUCAAUCGUUUGCCUUUGAAUGAGCUCAGUAAAAAGAUAGAGAAUAAGCUCAUUUAACUUCACUAAUGUUUACUGUGACCCCACUUCUCUAGCUGUUGUAAAAACACUAUGUUGGGAAUACUGGCCUCUGGUAAGAUAACAACUAUGAUGCUAUACCCUUUCGAAAACAACUAUGAUGCUAUACCCUUUCAAAAACAGAGUCUCUCCCAUAACUAUCCAAAAGUGGUUCUCUUUCCGAUUACUAUUCUGGGAAAAUCCAAAUAGACCUUGAGUAUUGCGCUUUCAAAAGAGAAAGGUACGGGACCCUCAUGGCACUGAUCGGCCUUGAACGGAAGCUACUUUGUUGGAGAGGGUGUGGAUGCUAAUUCCAAUGUUGGCUAAUGAAAAGGUCUUUCGUCAGUCAGCUAUCUUACCUUCAAUCUGACCUUAAAGUAAACCACCAGUUGUAAGCCGGGUUAGUGAAGCUCUUGACUGUCUUAUCCCUGGUUAGUUAAGCUCGGUUAGUUAAGCUCUUGACUGUCUUAUCCCUGUUCUCACUCAAUCCGGGUUAGUUAAGCUCUCUCUUGCCAGAAGGUGGAAGCAAGGGCGAUUACCCUACCCUUGGGAAGUAACGAUAAUGGUUUCUCCACGGAAUAUGGUGGGAUAUUUGAUUCUAUGUUUGAGUUUUGGGAUGGACUUGGAAUCCACUACUGGCUCAUAGGAUGCUUACUCGGAUUCUGUAACUGGCAAUUCGCAUUCUUCUUAUUAUCUCUAAUACUUGCACUUUGCCCUGGCUUUAGACCCUGACUUUCUUCUUUAGAGUGUAGUGGCUUGGGCAGUUUACGUAGGCAGUUGAGAUGAGCAUUCAAACAUCAAUUCCUUAACAGCUUCCUUUCGAACAGCUUCGCUUCCUCUGUGUCUUCUUCUCCCGCUUCAGAUCCGGAUUUCACCCUCUGAAUGAGAUUUGAGAUUCGAUGAGGCUUCUUAAUAAGAUGAAACAAGCAAUAGGCGAACUUAACUCCACUUUGGGACAGAUACGCUUGCGCCAACACACACCUCUGAUUCUUUAAUGACUAAUUGUUCUAUACAAUCAAGACCCCCGGAUUUCUCUUAUUCUUAUUCAUGGAGCUUCUUUUCUAAGGUUACCUUGAGACUUUCUUUACCGACGGAGAUGAGCAUUCAAAACGAAACUAUUUCCAUAGGAUCAAAGUCGAACAGGCAAUUCUCGGCAUAACACCCAUGUGAGACAGAGCUAAUGUAACUGAAUGAAUACUUUGCCUCUGGCCUGCUAGUCUAGGGAACAUGUGGAGGCAGCCCCCUCUACUGUUUAGUGAGUUUUCUUUUGGGUGUUUUGUUACAGUUGUCCAUUAUAUGUUAGCUCCAUUCCAUUUCUGAAGCGCGUUAGUCAGUUGUUAGGAUAGGGCCUACCAAAUCUUCUUUUGACUUUCCGGGGUAGGUGCCCAUCCGCUUUUCCACUCCAUGCUUUUUGGCCUUCAUUCUAUUCUUUCGAGUGAAGUUAGCCGUUGCACAAGAACAAGCAGUAACUGGUUGGUGGGUUUGGGGAGUUGGGGAUAGCGGUGGCCUAGCUGAUAGAUUCAAGUAAAGAGUCAGGAGUUACUAGUGCGAGGUUACUACUCCUUGGGUCUGAGUCCGGAGUGACUAGUGCUUAGAGGUUAGCACGGAGUGGGUCUAUAAUGUGUCAGUGAGAUUCAUUUCUUUGAAAAGCAAGUUACCAAGUUCCAGCAACAGGCCAAGCGUAUACCUUAUUUCAUGCAAGUUUAGUAUCAAAUAGGGAAUUAGGGAAUCCGAGGUUAGAAGCAGUUCCCAAAGGAAGGGGAAGCAGUCUCUUUACUCAGUGCUAUACCUAGUGAAAAAUCAGAUACUAUUUCUAUCCCUAGUGCUCAAUAAGUGGAAAAAGGUAGAGUUGCCUGUUUAGGUUCCAGUUUCUCAAGAGAAGCAAGCGGUAUCUAAGUCUGGUGGGUGUCCAAGCCUAACUGCCGCUUAGCUCGCUGCCGCCAUGAAUAAAGAGUGAUAACUCGUUAUGACCAAGUCCUGUCCUGUACGGGCUCUGCUCUAUCAGCUGACUCUAAAUCAUAUGUACUACUUCCUGCUUACUUUAAUGCUCUAUCCGCUCUGACUCAAAAAGCAACAGAAUAAGAAGCAACCGGUGCCUCACGCUACUAACUUCUUGUUUCGGGGUUAGGUGGAGCUAGAUCUGGAUCAGAGGCUUGAUCUGUGCCAACUCAAUCGGAUAGUGGAACAAAAACGAUUCUAUCUGUCUGUACCAACUCCAUAAGAGAAAUUCCAUACUGAAGUUUGAGGGUGGUAGGACUUUCCCUUUGCUUUGCAUGCUUGGCGGAACCUUGUAGUGGUCGACCCCUGCUCUAGCUGGUAACUCCACUGAUUCUAGUCGGUGCUGUAGCUACUUGUCGGCGAGUGACAGUUCCUGUUCGAGUUUCAUCAUAUAUAGAUAGAAUAAGAUAAUAUGCUGUGCGGUACCCAUAUAGGUAUAAUAAGAUAAUAUGCUGUGCGGUACCCAGGCGUUGAACCGCUCCUGCCGCGCAAGCGAACAGAGAAUAGUUUUGGUUCAUCUUAAGUCGCUAAUGGAAUGGGAACCGCUCCUUACGCGCAUUCGUGCUGUUGUUCCAAAGGUGGUAUUUUUUUUCACUAAGUCAGGAAAGAAUAAGGUCCGGAAUGAAUGAAGAAGGGAGUUGGUUACAUCAUUCUUUGUCAAUGCUACUCCUUUGUGCGGGGUAGAAGGACUAAUGGAAUUAUCCUAAGGAGAUAGAUUCUUUCUAAGCCUAUCUAUAAGAGGAUGAUAGAAGGCAUAAUUCCGGGGUUUCUAAGAAGGAAGUGGGCUCCAUCCCCCUAUUAUUACCUGAUAGCUCCAUCCUCUUCUUAUGUUUAUUACUUUAACACAAACAAGGGAUUACUGAAACUAUAGCACCGAACCUAGUAGCACCCAAAGCAAAGAGACGAGACUUGAAGUUCAAAACAAACCGCUUGCACCUGCUCUUAACCGGCCAGUACUGGAUUAUUACCUUCGCCCUGCCAGGCAAUUCUUCACUACUCUAAGAUUUCCCGAAACUACUUGUUCUUUCGCCCUGUCCUUGCUUUUCAUUCGCAACUGUAGUUGCUCAUCCCGUUGCUUGGCCCCUUUGCUUCAACUCCCCUUGAGUACCUAAUUGUGGAUUCUCUUGGCAAACUAUACUUUCCUUCCUCUUAUACUUAUUAUUCUGUUACCAAUGACCCAGUACAGGAUUCUUUUAUUCCCGCUUGGCACAAGCUACUACUCAUUCUGUUUUCGGGAGCUCCAGUAGGGAGUUAGUAUGAGUCAUUAAAGUCACAGUUUUAGGGGUCAGCUACUUAUCCCUUCCUUUGGUGACUUUGAUUCUCUAAAUGCUAAGUUAACCUACAUUCCAUUCCACAAGUCCAGUUUUUGGCUACCCCAUAUCUAUUCUCUUAGCGUCUAGACUGCUGACUUUAGACCGAGAUACUUGACUGCUCCUGCUUAUGCUUGAAAGCCUAUAUCCCUUUUUUCCUUUAGCGUGUAAGACCCAUGUUCCUAGUAGCCCCCUAAAACAUAAUGGUCGGUAAGUGAACUCUAUUCUUAAAAGAGAACUAGGUUUGUUAGGUACCCAUAUCUAUGAAAAUAAGGUUGGUCAGGUACCAAUAUCUCUAUGAAAAGAAUAUAUAAGUGUAUAAUAUGCCCUGCUUCUAUAUGAUCUCGUUUAACAAUUCGAUUCUUCUCCUUUAUUCAUCAUGGUUUUGAUGCCCCCUAAGUGGUCCAACCCCAAGCAUGAAAGGUUUACUCGGCAUCAGGAAAGAUAGUUUCAAGUAAGAUAGGUGAAGAAAGUGAUAUUUCAGUAGAAUUUGACUGAGACACAUAUAGACCCAAAGAGCGGUAACCAAAGAGAUAGGUUGGAUUCGAGAUGAUCUUCUUUCUUCUUUAUACGAUGACUUUUCGCACGGCAUCUGAAACUAUAACUGGAACUCUACUUUAUACAGCUAAUUCACCUUAUUCCUCUUCUCCUGAUCCUUCUGAUUUACAAUAUUCUAGUGGAUACUCAACGGAAGAAGAAACUAGCACAGCGUAGCCAAUCACUUCUAUUGGAGACUUUGCGCGCGCACACCUAAUAGCUACUGUUUCCUGCUCUGUGGUGUGGGCAUGAGAUUAGCAUUCGGCUUCUGUAAACUCGGAUGAAACUCAAACCGUAUCAGCUUCAUCAGAAGUGCUAGAUGAUGACCUUCCUUAACCUAGCUUUCCAGUCAAUACUAACCGAUACCCCUCUGCCUGGCUGUGGAAUGAAGUUCAAUCAAAAGAGAAACACAGGAGCCUAAGUAGGCCUAAUUCUGGUAUCAAAUCAAUUGAAUUAGAUGAACUCUAGUUCUUAAAGAAGCAAGUCAAGUUAUCGGUGAAGAAAUAUAAGUGAUAGUGGAAUCUGUAUUAGUUGACUACCCGGUAUUGUAUUAUUAGUAUGAGUAAAGAGGAAAGAAGUUUCAGAGUGCUAGGUGUGUUGGCUACUAGUUUCAUCCCGUAGAGUUAAUGGGUUUACUAAUGAAAUGGAAUCUAAAGCAGAAGCAUCAGAUCUUCUCUCCAACUCUGGAAGUAAGGUUUCAUCUAAUACAAAGAAUAAGGUGCUGAAAGCCUACAAAUACUUACUGAAACUAGCCAAGCUACUAUUGAGGAAGGAAAGAAAGCCAGUUAGUGCAGAGGCUACAAUUGACAAGCUUAAGGAGUAAUGUUGCCCGGAAAGCAGGAUUCCAGUCUCGUUGACUCGGCAGGGAGGAAAGUGAAAGUUCUCUUAGUGCUACAGAAUUGACUACCUCCCGGAAAGCUUAUCUCAAGGCGACAUCCCGGCCAAGCAGACAGCCAGCCAAGAUCCUUCAAUACCAGAUGCGUAAGAUUUGUGAUAUGCGUAAGAUGGGUGAUACGGGUGGUUCCUCUCCUUCAAUGCUUCAAUGAAUAGAUAUAACGGCCAAGCUUAGGAUAGACAAGACACGCAGACAAGUAACUACUCCAUUCCCUCACUGCGGUUGUUACUUUAGCGUAACAUUAUAAGUGUCUUGGCGGGGAUUCAACCAGAACGGGAUCAGGAGCAGUACUAAAGGGAUGGGAUUCCACUCGCCCAGCAGAGCCAGCAGGGUUCAAUGAAUUGUAAACAUUGACUAAGAGAGCUUAGUUACUUAUGGUAAAAGGAAUGAGACCUUCUAAGCCCCAUAACUGCCACUACUGCUAUACCCAAACCAUACCCGAAACUAAGCUUUGGCACUAAGAAUAAGGGAACGAAUAAAGGAACUCUGCCUCUUGCUCUACAACAGUUGUUACCGAGUCCUUUGUUUGGGUUAGUGACUUAUUAACAGCAGUGAAAUCUCAAUAGGGAACUUCACCUUACCCAGUAGCAGUGAAAUCUCCAGCUCGGAAAGCACUCUCCAUUAAGUGGUAAAGAGAAAGGGUUGAUACAAUGCAAUCGGUAACUAUUUCUUUGAUACCUGAAUUCGGCUACUAUACUCUGGUUCCUUGAUACUCUCUCUGCUCUAGCUGUUAGUAACGAGUCCUGUGUGAGCCUGUCCGGUAAGAACUAGUUCGGUUUACAAGGGUUUCGUCAAAGUGGUAUUUACUACUUGUUUAUAGACUUACCCAUCACCUGCAGGCUCUGGCUCUGUGAACUCGGUGGGCAAGGGGCCAAGCAACUUCUAAUGACCAAGCAACGGCGAAAGACGUUGGGCGGUAGCCAAUAAACAGUUCUUACGAAGUUAUUACAAUAUAUGCCUUCGGCGGCAGGAGCCCCGGUAAUAUUAGUGGAAUUCUGGGACGAGUGAGAAGAAGACCGCUACUUAGCUACCCGGCUGCAUUCUGGUUAGCACUAGUUUCAGUAUGUGGCUAGUUAGUGUCAUUCUUAUCUACUACCCUGGAUGCUCUGAUCCACUACCCUAGAUGCUUGGCCCUUUGACAAUAGGUGGUUUAAUAACAUUCUUAUGGAUUAACUCGUUGAUGAAUGGAGGGCCCACUUUACGACGAGAAAGAAUUUGUACUCUAUAAAGCGAUAUUGAGCUGUAGUUAUCAAGUGGUCGUGUACUGUGUCUAUAGGAGAAUCUUUUAUCAACAUUUCUUUGACUACACUCAUUGCGGGCAUCCCUAUAACAUUUCUUUGCCUACACUCAUUGCGGGCAUCCCUCUCGGUCGAUAUUUCAGUAUUCCUAUAUACCCUACAAAAGAUGAAGUCUAUCAUAAACCCGGACUCCAUUAUCAUCUCGUCCUGUACCGUGGUCAAGUUAGGGACUCUCUCGAAAACUGGGUGAUCCCUAGCUGAUGCGAUCCAGCCGAGAUGGCGGAUCAACCGGAUCUUUCAUUCCAUGCCUUAUCUUUCGUUUUACAGAACUUCUAGCACUCGAAGCAUUCUCCUUAUGAUGAGAGAGAUGGUCUUGUUAGAAGGCGAGUAGUCCCUCUUGGAUCUUCUUCCUGCCAUUAGCUAAGAGACAGCUGGAUCGGACCUCUAUCUCGGACUUCCUGAAUUCAUGCUGGUUACAAAGAGAAAUCCACUCGCGGAAUCAGGACCUUGGCCAAAGAUGGAGUAAUAGGUUUCCGGGUAUGUGAGAACUUGUCGUCUUUGUCAGCAGGACCGUCGUGGAGCGGGUUGGAGCCAUUGCCUAUACAACAUCAAAAAGCUUCCAUCGCCCCGGAGAGACUUAGCUUAAUCUGGACGUCUUCCCAUUUCCAUUAAUUCCUUGACUUGUAACGAUAGUUCCUUUAAGACCAGUAUAGGGCUUUCAGGCGCCUGAUCUUAAUGAUAGGUGCGGUGCCGAGUGAAAGGCAAAAGUCAAGAUUACGUGCACCCAUGUCAAAGGUAACCGAGUCAUCGGAAAGGAAAAGGGAAUAGGUGGUUUUGCGCAUCCAAGGAUAAGGGUUUUGUUGCUUAAUAGCGGAUUCGUAGGUUACUAAAAAGAAAGUGGGAUUGGAAAUGGAACUCUCGACCUGACCUGGGGCGGAUAGGAAUUUCGACUUUCAAUGGAAUCAUUGGCUGGAUCGAGAUUAGAGCCCUUUCAUGAGUUUGAGCCCAGAGAGAUACCAAACUAACUGGACCUACUCCAUACACUUUUGGAAAAGUAGGAGCUUGUUAGUUAGUAUUUAUAGUAUGCUGUGGUUAGUGACUUAAUUGUAUCAUAUGCAACCUAAGCUAACGCUGACUUUUCUGUUGUUGCACUGGGCAAUAAUAAAGUAAAGGUGCUUGGCUUUCCCUUCCUUGACCUGACCGCAGGGUUUUUACUGAAUUCUAUUAGAUGAGCGCUCUCUUCAACAAGCAAGGGAACAAGUGAGUUUGUCGGCGCAAGAACAAGUGUAUGAGUGACAGAAGCCCUUUAACGAGGUGAGUUAACCGGCGCAAGAACAAGUGUAUGAGUGACAGAAGCCUUUUCUCGAGUGCUUUUCGACCUUGUAGUUUCAGAGUAGAGUUCCAGAAGUGCUUGUGUGCCAACCGUCCUUUGAAAUGAGUAAACGUUCUUUCUUCAUUGUCAAUAGUGCCCUUUCAGAUGUGUGGUGGGAGACCCGAUCUUAGAUCCUAAAUGGAGUCUCGUUGCAGGAAUGGGAUAAAUAAAGAAAUACUAUUACUGAUUUCAAUGAGAGUGGGAAGGAAGAGAGCAAGGAAGAGGCAUUCUGUUCUAUACUUUAGAGUGAGAAUCCUGGAGAAGAAGAGAAAAUCAUAUAAUCGAUUCUAUAUCCUCCAUAAAAGAAGGAGCUGUUAGUUAACUUAUGUAUGACUGACUUUAUCCAUUUUCAUGUAAUUCUCCAAUCUAUUUCUCUUACCAGCAAGCGGGAACGAAAGAAUAAGCAAUUGGGGGGCAGUAUGGAACUUGAUUCAAUAAUAAGAUAUAAGGCCCAAUGAAACAAACUAACUAACUAUGUUUUGAUUCGGAGGAUUGGGAAGUCAAUAAGAUAAAGUAUAGUAAGGCUUAUGAAUUACAGUACUUGGUGCAGGGAUAUAAUACCCCGUAUAUCAUGAGGCAAGAGAGAUAGAACUUUCUCAUUGCCGAGAGGUUUACUUCAGACUUCGAAGCCUCUAUUUCGGGUGCUUGCUUGAAACCCGGCCCGGCCCUGACUCUUUUUGUUUCCUAUCAAGAACCACUUCCCUUAGGCAACUCCAUUUACUGACUUACUAUUUCUCUAUCUCCAUAUGCCUCUGUCUAUCUUCCGACUAUUUCUCUAUCUCCAUAUGCCUCUGUCUAUCUUCCCCUUUUCCACGGGCUGGCUAAUCGAGUGAGUGCUUUUUGUGCAGAAAGAGUUAGGUAAGAAGGAAAGUUCUCAGAUACAGCAAUGCUUCUCUCUGGGAAAAAAACACUUGAUGAGGCUUCCUUACCAGAAGAGAAAGAGAAAGGAGAUGGACUGAUUCUAUGGUAGUGUUUAUUGCUUUCAACCUCCUCAAUUUCCUUCUCUCGUAUGCCAUCUGAGGACCUUGAUCCCCACUAUAGUAGCCCGAGUAAGAAAGUCCAAAUAUUCAAAUAAUGGAAAAACGCGAAGUUGACAGUUCUCUUUUUGCUAGAUUGACCUGACUUCAUUCGUGAAAAUCCGAACCUAUUGUAUUCCUGGCUGGAUCAGACCUCUAUGGGCCGAGCUCGUUCUUUCAUUUUAGGGAUUUUCUUAAAGGAAAGAGAAUUCUCUGGAUUGGAAAGUGCCCCCAGGUACGUAGACCUCGAUCCAAGCCCUUUUGUUACGUUAAUGGGAUAUCUGCUUUGGCAUUUCCCAAGUUCCGUUCUUCUAAAGCUUUGAUUCUUGAAACCUUAUUUCUUUGAUUUCCUUUGGAGCGGUAGAGAAAAAGAAGUAGACUCUCGUUAACUAAUUCGAAAAAGCAUGCUUAGAAACGUCUCUCUUUUGGAGGGUUGGAAGAAUCUAAUAUGAACAUGGAUUUCUAGUCCUUAAGUGUUGUAUAUUUUAUGGUUCUUUUUAUAUGAAAGCGGAUUGGAGACUUGACCGCGUUAAGCUAGCCCUCCGAACCGCUCUCGCUCGAUCAUUUGAAUAGGGGAAGUCAUCAGCUAAAAAAACUCCUGCAAGCCGCCCACUAAGUAAGAGCUCUGGCAAAUCAUUGAAUAGGAGUGUUGGAAAGCACUCAACUCAAACCUGCGCAGGAACAAGUAUAGUUGAGAGAGGUCGGGCCGGGUGUUAGUGUUUAAGUAGAGUUAUUGUGCGAAGAAAAUCCAGUAUAGGGUCGAAUGGCCUGAGUGUCCCGCUGCUUAGCCUUGUGAAACUGAUUGUACUGCUGGAGCAAUUGUGAAACUGAUUGUACUGCUGGAGCAAGUAGGUUCGAUAGGUGGGGUAUAUUUCCGAGUGGAGAUAGGUUGGGGAAGAAGAAAGUGUAUAUCCUAUAGAAGCAGGACUAUAAGCAAGAUCCGAAAGAGUUCAUUCCGUUUCUGUCGAGGUCCAGUCUCAAGUCGAGUCACAGUUCAAGUCAGAGUGAAGUCGACAACUUAAGAAGCAGUUUCAAGAGACGGAUCAGGCUCAGAACGGAAAGUCGAAGGUUGAGACAGAAUCUAAUCUAAAGUAAGCUGUUAUAGCAGUUGAAACAGAGGAAGCAGUGGUCUUUACCCGCAAUUAAUAAGUUAGCAAGUCCUUUUGAUUAGGCUAAGGCGUCAGUUAAUGAUUUUCCUGGUUGGUUGACCCGGGUUGGUUGGUUUACCCGGCACUUUUCAUCGUAUUUAGAAAGAAGCUCUGCUGAGGUGCUCUAGCUCUAAGUCUACGAGAUAAGAAACAAGUUGGUAUAGAACCAGAAUAAGGAACAGUGGAAUAAGUAUCUUCAGCAAUAGAUGGGGCAAGUCUUGUUGAGGUCGAGGUGAAAGUCAGAGUAUAAAGUAGGCGGGAAGUUGUUAAUUGUUCAAGAAAACAGUAGAUGUAGGAUUCCUUAUAAGGCCUUGAUCCAGGUCUGAUAGCUAGAAGAUGGAUAACCACCGAUUUGAUAAGAAAGUAACAACACAGCGAUACUUACAUGUUGAUGGAAGAAAGUAACCGAACAGCGAUACUUACAUGUUGAACAAAUUGCUUCUCAACUCACUACUGACUUAUGGAACUUGAAUGAAUUGGGGCUGACUGACCUUUUAGGUAUCGAAUUAUUGCGCAUGUCGUUUGUUGCUAGCGUUACUAAUGAUGUUUCUAUAGCUUAUUUCCUAGUAGCUCUGUUAGCGAGUUUGGCACUGCUUACAAUUAUUCCGCUUCCUAUGUGGGUGGUUCAUUGAUGUGUUGAAGCAGCGCUAUAGGAUGCUUGAGUUUGCUAGCUAACGGGUUAACCCAAUUUCCAUGAAGGCACUUUCUUUGGUCGAGAGAGAUCAACUCUACUGUCUUUUGAUUCUCGUUAUGUAAGCCUUAACCACGCAGUCUAUAGAUAGAGUUGGGACAGGCAAUACUUAACUACACUUUCCUUUCGAACUGCAAUGGAAUCUUUGGACCACCAAUAAUAGAGUAAUUAAUAACACUGUUUCUUUUCUUAUAAGCUAGUCCUCUUAUUCUCUUGCCGACCUUACCUCUACAUGAAGUUCAUAAUUGGAUUUGAUCUCUCUUGUACAUGGUAUAGCAUUUGAGUGUAAAGAUACGGAACUUGUCCUUGUUUGUUGCGCUAACGGAGCUGACGGUUAUGCAUUAGCUUACUUUCCAGGGUGUCAAUAUUCAUGAGAUAGUUUUUGAGUGUUGUAGAGUUUCGCAGUGUGGUUAGAUAGAGCAUGAGCUGGAUCUGAAUUAGGAUAUUAAGCAUAAGAGGGAGCAGGAGUAGUGUGCGAAUCCCUUAAUGGAUAAAGUAAUGCAAUCAAACAAACAUGUGAACAAAACUCACUAGCAAACUCGGUAAUGUAAGCUUAUUCUCGGGAUGCGUUAGUGAGCUCGGGCUCGGGGCUAAUACUUAGCUUCUUUUCCGGAACUUGACUUUCCGUGGGCAGCGGAUUCUCGAGUGGACUUGAAUUGAUUUGCUGCUGACUUUAUACUCUUACUUUUCACUACUUAUGCUGACUUACUUUAUGCUGCUGAUUAAGAUUAUGCUGAUUACUCUUAUUCUCUAAUUACAAUAAUCAUAUUAUAUACGAUCGAUUGCCCUUACUUAUUAAGGCUUGCCCGAACUACACUACAUUGCCAACACAACACCGAUUUGCUUCCCGUAUCAAGCAUCUGAUAUUCUCAUUUCGGAAUGGAAUGAAAGCUUACGGAGUUUUGCUUCAUCUAGCGUUAGGCGAGUUCCAGUUAUUUGUUCGAGUCGAUACUCUUACUCUAGAUGAGGUCAAUUCGAAUCCUCGGACACUACAUCACGGGCUCUUUACAGAAAGAGUGGCCCAUAGCAAUAGCUUUUAGGGAUUCUCGAUCCUCUAAAGUCCGCCUUUUUCGAGAUGUACGGAAAAGGAUCCCCUGGCUUUCUUAAUAGCUUCUUAUUAACUUGCCCUAGUUUCAAUACUCCUUUACUAGUUUCGACUGGCUUUCCUUUCUCAAGUCCCCACGGCAAAUAAUACAACGUUAUCGAAAGCUUCAUUUUCCAGGAAAGGAUGGCUUCAUUUAGGUGUUAAUCUAACUCAGCUCAAUCUAUUCGCUCACUUAGGAAUAAAUGACUUUAACUCGAUGUAUUUCCCUUGCUUGCUUUACGAAACUAGAUUUCACGGAACUAGCAAGAGUGCGAGUAUAAGAGGCCCUUUCAAUAAACCCUUUCAGUAUUACCUACUCUCGAUAGAAACUCUUUUCUCGCCUACCCUUCGCCACGUCAACAGGAUCACUGGGUACUCCAACAAAGGCUGGCAAGCACUUUCACAAUGGAUAUGAUUAUUUUGGCACAAAGCUUAUUAGAGUAUUCUUCCAAAGCAUGUUCUAUAAAGCAUGUUCCUUCUAUAAAGCAUGGAUAGCCGGAAACUAGCAAUAUUACAAGAGAGAAAAGCCACUCUAUCUGAAUCGAAGGUGCUUGCAACUUCACUUACGAGGGACAAACAAACUUGAUGGUAUCUUGUGUCAAUGGUAGCUGGAUGGCCCAGUUAAAGCUCUCCGCAAUCAGAAUAUCCGGCAUUCUUUCUAUCAGCCUCCGAUAAUGGGCAUUGAGCUUGAGAAAAUGUGGAUAACCUGCCUAUAAAGAAAGGUGCUGCAAGCCUUAGAAACGAAAGAAAUUGAUACCAUCGAUAUAGUCUUCGAUUCAACUCGAAAGAAAGUCGAACCUAGAAAAACGAGAGAGAUAUUUGCUAAUCAGGCUCCCCUCCAGGGGUCUCGGGAUAGCAUAGCAAGUGAAAAAGCUGGGAAAAAGCCCAUUUUGGAUGAGGACGUGUGUGGUCGCUGAAAGCCACUACUAUUCCUGAAGUAACGGAGUUCUGAGAACAAGAGGGAUGUGGUGACUAGCCAAGUGGAAUAUGUCAGGCACUCUCCCAGUUAAUUGAUUAGAGCAGGUUGGAAAAGCGUUACUUAAUUGUUUGAAAACUAGAUACAUUCUAGGCUCUUACGUGAAGAUCACUUACCAGCUCUCUAUUGACUUGACUCUAAUAGCCAUAACUAUUCUAGCCUUACUGGCGGAGUUAGGUUCUCUGAUGAGUCUCCCCUUCUUCCGGUUGCUGCCGAAGUAUAUGCUCCGCUUUGGUUAAUAUCCUUGUGCUAUAGCUAUCUUUGCUUACAAUUUGACCGAUAUAAAAGGCGCUUCAUUAAUCUAUCCCUCCCUAAACUAGCUGUUUAGCAUCUUCAAGCUUGGGAAAGAGUGCUCAGAGUAUAUCGGCUAUGUGCUGCCUAUGUUGACUUGGAGGUCCUAAGCACGUAUCUAUCUCUCUUCCUCUCUUCGCUUUGGACUUAAUAGAUUGAAACCCGUUUUUGGAGUGCAAAAUGCCUUUGCUUUGUUUUACCCCUGUCUUUCUUUCUUAUUAAGAGUUUCGUUAUUUGUUUCUUCCCUAUAUAUAUAAGAGUUUCGUUAUUUCUUUCUUUCCUAUAUAUAUAAGAGUUUAUUAGUUAUUUGUUUCUUCUUUUUCUUUCUUAUAUAUAUAAGAGUUUCUUUCUUUCUGAUUUUGCACUUCACUUCUUAUUUGUGUUUGUGUUAGUUUUUCGAAAAACCUUUGCCGAGGAGCUCAUAUAGCGCCAAACAUAAGUCUAAAGGAGAUCGAUAGGGUCCACGGCUCGCUCUUUAGAGAGGAAACACUAAAUGGGAGCCGAUGGCAUUACAUUGACAUGAUUUACAAACGGAGCUGGAACUCGAGGUAGAGGAAAAGGGGGGCAAGGAGGAUGACUUUCUUAUAUAUUUUCGAAUUCGAGAUGAGGGAUGAGCGAGACGCUUGUGCCAAUAACACAUUGGAUGGGAGCCUUCUCUUCUCUGGCUAAAGGUUUUGCCGCGGGAACUCGCACAGAGGCCUUAAACUAAUCAACAUCAUCCUUAUUCGGGCCUCCAUGUAGAAAUCAACCUCGUACGCUGAUCCUUCACCCCCCAAUUCGAUGGGAAAAAGGAAAUGGAAAGUGUCUUGCAGAACAGAGAAACGGAGAAUUUCUUCUUUGUUAAUAGAUGGAACACUAAUAGAGGUUUUUUGAUCUAACAUGUGUUAUACCCAAACCGGAUCCAUCACCUAGAACGAUCUCAUCAGGCCCUUUCAUACUCAUAGUUCAGAGAGAGAUUGCUUAAGUCACUGGUAACACUCUUAGAGGCAGCCGAGUAAACAAGCCAUCCUUUCUUGAUGGGGGGAGAGGACGACGCACAGUUGGCUACAGGAUCCUUAGUUUGGUGGUGCGCGAGGACAUUUUCCGGCGGUGUGGCCGGCUCUUCCAGGUCAUUAGUUUUAGUUGUUAGUUUACACACUCUUUUUUCACCUUGGGCUUUCUGUCCAUUUCGGUUAUUGCUCUAUUUGUUUGCUUGAUUGUUAUUGCUGAGCGAGUGUAAUUGGCUGUUGCUAUGGAUACAUCACUACCAGCUUCUUUUCUUAUAAGAGACCCCUCAUAUGCCACCAGCUUCUUACCCCUCAUAUGCCACCAGCUUCUCAUGCAACUCCUCAAAGGUUAUGGGAUUUUCUCGUGCACGAACCAGCAAUCUCCUUUCACUCUGACCAUUCUUAGCAUUCAUAACGAUAUCGUCCUCAGCCAAUGGUGCAUCAAUGAUGGCUAACUCAUCUUAGAUAGUAUUUCUCUGUUGUGCAAGUCUUUUGCCACAGGUUUCGAGUCAUGGCGAGUGAGGGUGAGCCGCUCUUUCUGAUUCAUAACUCUUGAGCGAGAUCUAUUUGCAUAAAGUUUGCCAAGCUUCGUCUAGGCUUCAUGAGAUGUUUUUUCAGAUGCUAUAAGAGGCAUGCCCUAUUCUGAGACUGAUGCAAUGAUAGCAUGCAGCAACAACGGAUCCUGUCGAACCCAAUAGGUGUAGGAUUUGGUGAGACCGAGUGAUUAAAGGGCACCCAUCCUGAACAACGGUCUUUCGAAGGGCAUGGCACAGAGCCAUCAACAAAGCCCAUCAGGUCAUAACCAAGAAAAGCUGCGAGUGGAACUGAGAACGCCAUGAUGGAAAAUUCAUGGGCUUGAGUUUCGUUUCAGAGGUGACUGGGCAGCGGCAUUGAUCGAAAUAAGGGCGCUGCUCGAAGCGAGUCAAGUAUAUGUAUAGACAACCACGUGAGCGGCAGUUGAGUGUUAUUGGAUGCCAUGGGGGGUGCUUUUCUCUCUUGCUCGUUGGAGCGUGAUUGCUCCGUUACCAUGUUCUACAAUCAUGUGCUCCAAAUUCCGCUAUCAUAGGCCUAAUAUUCUAGUGUUGCAUCUAUCGCCUCUGGGCUUUCUUUUCUAUUUCUUUCACAAUGAAAACGUCGUGCAGAUGCUCAGGUGCCUACGGCUGGCUGGUCAAAUAACAGGGAAUCAGAUUAUACAAAAGAGAAACUCCAAUGCAAGAGACAGAAGAGAGAUAAUGGGUUUCUAUGAAUUGGCCUGUCCUACGAAUAGGCGCUGUCCAGAGUUCCACUUUCGGCUUGGAUGGAAUUGCUUAAGGAAAGGCUACUUAUUUCUUCCCUUCCUAUUUCAUUGGAGUGCCUACUCUUGCUCGAAAUUAUGAGAAAACUCCCACCUUGAAGAGAGCUAAAUGAAAACCAACAAUAGGACUGAAUGAAAGCGCCAUCACCCAAGGACGGAACCUUUCCUAUACCAGUACUUAAGCAAGAGACUCUUAUAAGUCCAAUACUGAUCAACGAAUAGAAUGAUUUUGCCGUAUCGGGGGAAGCGCUGAUUCAAAAGACUGAUCUUUCUGACUCAUUUUCUGACAUUGCCUUCUCUUUCUGACAUGAGACUUCUCUUUCUUUCAAAGGGUAACUAGCCUAAGAGUCACUUCCGAAGCGCAACGUAUGGGACGAAAUCCGGCAUUGCUAGCUCUGAAUGAAAUAGAUCCAAUCCACUAUGAAGGCAAUGGGUCUGGUCUGAGAAAAGAUAGGGCCACGCCCCUACUGCCUAUAGAAUGAUUGCCAUUAAACACACUAUAUAUAUGGAUAAAGGAUGGAAUGGAAUGAAAGAAACUCCUACUGCCUAUAGAAUGAUUGCAAUUUCCAUAUAUAUAUCCAUAUGGAUAAAGGAUAGAAUUGAUAGAAACCCCUACUGCCUAUAUUCAAUUGAUAUUCUACUUUGAUGGAUGGAAUUGAUAGAGAAAGAAAGCACCGUCAAGAUCUCGAACGGUUGAGGCGCUUUUUCUUAUCCAUAGAAAACAGAAAAGAACUUCCUUCGCGAGGAGCCUUUGAAUCGAUGCACCGAAGAAAGGAAAGAUCGAGAUGCCCUUUUAUCAACAUCACGGAAUCGUCGAGAAUGAUGAAUUGGCUAUUUGAAAAUAGGAAGAAAACCACAGCAUGUAAGGUUUCGGUCCAUCUUACCAUAUAAGGAAAAGCCCCAGAUACUUGAUCUGAUUCCCACUACUAUUUAUUAGCUUAAGUCACCAGACCUAUCAGACAGGGAUAAUCAUUCUGGUCCUGUCCUCUGGGGGAAUAACUUCUGAGACCUUAGAGCAAGUGUAAAGACCAAUCCAGCAGCAAAGCAAAAUAGCUGCCCCGUUGUCUUACCCGCCAAAAGGAAAAGCAGACAGACCCAUUCGAUGCAAUCCAUGGUAGUUGUGCCUUAGCGAGCUCUUUUGAAAGACAUUGUGCUUACAUAGGAGUUCCCGUCUUCCGCUUACGUAAGAAUUAUGUGAGUUCCCCUGUUUUCGCAGUGCUUGUUAAGUCUUAGAAAGAAUCUGAGGUGAAGUCGUUAACAGCAAUCGGUUCUGUUCCAGUUGCCCUUACUUAUAACGGUUGGUGACUCGAAUCCUAUAAUGAAAGACGGAAUAGAAUGAGAAACUGCUGAAGCAAGGUGUGGUCCAAGUCGAGUUGUGGUGCUAGGAAAGGAGACAUUGAAAACAGAAGAUACUGGAUCAGCACCAAACACUGUUUCAAGAGAAGAAAAGAAGCUGCGGUGUCAAAGUGAGCAACUGGCGGUUCCGUUCGAGUUUCACUUACAUUAGAUAGAAUUUGGUAACCAAGGAUAGGAUAGGACACUCUUUAGCCCGGAUCAGAAGCCUCAUCAUUGCCAGUGAUAGUUCUAGGUUAAGUUUCAUCCAUAAGAGCAUCUCUUUCAGUUCGCCUAGUUCGAGUGUAAUCCUUAUAGAAAUAAGAUCGAUCAUCUCUACCUACUGUACUGAUAAAGCUAAUGCUGAUGUUCAAUCAUACUCGUCUCUUUCUCUUGAAGAUAAGGAAUAGAUGAAGUUCUCUUGAGGAUAAGGAAUUGAGAAAGGUGUUGUAUAUAGAGAAAAGUCAUAUUAAUAAGAUAUUAGAGUUGGAUAUAGAGAAAAGUCAUAUUAAUAAGAUCUUAGAUGUGAUGCAAGAGAGUCGACGAGAUAAGUCAUUGGCUCUAAGUCUUUAACAGGAGAAGAGAUAGGUUCCGUUCGAGUUCAAGUUGCAAGAUCCGUUCUUGGCUACCAGGUUAUUUCUUGGCUUGCUCCCUUGCUUCCUGACAGCUUGAGCAACUAAGUAGGGUCUGUUUUCGGCUACCCAAUGAAAUAUAGUGCGCAGAUAGGAAUUUGACAAUGAAAUCUUGACUGAAGAAUGCAAUUGAGAGCAGAUAGUGCACCCAUACAUCCAUUAGAGUUGAGAGUGAAAGUCUUUGUUUGUUUUUGUUGGAUUCCUGGGUUAUUGGGUUAUUAUGAUCCCUCGCCCCAAAGGAAAGUCUUGCUUUUGGCAGUUCUAUUCUGAUUAUUGACUACUCUUUUUCUUAUGGCUCAUAUAAAAAGACAGGCUUUCAGCACCCGAAUCCUUUGUUCGUCCGCCUGUUUUCGUUCCUGUGUUUGUGUUGCGCGGCAGGAGCCCCGGGGUCGCAAAGGAAGCUUGAAUAUAGAAACUCAAGAAAGGCCCGGGAAAGAGCAUCACUACUAUAUGGAAUUAUAAGAACUGGUGCUCUAGUGAAUCAGUAUUUUCGUUCUUGGAAUCCGUUUUGUGAUUAAUCGACCGUUAGAGGUUCAAAGUAUGACUUAAAGACUCUCAAUCAAUUAGUUAUUUUCAUUAAGGGUUGAUUCAAUGACUCAAUUUCUCCUUGAUAAGGAAUUUGUGCAUCAGGUGCAACGACUUCUGGUGUAGCUUGGCUAGCCCCAGAGGCAUUUGCACAUUCAUUUUCCCACCAGAGUUUGAGGAAAGACACUGGAAUUGCCCGAUGUGCCCGCGCACUUCUUUACUUGAUUCAGAAGCACUUGAUUGAGACCACGGGUUACGUCUAGAAAGAUAUGGGAUAUGGGGAUAAAGGGCAGCCGGAGCCUUUGUUAGCGUUAACAGUACAGCUAGCUUCACUUUCAAUGGGUUUGCUUUCGUUUUUCAUCCGGGGCUGUGCCCUGAAAGAGACUACAAGAAUACGAGGUAGUGUUGAGACCGAAGAAUCCAUUCCAUAGUGACCUUGCUUGUCAAAAGGCAGAAAUACUCGCAUCUCUAUCACCGAAUCCGGAUUCUGGUUCUUUCUUUGAUAAGAAUCGAUCCUCCGUUUGCCUUGGCUGGAAGAAGAAGAUUUAGCAGGUAGUAAGGGAUGACAGCUGCCCCCAAGGUUGAAUGAAGAUCUGAUCUCCUUUCUUUCUGAGGAUCAACUAGUAGUUCCCGAUAAAGGAAAAUGACACUGAUUUCGGGUUUCUCUAUUUUCUUUCAUUUUCUUAGAAAAGGUGUGUUUGUGAGGCAGAAAAGAAAAGUAAACCUACCUAUAAAUAAGGCUUUCCAGCCCCAGCCAGUAUAACUAGAAAAGCUAUAAAAGUCCAGCUGUAUAACUAGAAAAGCUAUCGAAGUCCACAUACCAAAUAUGGAACAUGCAUUUCCGAAACUUCCAACUAUAACUAUAAUUCAAGCAUAAAGCUUAUGGCCAUGGGAUAAGUUCCUUUCGAAGGAAGACCUUUUACUUGCGAUUGAAUGAGUUGGUUUGCUAACAGGGGAGAAUUCUAGGCAAGGCAGGACUACUUUCUACUACAUUUUCAAUCAGAAGAGACGGAUUUCCAUUUUAAGGACAAGGAGACAAUUUAGUAGACCGCGGAUGUCAGCACCUUAUUGUUGGGUAGGGCCCGAGGAAAGAAGGAAAAGCUCAAGUGGUUGUCUUCCCGACACAGGGAGCGGAGAGCCUAUUCGUAGACCUUCGGAUAAGACAUAGAUAGGCGGACUUCCCUUAGUCUAUCAAGGAAGAAAAGAAGGAGUGAGUUUAGUACCAAAAGCCAGAGGUGUUACCGACACAGGGAGUGGAUAGCCUAUUUGGAGGCCGGCAGGGAAGAAAUAGCUGACUUAAGCUACUACAGCAAGGAAAGGAAAAAGCCCGAAGUGCGGCACUAACAAAAGUCCAAAGCUCAGUAAGCACUUAUACUUUCUACCCCAUACAUUAGCACUUAUACACUGUCAACAACAGUUGGGCCUGUACAAAUUCUUGUCUUGCAACUACAGUUGGGGCUGUACUCAGUAAACCUUUAAUGGAAUCCAUCUUAUAAAUACACUAAAUAUAUCAUCUGUUGCAUUAAGAAUUGGUUCUAUCUCUACUAUAGCAUUAAUCAUUUAUGCUGCAAUCUCUACCCUAGCUUGUAUACUCGAAACCUAAACCUCUGCUGCUUGUUUACUCUAAACCUCUGCUUUGUCAAGCAUCUGAACUAUCAUACAGGGCUAAGCUGUUUCUCUUUGAUGAGAGGUAAAGGGUCUCGUGCUCGUCCUCGCUGUCAGUCGGUAGGGUAGCGAGUAGGUUAUGGUCUACCAGUUGGAGGGUCCGAGUCAAGUAGGUGUCUGAGGGAAAGGCGAAGUCCAUAAAAGAACUAUAUGGGGAUGCCUAUCUCUUCUAUUACAUAGUUGGAUUGAUUCAUGUCCCUCAGUGGAGUUCCGUUAUUGAAGGCAGUGAGAGCCCAGUAGGAGAGGCGUUCCAGAGUAGUGGUCCAAGCAUUAAGGUUCAGCGGCUAUUACUCAGGGUAGUGAAGGAACUCCUAUAUGUCACUAUUGCUUAAGUCAGGGUUAAGGUCCAGAAACAUACUUGCUUGUAUAUGAAGGUACCCAUAGCUAUUGGUAUAUGUUGGUGCUAAUAUUCAAUCAAUACAAUAGUAGUAUUUUAAGUCCUCUCGUGGCUUUCCUAUGGAAGCAGGUGCCUAUCUUAUCAUAAUGGGUACAGUAGAGCUGCCAACCACGCCUUUACCGAGUCCACUGGGUCUUGCGCCGCUCCUACCCCUUCUUUCCUUGAUAAGUAUCAUCCUUCUCCCCUUUACUGAACCCAGCUUUUACACCCAACACAGAAAGAGAAGAGCACACGACAGAAAGCCAUUUCGUUCUCAUCCGUCCGCGAGCCUAGGCACGAAACACAAGUCUGUUCACCACUGCUAAAAAGAACGCUAGUGACCCGUAAUCCGACUCUAACUGGUGCUUGCCCACUACACAGACAGGAAGGAAAGAAGCAUAAUGUAGUAUAGAAUGCAGCCUAUCUAAUCUAAUGUAGUGUCAGUUCAACAAGGUAAAGGAAUGACCUAUUGUACUAAGUGUAAUAGUAUAUGGAAGCUAAGAUUUCUAAGUAUAUUAGUUCCAAUCUUACUAACGCUUUAUUCAGGACUCUCGCUUAAUUCAGUAAUGGCUUAAAGUCAAUAGUGAGGUUACUUAUUAUGUUAUAAGAUCAUAUCUCUCUCAGAUUUCUAAGUCUUACAUACAAGUAUCAUAGUAUCAUAGUAUAAAUUAGGUGCCAACUUCACUAUAUAAUAUUCCAGGGUGGAGUCCUGAGUUGCUUGUUCAGUUCAGUCUAAAGGAACAGUAUCAAAGGAGAAAUACCAUCUAGUAGCUCUGCCAGCAUGGGGGUAGUUCAGUCUAAAGUAAGGGUAGCAAGUGUCAUUGUCGCGAUAGGUUAUUGGCCAAAGGCAGGAAAGGAAGCAGUUAGAGCAGAGACAGCAGUAAUGGAUGAGCUUUGGAGUUUCGGGGAACAAGUUAGAGCAGAUCCAGUAGUCAAUAGAUGAGCUUUGGAGUUUCGCAGUUAGAGCUGAGUUAAGGGAGUAAACAGUCAGGUUAAUCAAUUACGGAAGUAGUAUGCACUCAACAAGCUAUGUUACCAAGUACUAGCUACGUUCUUUUAGUUGCGCAAACAGGUGAGCUUUGGAGGAAAGUAAGCUCGAGAAUCAUCUGUGUCAGCAGCAAGCGGGAAAUCAAGUGUAGAGUAUGGUUGACGGUUGCCCGUAAAGUAGACAUCGACAACAGAAUCCGCUGUUACAAUAAAAUCAGCAGCAGUGAGAGUUUCUAAAUUGACAGUGCCAGCAACCAACAGCAAAUAUAUUACUUGCUACCACUUGUGGCUUUGCUUGUUCCGGUGAUUUCAUCAUUUUCCCCUAGCAGUGGAUUCCCCCACUUUUCGCAAGAGUCCCGAGUGUGCGCAAGCCCUUAAUGCGAGUUCCAGUUCCGUUUGAGUGUCAUCAUAUAUAGAAGCGUAGGUCAAGUCAAGUAUAUAUAUAAGCUAAGCUGUCUUCGGAUUCUUAAGCAAGCAGUACAGUCAUUGUAUCAAGAAGCCCACGUAGCGGUUAAGCAGUUCAGUCAAGAAGUCGAAGGGCCGCCCAACGUCUGACUUAGUUGCUUGGCCCCUUAUGCUUACUACCAUUCCGAGUCUAUUUACUAUAUGUGCUUAGUCUAUUCCUUUAUUGGAUACACUAUGCUAUACCUCUCUUAUAAUGAGGAGCCGGGACAUGGGAUACUAACAACAGUAGAAGACCUCACACUCAAACACAAACAUAUGAAUUGAAGGCGGUAAACUAACCAAGUUAGAGCUAGGAGAGGAAGAGUCAAAGGUAGAAUACAAGCAACAGAGGGGUGAUUGAAGAAUUCGCUAUAGUAGUUUCAGAGUGUGAAUUGGUAGGUUCAAUCUAAUGGGGCAGUGUCCAAUUCUUUAAGAUACCCGUGAGUAUGUAAGUGGAGAGUCUAAGCCGGUUAUAUGGGUUGUGGGUAGGCCCCUUCCCUUCCUUUUGUGCAGUCUCUGAUCUCUAGGGCUACUCUUUAUUAGAUUGCUUCAGCUGAAGAACCCAGACUGGCAUGAUUGGAUUGAAGCGGUUUACUGACAAGACGUUCACGGAAAAACAGACAGACGAUACAUUCCUUUGUAUUGAGAGUGAAGAUGUACAGAGUAAGCGCGCUAAUCGUUUUUCACGACAGGAGCGCUGAAAGGUGUUGAAAGAAAAGAGCCUUUACUUGAAUAUAGGUGAAUAGAAUAUAGGAAUGAUUCGGAUAGAAUAUGGGAAUGAUUCAGAAGAUAGUUCAUUAUUGAGAGAAAAGAAUGGCUUUUGAGUAAAGCAUAGGAUGCAUAGAAUAUCUGUCUGAGUUCAAACACAAGGCUAUGUGAAAGAUCCGGUCUGAAAACGGAAAACACUAACCCAUUCAAGGCAUUGGAGAUAAGUACGCAUGGUGGCCAAACCUGUGAAAUCGGGACAGGCAAGUCAGUGUACCGAAUAGACUGCCUUCCUAAAUAGAGAGUUUCAUUCAUACUCUCCGUAAAUGAGCUAUCUGUCCUUCCAUUCUUUGGAAGGUGCAUUUAAUCUCCUGUCGUAAGCGCUAAGAAAGAGGCAGGAGAUCAAUGAAAUAUGAGUCAUCUUGUAUAUAUCAUAUCAUACCAACCCUAGGCAAAAAGAGACUCGGUUCACUAUUCGCCAUCGCAUAAAAAGCAGCUCUUUCCUUCUAUAUAAGCGGAGUUCAAAAGUUUCAAUAAGUAUAAAGUUAAGAGAAACUAGCAUAGCAUCUUUCGUGAAGAUCCACUACCAUCUUUCCUUUUAUUUCCUCCGCACCAUCUCUAAGUUCACAUUUCUUUUGACUCCCAUUAGAGACAAAUACAAAACAAACACAAAAGGGUAUAUUCUUUAAAUGGCUUUUUUUGCCCAGAUAGAAUAGGCGUGUUCAUACAGUUGUAUAUUCAACCAAAGAAUAAUAAGCUAUCACUGAAGAAUUGGACUUACUAAGUGUCGACUUACUCGAGUUUCUUAUGAACUGGGCUUGGAGCCGCUGCUAGAUAUGCGCUUAAAACCCCAAUACAUAAUGGGUCUUUUCUACUUUACUACAGGGGAAGAGCUGGAAAGAGGGACAGUAGCUUGGGACAGGUGAAACAAGAAAGCCAUCCGUUAUGUUCCCGUGGUUGAGUCACUCACGAAUGUUUCGUCCCAAUCCAUAUUGCUUUGGUGGGGAACGAGUAGUCCACAUCUCUGAUGAUCCACAUAGUCUGCUUGCUUUUUAUGUCCUUCAAGAUUGUCGGUGGGUGCAGAAUAUGGCUCUUUCCAAAUAGAUGAGGGACGGCGUUUUUGAUACCUAAGUCAGAGGAAGCUAUCAGACGCAUUGGCUGGCUUAAGAAGAUCAGAUCUAUCACGAAUAGGUUUCACAGCAGCUGCAGUCACAACAGAGGAGCUCGUUAUGAAGUAAAGUACCUGCAUUCCACAUUGGAAAUGAUACAUAGAAGUGGAAUUGCGGUCGUAACAUUCUAAUGCCUUAAUUGGGAAUACGGGAGAUCCUUGGUUAAGAUCUGGCUCGGAUGCUACAGGUAGCUAAGCUAAGCAUUUGGAUCUGCUACUCGGAUUGCAAAUGGUUCCAAAUACUGGCUGAAACGGAAUACAAAAACCAAUUGGUGGAACUACAAAUGAUGAGUAAACUCGGUAAAGUACUGCUUGCUACUUUUAUUAGGCGCUGAGCUAUGCAUGGACGCCUAUCGAGCUUCGUUUGACCUGACCCGACCCUACUCAUAUCCGAAUAUAUUACUAAUAUCCUAAUAUAUAAUAAAUAUGAAUUUGAUAAUAUAUCUUUGCCUUUAUGAAAUGGAUAAUGUAUCUUAGCCUUUGUUUGUAUAGUAUACGGGUGAAUGGUUUUAUGGAGAUACUCAGGGUCAAACCUUUAUUAAAGAAAUACUAUUUCACAUCUUUCGUGAGAGAGGGAUCGGAUCUAAGAAUCACAGUCAAUGCACUCUAUCAAAACGGAUCCUUUUUCUCCUAACAUCAACUUUACCGCCUCUUCGAAACUACAGGGAUGCUGGCUAGGACUGGUUCAAUUGGUGCUCUGGCUGGGUCAACUACUGAGCUGAAUCAACAACUUACAGUAGCUUAGAUGCAGCUGUAUCCGCAUUUCCACUUACUGGGUCGGAUAUGAUUCAAAUGCUUAAGCCUCUUACGCUGAUCCACUGGAUGCUGCUUCAACGCCCUUUGCCACUUUCGAAGAACUACCGUUCGGACUUGUUUCUUGCUAUGACGGCAGGUACGGAAUCCUUAUUCUAGGCUCAAGCGGAAGAUAUAUCAGAACCGGGUAAAGAAGAUCUAAUUGAUUCAUAAGAAUGAGCGGAUUAAGCAGUUACAAUGGAAUAAGCAAGUGCCCGUAUCUGAUCCUGCUUGAACUUCAUCUUUCUUUCGCCUCGCGGUCAACUAAUCAUUAAUUCCAUCUUUCGAGCUUAAGGAAAACAGUAAAGUCAACUAAUUCCAAUAAUUCAUUGAACUCGCCUAUAUCAAAGGAAUGCAAUCUAAAGGGCUUUGAAGCCGGAGUUUGCUUGCAGCUAACCUAACUGCUUCCAUCUUUUCUUUAUCUUCGAGCCUAUCUUUUGAGACUAUACUAUAAGCAAAGCAGGGUACCCGAGAAAGUGUUUGGAUUCCAGUUCAUGCACUGGAGCCUUUCUUUACCAACUAUUAGAAAGAAUCCCCUCCUCAGUAGCUAAGUGGUAUACGGUGGUAUAGCAGUUAUCAUAUUGAGUGUUCCAUAUGGGUUCGUCUACUUGACUUUGGUGGUGCUAUGCUAUAUUCUAUUUAGCUUCGUAUAGGUCUAGCUCAGUAGUGAAGACCACGUAUUACUCUUUUUUAGAAAACGCAACUUACCUAUAAUGAGAAUGGGUGAAGUUCAUAUUGACUUGGAUAUUCACUGUUGGUACUCGUACUAUCACCUCUGUAUCUGCUGGAUAUAGAUAUGGCUCUAAGUAACUGUCACUUAGUCAACAGGUUCUUCGUUCAAAAACCGGAUAAAAGACUCGCUCAGUUAAUGCUAUUGGUCAAAAUGUAACUACCACGGGUUCUUUGACUGGAUCAAGGUAUGUAUAUGCUUAUGGCUCUGCUCUUGCAACCCUAGCUUAUGGUGCUGGUCCUACAACAGGGUAUUAUGCAACUGAUGCUUUUUAUGUAUUAGCUACUUAUGCUCCUCUAGUGGUGUUGAUACUCGGUAGAGACAAAUCCAACCCGAAGAGCACCACGCUUGUUCACGAACGAAGUGGUAGUCAAUUUCUAUAUGUUUGGUACGGGCAUUCAAUAUUGGAUGGACGGCUUCUCAUGCAUACAGUUUUUUCCCGACGCCCUACUAUAGGGUAUUACGGGCGCACCGAUACGUCCGGCUCAUCCACAGCUCUAUCUUCCGAGCCCCCCUAUGUUGUAAGUGAUUGGGUUAGGGGGUGAAUACAAGCUAGCAGGCAAUAAAGCUAGUGAAUCAGAAUUCUAGUCAAGAUUGACUUGUCGUGGUUUACAGUGGCUCGCUUGGUGAUGGAGGCCCCGGCAUUCUUUAGACCAAACUGAAUCACCUUGUUACCCCUUUCUUAUAUAGUGCGCCGUUUUCUCUCUGUCUCGAAGGUAGGUUAAGUCAAGUGUCAAGUCAGGGCUUAGGUUCCAAAUGGGGGCUGGGCUGGAGCAGCAACUCUCGCAUCAGCUGUAGCGGCGCAUUGUAAAGGUGCUUAGUUCGUCGAGCAAUUUCAGGCUAUCUGAGCGGGCAGAGGGAAAGCAAGAUGAUCGACCGGCUACAGGAAUUGCAGAGGCUCUCGAACUUUAUGUGCUCACUACUCGUUGCAUAUCCUGCUCCUCUUAUAAUAGCAGUAGCUCUCCUUUAGUAGCUAGUGGCUCUUCAUAAGGUGGAGCUCAGUGGAAUAUGCCGCCAACAGCAGCAUCGGUCGAUAGGCAGGCGAUAGUUGCUUCGGUCAUCUUCCCUGUGUCAGUCUAGUCCUUUGUGCCAUAAGAGUGCCUGCAAGGUCAUUCUAUGAGGGCUGCCUUACUAGCGUUCCUUCCUAUAAGGCUAGACAGACGAUUCCACAUGUUCGUCCGUUACUAACCGGCAUUUCUUCCAGAAUUAAGAGAGAGUAGAGCUAUUGAAACAGAAAGCCUAUGAGGCUCGGUACGCUAUACACAUCCUGUUGCCAGCAUCAAAGACCCUUCUUUCCUUGUGCUCCGGCCAAGUCUUCCCGCUCGCCCAGAGAAUUCUUCCUUUUAGAUACUCACUAACGCCCUCCUUAAGGGUCUUGCUCUUGAUCCUAUAACUCUUCAAUCCUAUGAUUGGGGUCUUUGUCUUUGGGCUCUAUCUUCUUUCUUAUUGAAUCUAUAGAACUAGCUCGAGCAAGCUUAAGAAAAAAGGGGGAAUUUCUGGUACUAAAGGAGAAGGGUUCGUGCCUUUCCCCGAUGAAAAAAGAAGGAAUCUCAUCUUUGUUCUAUGUUUGGGAGUAAGCCAGUCAAUGUGCCCGCUGUUGUGUAUGAGCAAGCGAUCUGAUCCUAUGCGCCUUUCUCCUUUUAGUGAAACCAACCGUCCCUUAGCUCGUGUUAUCAGAGUCACUUCAUCCAGUUUUCAAUAAGGAUGAGAGGGCUUUGAAUGAGAGAAAUCAUAGUUCGGGUGUGGUGAAGUCUUGGAUUGGAAGUCAACUAGCUCGACUGGAAGUAAACUAGCUCGACCAGUUGCUUAUAAAGAUUUUCCAGAAGAAGGAAGAAUUGCUGAGAAGGCUAAUCAUAUAGUGCAUUGGUGGAAAUAUGUACUCUCCCCACGAAGGGUUGGAUCCUUCCGCUGUAUAAUCUCGCUUGACUACUGGUAUGUAUGUCCGAAGUCCCCUUCUAAGCUAAGCCAAGCUCUCUGUUCUCUUCCAUUUGCAAGCUCUUUGAUAUCCGGUAGUUUCCCUUUGAAAAAAACACCUAGACUCCACUUCGGUAUCAUUUUGGAUUGAGUUAGCUAGGGCUCCUUUGAUCGUGCAUCUUCCUUACUGCCUUAACAUACAGCCUUCUUAGGAUUCUACAUGACAUGAUGUAAAAGACUAAACCUCCCCUCCUUCUUAAAGACUGUCCUACCCGAGGCUAGCGAACCCACCACCCAAACUCAUUAGCAUUCCUGCCUACCGCUAUACGUGGGCGCUGGAAGCUAUUGAAAUCGGACAAUUCGGAUUGUUACUGAGACGCGUAACACAGGCUAAUCGAUGAAAUGAUAGAGUGAUAAAGGGGCUAAGGCUCACUACGAAAUUGAUUGAAAUGGUGGAGAGAAUCGGGAUGAAAGGUAUGGAUCAGAUCGAGCCCGAGAUGCGGAUCAUGAGCAGAGCAAACCAAGAUAUUCAAUGGAUAUGCAAUGAGGGAGCGCUAGCCCCAAGGGUCAGAGAAAGUAUAGCUACCCGAGCUGUCAUGAGUUCAGUUCAUAAACUCAAAGGAGUUGAUCUUAGCCCUUAAGAGGGGGCCGAGGCUGGUAAUAAAGGUAUGAAAGCCAAACCACUUUCCAUUAAGGGAAAACGGAGGCAGCUUCUUCGUGCUAUGCUAUAAGUGGGCGCCCCUAGACCAUAGAAAGAAUAGAGCCAACGGUGCAGCUUCGGACUAGGUAGGGUGUCGAACCUCAUGUUUUCGAUCUCAGCCCCAGCCCCACUUCUGUUAUGCCAACUACCAGUAUUAGAUAGUGCCCCCAAAAAGGAAGCUUUAGUUCCACUUCUAUUGAUGCAAUAUACCCUUCCAGCGAGUUUUCCUAUCCCCGAGUCUAAGGGGUAGCUUUAUAUACUAGAAUACUGGUGCCCUUAAGUAAUUGCAUCCGAACAUUUUCUACAUCAACCAGGGACGAAUGGGGGUCGCUUCCUCUCUGCUAUGCUAGGAAUAGGAAUACUUGAAUGAAAAGAAUUAGAAACCCUUGCCUUACUUCCGAAUCCAUGCGGCUUUUCUUAGGUCCGUUUUUGUUACCCUUUUACUUAGAGUUAGAGUUAAUGUCUCUAUCGAAGUUCUAAGAUUACCACUUUCUGCAUUUUAUUCCCGGCCUGGAUAAAGUAAAGACUUUGGGCACGUCCCUCUAUAUUCGUUUUCUGGGAAUGCCUCUACCCACUUGAACUCUCUGGGUGCAUCGAGACAAAGUAUCAAGUGUCUUUGUGAUUCAAUUCUAUAAGUGAGUAAGCAUAGCAUCCUCCAGUUCUCUCGUCUUUCUCUUUCUUCUUUGAAAAUGAUGUUAGGUUCCGAUCCGUAGGUUUUAGUGAAAGGGAUGCUCUAUCUGCUUUCCCUUCUUUCUUCUAAUUAUUUCUACGAGUCUAAAGGGAGUUAUAUUCUUUUCUCGGGGCUUGUUUAUUUGAAUAUAAGUCACUUUGAAGAUCUAAUUAGAAUUAUGCAUUCGAGGUGCUAAGUAAAGAAUCAGAAUUUCUAUCGUAUGGGAAAGUCAAAAGUCCGGCCGAUAAAAAGAAGUCGAAAUAUAACGCCAAUCCCCGCGGUGAUCUUCGCUUAAGAAAAACUCACGAGCUGGGCUUUUCCACGGACAAAGAAUGGAGUCCAACAGCUCUUUGUAAGGCGGAAGAAACAUAUAAUAUAUAAGAAGCGCUGUCUCCGAUGGCAUCAGCAUGCGUCUAGUACAUAUUUCUUUCUCUUGUCUUCGUAAGUCAAGGGUGUUUAGUUUCUUUUCGUUUUCAGUCCUCUUACUCGUUUGAUGUGUCUUCAUGUAUGGGUUGAAAGUUGGCAAAACACUUGUGGACCUCACGUUUAAGUCAGUCUAGUUACAUGAAUGUAAACUACUGUACUGCCCCCAUCUGAGAUAAUGAAUUCAGAUAUAAUUGAGGUCCAGCUCCUAUUUUGGCAAACUAAAGGGUUUGUGUUGAUCCUCAAUCUCGUCCCCUUCUGGUCUCUCUCUAGACAUGUGUUCUUUCGUCGAAAGCAUUAUGUUUCUUUUAGCCUUCAUCUUCCUCUGCCGUUGCUUAUGUAGGGUCCCGACCUCCUUCUUCUAUUCGACUUGUGCCCUUCCGGAGACUUCAUCUUUGCCAUCUGCUGAUGACUCUCACCCUCGUCGACGUGUCUUGUGUCCAUCCCUAUUACUUAUGUUGUACACUCUCGCUGGGCUAUCGGUUACAUUACUUGAGAUUGAUAGGUAUUAACAGCACUUUAGAGGGUAUUGAUAGGCAUUCACAUGACUUUCUAGGGUAUUGAUAGGCAUUCAGAGCAGCUUGCAGCCUCGCCAGAUCUUACAUCUCUGGUUGUCGAUCCUACACCACAGGUUCGUAGGUCUUAUCGCAUUUUCACGAAGCCUAUUUGUUUCGUUGAAUCUCACUUGUUCACUCCUCGUUAUCAUGCCUUUUUAGCUGCUCUUCACUCUUUCCAUGAGCCUCAGUAAACUAGGGAGGCAGGCAGCCGAGCCGCUAUUCAAUGUUGGCAACAGGCAAUCAAUAUCUUAAGAACGGACUGCCCUUCAGCAGAAUGCCAUUUUGGAUCUUUUUCUUCUUCCGUCUGGUAAGGUUGCUAUUGGUUUCCGUUUCCGUCUGGUAAGGUUGCUAUUGGUUUCCGUUAGGUUUCUAAAGUGAAGACGUGAUCUGAUGGGUCUGUUGAGAGAGACAAAGCUAGGCUGGUAGCCAGAGCGGAACCCGCAUAGACAUUAAGGAGACUUUUGCGCCUGUGGCUAAGAUGACUAGUAGUUUGACCAUUAUUGCCAUUGCAGCGGUUGGCCACUCUAUAAGUUAUACGUUCCUUAUAUGCCUUAUACCAUGGUUAUCUUCAUCUGGAGGUGUACAUGCUGCCUAGCCUACCCCUUGAAAAGAUUCCGCUCCUUCUACUAAUGUAUGCCCCUUAAGCAAAGCCUUCUAUGGUAGCCUAUUGCGUUGGUUUUUCAAGUUUAGCACAGUGCCAUUGCUCGGGGAGUUUUCAUGAUUCGGCCAUGUUCUUUUCUUUUUCUCCUCGAAAACGUGCUAUUCUGUUGUUCUAUGUUCAGGAUAUUCAACUUACUGGUAAUUACUCCGUUAACAUAUCACUGAUCAUGUGUCGCCUUCAUCAAUGAACCUCUUCAUCGCCCUUUAUCUAUACUUCACUCUAAAAAGAACCUGCUCCAUAGAAUGGAAUUGAAAUGAAAAAGGUAGUAAGCGGCUCUGCCGCGCAACUUGUCUAGUUGCUUGGCGAUUAUGAAUCGCUUAUUACUUGUUUGUUUACUUGUUUCAUUGAGUGCAAAAGAAAAAGCACAUUACUGGAAAUAGAGUAUUGUUGAAUAUGACGUUAACCCAUAAUGUAAUAAAGUAACUCACUACCUAUGACUCUCGGGGAUUCACUCACUACCUAUGACUCUCGGGGAGAAACGAAACACUCUGUUACUCCUGACUUGAAGAAUUAAGCUAGGCACCCGGAAACAACAACUAAAUCCAAGAAUGGAAUAGAGCCAUACUCGCACUGCUAAUCCCUUGAAAUAGAGUAAUAACACCUUGAGACUUGAAAGCUGGGGCACUGCUAACCCCUUGAAUAGCGUAAUAACACCUUUACCUUGAGACUUGAAAGCUGGCACUGCUNNNNNNNNNNNNNNNNNNNNNNNNNNNNNNNNNNNNNNNNNNNNNNNNNNNNNNNNNNNNNNNNNNNNNNNNNNNNNNNNNNNNNNNNNNNNNNNNNNNNNNNNNNNNNNNNNNNNNNNNNNNNGUUGUUUGCUUGUUCCGUAGGCACCGGCUUGUUAUCGAAACUCACUUCUGGCUUUACCCAACGAAACUGCUUGUUGAAACAGAACUGCUUACUGCUAUUACCCCACCUAGCGGCGAUAGGAUUGAGCUCUUGGUAUAUAUGCAUUUAAUAAAUAAAGAGUUUCAAGAUUGAUAUUCAUAAUAAGGAGUGAUAGGAUUGAGCUCUUGGUAUAUAUGCACUUCUAAAGAAUAAAGAGUGAUAGGGAUGCUAUAUCAAAGAGUAAUGAAUUUAGGGAUGCUAUAUCAAAGAGUAAUGAAUUCAAUAAGCCCGCGGUUUAGUAAUAAGCUAACGCACCCAAACAAAUAAGCUUGUAACGUCUUGCAUAACUCACUAACGCUUACUGCUCUUCGGGCUCUAAAUAGACUAUUUCCGUUUAGAUUUCUUAUGAUAUCCCUAGCAGCUUUGCUUCCUUGUUUAACAAAGGCUUGUUCCGGCCCGGCGAACUGAACUCGUUUGUUGAUUAUGAAUUGAGUGUACCUAGGAAAUACGCACAGUAACACACAUUCGAAACUCCUAAACGGAAUGAUUGCCCUAGUAUACCAUAGUACUUAUCUUAGCACCGUUGCUUGUUGAAUGGAGUGCACCUACUCAGAGGUCUAUGUUAUGUUCUAAUUUCGUUUUACCUAGGAAGAGGUCUAUGUUAUGUUAUGUUAUUAGGCUUCAAUGCUUGUGGGGUCCGGGUCAAAGUGGGUGUUUUUAUGGAAAGGUUUUUCACAGGCUAUAAACAACGCAAAAAGAGCUUAUUUAUACAGCCUUAACCAAUACCGAGUUUCUUGUUGAAGAUAGUGCACACAACUUAUGUAAGACAGCAACCUCACUGCUUACUCCUGGCGUUGUUACCUUACAUUAAUCAAAUCAUCGUUUACAGCCGAACCCUAUACUAAGCACUUGCAGGCCCUAUACACAGAAGCACCGUUACUCUACUUAACUACUAAACAAACAGGCUCUUAGCACCUUGCUUUCAAUCUACCUUCAAGCUUGUUCCCGCAGCUUACUCACUUGCUUGUGUAAUUUAUUAACAAAACAAAACACUGGCCAAGAAACUAGAUGAGAGAGAAUCCAUUCUUUUAGGAGAGUCUGGAGCGAGUGGUUCAAUUCCUUAUUCUUGUUCAAUGUCUUUACGAUGAGAUUCCAAAAUGUCUGUGUUUGUUGGCGGUGAAGAAAGUCUUUAUUGUGUUCAGGGACAGAAGAAAGUACUAGUGCGCGAGCUAUGUUAGGUGACUUUCCAACUUGAACAGAACUACUUGCGGAGGCAGACGUUGGGAUUGGCGCUAGGAAAAAGAAUGGAAAGGAUGCUUUCGUGCUAGAAGGAGAGGAUAGGAAAGGAAAGGAAGGGCGCUAAGAAAGUCAGUACUCUUGUAGAUGCCGAUCAAUCUUAUUAUGCCAUGCCGGAAAGAGAGAAAGAAGCUUUGGGUUGGGGCGCGCUGGGCAAGCAAUACCUUUCUAUGGGUUAGGUGCGCGAGCAGUGUUUUCUUUUUCUGACUUUCCUUCCACCCCCCACCAAAACGGAAGUCUACAGUCUCGUAUCUCGCUGUUCCCCUACUAUAGGGCUCGAAGUCAAGUUCAAGUCUUCGGGAACGAGUAAGAGUGGUUUAAGUUCCAGUCUUAUAGUUAACAGUAGUUGCUCGUCUUUUGGUCCUGUGUUCAGCUACCUAAUUUAUAAUCUAUCGCGGUCAACUCCGUAAGCAGUGAAGUCUUUUCAUUUACUUUAGCUUGUUAACUUGUUCUCGCCUUAGUUAGUCUUCAGACGCCUUGUAAACCAGUCAAAUCCUACAUGGAACUUCAAGCUCCCUAAUAAGCGCCUUGUAAACUAGGUGUAAUAAAUCAAUAAUGGAAUGUUUACACCAUAGAAUCUCUUUUCUCUACUGGCCACGUAGCAGUAAUCAGAAUCAAAGGCUCAAAAAGAUGCAGUAUCCAGAGAAUCCGCAGUGCAAUGAGAGUAGAGUGAGGAAGGUUAACAAACAAGCUUAUGCGCUAACAGGAAUGUCACGGGAGUUUCAAUUGUCAUCUUAUAUGCUUGACGGAACCAGCAUUUGUCCUGCCUGAAGUACAUACAAGUUCCGUUCGCCCAGUUCGUUCGACUCUCAGGUCUAUGUUUAGGGAGUUAGUACGUUGCUUUUUGAGUGUAGUUACUGAAUCUCAUUCUUAUUGAAUAACUCCAUUUGGAAAGAAGAUUAUGACAGUACUGUACACAUUAUGUAUCAAAGUAACAACACUCCGAAAUGAAAGAUUCCACACAAGGGAUUCAACAGCAACUGUUCCUGCUCCCACUCCAGAGAAAGCUUCCGCGCUAAGAUCUCCUGGUCGACUCGGUGCUAACAGAGUUUCUGCUUAGGGAGCUCAAUCCCCUUUUGUUGAAUUCAAUGAUGACUUUCGAGGUUAGGAGUAUAUAGAAGAAACAGUCUCUGGGGUGAGUCACAAAUCUCUUACUCAGUUUCCAGAUCAGAAUAAGGAUCAUCUGGGCAGCAAUCUUUUCUUCAAGUCUAGUUUGAGCAAAGGUCUGUGAUGGAGGUGAGAGUGCUUGUGUCUAAGGCGGUUCUUGACCUUGCUUGUAUAUGAGAAUGUCCCGUUCCAGUUUCAUCUAUAAGAGGAUUUCCUCUGUUCCGUUAGCGCAACAUUAUACCAUUAUACUACUAAGUAAGCUUGUUCGGUAAGAAAGCGUAGAGAGAAGCUCGUUGAGCGUAGAAAUCGGUAAUCAUAGAAAAGAGAGGUUAAGCUGUGAAAAAGUAAGCUUAUGAAUUGCUAGUUCCAGUUCUUGUUUCAGAAUCAGAAUAAGUUCGAUAAGAUGCUACAUCAGGGAGAGGGUUAAUAAUAAGUACUGGCGAGGAAGAAGUUGAAACAGAAUCCACAGUGCUAAAGUAGAGUGAAAGGUAAACAAGCUAUGUAUUUACAAACACGCUGAUCAUUGGCUUUUCAUCGUACGUAUUAAGAAGCUGAGCUGGUCAUUAUUGAAUCAGAGGCUUAGCUCCCGAUGAUGAAGAUAGGUAAUAGCAAAUAGAGACUUUUGUUCGGAUGGAAGGAGACUCGUAUCUACUCGGUGUAGUCAACUAAUUCCAUUAGAUUCUUCUGUCCAUCCUUUUGUAGGGGAAGAACCCUUUUCGCCUAGGGGACUCCUUUUUGGCCUAUGAUAAACCAUUUCAUCUUGUAUAACUAUUGAUAGCUUGUAUAACUGCAUGCGGAAGGUAAGGCUAAGCACGCAAAGCAAAGGGAAGGGAAAGCCUAGCCAACUGAAUCAUGCACCUACUUACACUUGAUGUUCAGCUGACCCCUUAACUUAACUGACGCGGAUACGAAAACAGUACUUAUUCUGUGUCCUUAGCUGGCGAAAUUAGCACUCCCUUAUGGGAUUACUUUACUACUUUACGAGCUUCUAUAUACCCUGUCCCCUUCUCUUUAGCACUUGUUCUUGUUGGGCCUUGUCAAACAAUCAUUUAUUACUGCAUGAAUAUAAGAGAGGCAUUGAAAAGACGACUCCCUUCCCGUGAGCUCACUGAUGCACCCUCUCCUUACGCACUUCGAGCAGUGAGAUGACUUUACUUCAGCAGUAUAGCAUUCAAUUCUUCUUCCAGUAUAGAGUCUGAAGCGUAAGCCGGAGAAGAAUCCUUUCUGGUUUCCUAUGUGUCAGCAGCAAUAGAUUCUCAAAGGAGAGUUCUUGUUUCACUGACUUAAUAUAGAAUAAGUGGGUAUCCAAAGGGAUAGAUAGCUUUAAGAUCCAGAAGUGGGUAUCAAAAGAGAUAGGUAGCUUUAAGAUCCAAGUCGUCAACAUCUUGUCCCGCCUUGUACUGAGUUAGAGUUCCUUUUCUUUACGCGUAAGCCAUUAGCAUAGUCACACCUCUGCUCAACUUAGAGAAAUCCCUUAUCUCUAACGCGUUACCAGACACAAGACAGGUCAUAACUACUUCUAAAGAAAAGACUGGUCAUAACUACUUCUAAAGAAAAUCAAUAUUACUCCCGUGACUCGUUGGGUUUAGAGCCUGAACCUGGAUUAUUGCCUUCUUCAGCGCACAGUAUCGGUAUCUCCUAGCUUUCUUUUGGAGAGUAUUGUUUGUCUCCUUGGGUGGGAGGUGAAGUAUCUAAUUACCUGGAACCGGAAGGUGAGGAGAAGAAGAUAGUACUGCUGGCAAGGAAUGGUUCCGAUGUAGCUCAGACAAAGUCAAAGUAGUAGAGUAGAGUUCUAUAAGAGAGGUCCACAAGAUCAUCUACAGGAUCAUCAAAGUCUCUCGGUGUUGUGGGGGAGUCUAGAACAACUUAUGAUAGUCAUAAUAUUCCUCAACAUCAGUCCAUACACCUUUCCUAACAAUAUUGCCCGGCGCGCAGGGGAACAAUAAAAUAAGUUGUUCUUUUCUUUGAAGCUGUAGUUUGUUGGGCCAGUGCUCUGUAAACUAUAAUAAUAAGCUAGUCAAAAACUCAUCAAUAUAAGUUAGUUAAUUAGGAACCGAACCUCACCGCGGACUUUUCGCUUUAAGAAAGCCCCACUUCGUGUUAGGAGUUCGCAGUUCCGUUGCUUAGUCUUUUGCCAAUACAAAAUGCAAUUGAUAAUCAUCUGCACCUCUAACUAAUAUAUUAUAGAAUGGAGUCAAAACACUCCUGUCCUUAAAGCUGACUCCCCCAAAGCUGACAUUAGCUGUUGCUUAGUCUUACUAGUUACUAGCUCUUGCUCUGUUGCUUGUUUCACCUUUUUUAGGGAAUACCAUAUAUACCCACCCGGUGGUAAAUAAUGGAUUGUGAAUGGCUCACGGUAAAUGCAUGAUUUUGAAAGGCGAAAAGAAGUAAGAAAUCCAGAAUAGGAGUAGAGACUAUCCUUUAUUACAUAAGGGGGGAGCUUCUCGACGGAAAAGGGCCAAAGCGAAUAGGAUUGAACCCCUAAGGAUAGAAAGUCAUAUCGGAAUGCUUAAAGCGAUAGAGUCGUGAACUGAGUUACUAGUGGGCUGGGCAAGAGAAGCAAUAUCGGAAUGCUUAAAGCGAUAGAGUCGUGAACUGAGUUACUAGUGGGCAAGAGGCUUGCUCAUUUCUCCUUUGUUUUGGGUUUGCCUAUCUAGCUUCUUGUCCUACGCACUAUGAUUUUCAAAAGAAGGGCUAAACGGGGCGGAGAGAGAAAGCCCUCAAAAACGAUCUUUCAUAUUCCCCCAGAGAUCCUAGUAGAAAUACAAUCCUAUAAAGAAGUGGGUUUGUUUCAGGCUUAGAAAGCGGAAGCCUAUUGUGGGGUCUAUGGCGGUCUACUACUUAGUCUAGUCUAAGUUUCCCAUUCUUUUCUAUUAAAUGACAUUCGAUAUUGCCCACGUGAAAGCUAGGAACUAGAACCACCUCCAACGUUAGUGUUCUACCAUACCGCAUAAAGGUGAACAAUUUGUCUAUCAAAAGAAAGUGACGAUUAUCUGCAUGUCUAAUGUAAUAAAGAGUGUUAUUGGUCAUUUUAUCCCAGUGUAAUAGAAUUCGAAAAAGGCAUUUAUUACUUGUGUUGAGUGAUAUGGUGACACUGUCCUCUCCUUGCGUGGAUUCCAUUCCUUGAGAUCUAAUCCAGCUAUUCGAUAUAAAAAUGGGAAUCUUCCUUUGGAUAUACAAAAGGGAAUCUUCUGAUAAGUGAGUAUAAGUGAUCGAGAAGCAUUGGUGAAAUGAAUCAAUCGACUCUCCCUACUUAGAUACAUGUAAGAUCGAAAGGGCAGCUCAUGAAUAGAAGGAAGAUCACAUAGAAUGCUAGUGUUGAGGAAGAGACGGAUGUUAGCUCUCCUGGUAUUACUUAACUAAAGCACUAACACCAAUAACAGAAGCACUAACAAAGGUAAAGUUCUCUUCUUUCUGGUGCUUUCUUAGACUCAAAACCAUCGACCCUAAAGUCUCGUUAUCGUUGUAAGUGAAGGGAGUUCUCUUAGCAAGCUAGUGAUUUUCCCCUUCCUUCGUUAGGGCUUACACUCUUCUCUUUUUCAGCUUACAACGAUUGGUUAAUUAGGAUAGGGGUGGAAAUCAUUGAAGUCGAGUCGAAUAGUAGGGCGCCAAGCAGACUAGUAGGCAAGUAGACAAGCAGACAAGACACUCAAAGACAACUUCCAAAAUCCACUCAAUAUAACGACCAAGCAUCCACUUAGAAUCUUUAUCCUAUAGAAAUAGAAGAUCAAGAAUGAGACAAGCAACGACAAGUACUGUGUUCGGGAGAAGAAUUCUGGUAUCAAAUGUAAGAGUCAGAAGAACACCGGAAGGUAUCAAACGUUUGAAUCACACCGGAAGGUAUCAAACUUAAGAGUCAGAAGAACACCUGAACUACUAUAUCUGCUGAGCAUCAAACCUUAACUACUAUCUCUCCAGAACAGGAGCAGGAGCAGUACUACCGGUAGCAAGAGGUGUUAUCGACCCCAACUAACUAUCCUUUUUGAACCCCUCGUUGCUUGGCCCGCACUCCCACAAUAACUCCACUCUUUGGAUCACAUAAAGGUUCAGGCUUCCAAAAAUCACCCUUAUUUCGAAUACUUAGCGGGCUGUAAACUAUUCUUUUUAGUCGUUGAGCUGAGGCUAAACCACGCUAAUGGCUAAUUCCCUCUCUUGUCCACCGAAAUGCUAAACUAAUGCCUUUGCUUGCUUAAUAAGACUUGCCUCUUGAAAACCCUCUAACGCUUACUUUCUUCCUCCCCAAACUAUACUUGAAGUUUGAUUAACCGACAACACUACUGUAAACCAGUCUUUUAAACGACUCCUGCCAGCGCCCAAAGAGUUUAGUAUGCACGACACUUCAAUUGACUACUUUGAUCUUUAAAGCCACCUAUCUCCUCCACUUGAAGCCAUUAGAAUGUUGCUUGAUGCAGCCUCACGCUAGACUCUACCUGUACUUUACAUAUUGUCCGGCGCGAGAGAGUAAGUUGUAGCACUUUGGCUUUGACGAACUCAACUCAACAAGCAAUAGAAUCAACUCACUAGUCAAAGGGGCUAGGGAACAAACAUACAAGCAAGAAACAAGCGCGCUAGCGAGUUCCAAGCGUUAGUCCGGCUCCGCUUUCACUCUCCCGCUCCUUACUCUUAGUCUUGAGUGCCCUCCCGCUUUUGAAACCUAUCUAUCUUUGCUUGCGUUCCGUAGCUCCUGAUCCAGAUUCUUUGCUAUCAACCUCAAACUCAUUACUGUUAUACCUUAACUAAUGCCUUAGAUCCUGUCCUUGCUGCCUACGAGCCUACCUCUAAACCAGUACCGCUGCUUUCAUUCUCUUACCAUUCUUUAGUUACUGACUUUUCUUCUGACUUGUUUGUUUGAGCCUGUCACUCUUAAACUACCAGCUCUGGGCCUGCCUCCCCCUUAUCUAAUUAUGGUUUUAGUCCAAACUAUACUUUAUGGAAUUCUGUAUUGAUAGCUUUAGUCUGCUACUCCUCUUUCUAUUAGUCUGCUUUUCCUUCUUUUUGGAUUCUGUAGUUACCGAUCUGCUUUGCUUCUUAGACUUAGGCGACCUCUGCCUUUCUUUGAUUCCAACUUUACUGGGUUCUUCAAUUGCCGAUUCUAUUUGCUUAUAUUCAUUAUGAAAUUGCUUAUUGCCUUUCGAACAUAGGAAUAAGAACAAGAAAUAGGGGUUAGGCUUAGGAUCUAGGCAAGGAUAGCUAGUAUUGGAUGAUAACUCCAUUACAGAACUACUAGCUUUGAUUAUUACUACAACGACUAUUAGGCUAAAGGCAUUAGUGCCGUAGUAAAAGCAAGACUCAAUGUAGGUAGCGGGAGACUCCACCUAUAAGUAAAAGAUCUAGAUCCGGGGGGAGUAGCUACAGACUCAAAAGCAGCAGUUGGGUUCUUUAGUUGACCUCGUCCGCAGGGGUUGGUUUAUUUAUAUCAGAAUAAAGUCUUAGAAGCACUAGUGGUAGUUUUCCUCGGAUAGGUAAUGCAAGUCAAGAGUAAAGCCCUAGAAGCUGUAGCGGGAUUCUUUAAUGAGUAAAUAAAGAGACUUUAUAAGCAUUUAUAGAAUUCAAGUAAACAGUACGUCCUCUAUUGCCAAUAAGAGGAAUGAAUGCUAAGGGAGGCUAUAAUACAUGAAAGUCAUACUUUUAGGCGGGAAAGGCAUACUCGAACAUUGGUAUUGAGACCGGGAUGGGAAUACUCAAACUCGGCAUUGAAGGUAAGGUAGGUAGGGCAGGCUUAGAAGCUGUAUCGGCAGCCCUAGUUGUACAAUCAAAGACAGGGGAUAGAAGCUCGUGGGCUGUAAUGCAAUCCUUUAUAUGGGGUUUUUCGUAUUGGAGGUAGUAGUUGCUGCCUUAUCCGUAGGAGUUCCAGCCUUGUAAGCCUCCGGGUCAGUGUAUUAUGCCCACAUUCCAAAUUCUGAGAGGCAGGGUUUAGCGGUGGUUUCGUUCUUGUACACUGGCGUUUGAUCCCAAUUAGGCCCUAUCUCAGUUAAGCUUGAGUACUUGUUUACUUGUCUCUCAUAUCCUAUAGCAACUUCUCUUUAUUCGAUUAAUAAACUAGAGACUUUCUAUUAAUAAACAAGAGACUUUAUCUUUAUUCUAUCAGUGGGUGCACUAGACCAUGCCAUACCUAUUACAUUGGCUCCAAACUGGAAUACCUAUUCUCAUUCUAUUGACUAGCGCUUUACAUACCUAGGCGAUUGACUCUAACUCUCAUUAUGAUUUGUCAUAUCAAACAUAUAUCUUUAAUUGCGACACUCAAACUAUUCCCUUACUGACCCAAGGAAUAUUCCCUAACUGUUGAUUCCAUUCUUGAACUUAUAGAUUGGAUUCCAUGUUUUUGUACUCAAUUCUUCUACUGUGGAGUUUGAUUCCACUGAUGACGUUUCGGUCCAGUAGGGUACCAAGUCAAUCUUACUUAAUGGAUAGGAUUCGCCUACUAGGGACAAAAGCCUUAAUAACAGCGGUUCCAUUCUUUUACGCCCGGGUUCGAUCCCCAGUUUUGAGUGUGAGUUUGGUUCAGUGUCUCAAUUCUGUAGUUUGUGUGAAGAGGUGAAGCCAGUAGCUGAUGAGUUCAAUCCUGUUGUUUCGGCUUUGGCUCUUGCUUUCCUAUUUCAUCCAAUAGAUCAUGUCAUAGACCUACUCGAGCUUCUAAUGCAUUUUCUGCCUAUCCAAUAGUUAUGCCAAUAGGCAGUUAGAGACAAGUCCAAAUACAAGGUUUCAAGCAAGGGAGGUUAUCCUUAAAAGAAAAGAAGUGGAGCAAGCCUUGAGCUGUAGGUAAGGUUCUAGUUCAGUAGGGGAAGUUCUCAGGUAAGUAGCGGAGUCCUAAAAGUAAGGAUAUAAUACCAACCUCAAGAAUGGAAGGCAGGAUCGAUUAUUGUUAUCCGCAGUUAGAGUUUCCGUUUUUACUAUAGUCGUCCAACCUAUUAGCAUAGUAUAUAAGCUUGAAACCAAUAGGCAAGGCUUAGAGACAGGAAGAGCGGACUCGGAGAAUAGAUAGUAAGGCUUAGCUAACGGAGAGGCGAGCUAACAAACAAGACUCUAGGGGGUAAGUCAAAGAAUGAAAAACUCACAAGCAAUACUUUAAGGCAGGAAAGGCAUACUACCAAAAAUCCAAUAAAGAGGUCAAGUCAAGGGGGACAGCCUUGGGAGCGCUCGUUCCAUUCUAUUUAGUCUAAGGGAUCGGACUUUUCUGAAAGAGAGGUAGCCUUAGAGACGGGGAAGGCAUAGCGCAAGGUAUGAGUUACAGACCAAUAGAAGGUAAAGACAGACUCGUAGACAAGAAGGUCGGGCUUUGACUUGAAAGUUCAUUCCGUACAUCCUGUUUUUGUCUUUGACUCCUUAUUCCUAGGUGUGAGUUAAGGUCCUGUUCCAUCAUAUAUAGUAGUCAAUCCUAUAUUAUAAGAUAUAGUAUUGGAACCACUAGCUUAAGCCUGAUGGUAACAGUAGUCGGAAGCUAGCAAGCAAGGAUACAAAUAAGCAGUUCAGAGUGAAAACAAGUCAAGUCAGACUUCUAAUAAGGAAAGGUAGCUUUGAAGUAAGUAGCAGCAGCCUCAUCAGUAGUACGAAGGAUGAAAAGCACGAGUUAUAGUUUGAACCUUGUAGUGGAACUAAUUAACAUACUCCUGUUGGUAACUACACUCAUUGUCCAACAAGCUACCCCCUUAGAGUCAAGGGGGGCAGGCUACGAAGUUCAAUACAGAUUGGAGAUCGGGAGCUACAGGCCAAUAGGGAAACAAGGGUUUUAAGUCAGUAAGGACAGGCUCGGGUUAGAGCAUAAGUCUUUGUGAUAUAAGUCUUUGUCGUGUAUUGGGUUCAUUCCCUCCAUAGCGUCGAUUUGAUUCUACUAGUUGGUAUUUGGAGUCUGCUUGUCUGUAGCCCUAUAUUGUAGGUUCGAGCCGUUAGUCAGUGGGUUUAUUCUAUACUAUAAGUAAAAGGAGUGAAAGGCAUGGGUGAAAGAAUGAGAAACUCUAUUUGAAGAGCGAAAGCCAAAAAGUAGAGGUUUUCGUUUAGGGUGAGAGUAUUGUUUUCACUUGUUCUAUAUGUUAGGGUGCCUCUUCUCUUCCUUUUUUUGAUAGUAUAGGGUUAGGUUCCAUAAUGCUAUUUGAUAUUUAAGGUGCCUAUGGCUAUAGGUCAAUCGAGUAAACAAGAAGGUUGAGACCUGUUUCUCUAUUAGAUAUAUAGGUAGGUAGUAGAUAUAAGUACUAAUGUGUUGGGGACGAUUGCAAAGUCAAUAAGAUGGUUUCUUGAGAGUAGGUGUGCAGGGAUCGAAUAUAGUGGAUGUUGGGUCCGAUUGGUAUAGUUUAGGGUUUAGGCGCCGAUAUGCUCUUAUGUGGAUGAGUCAAGUCCGGUACAGGAUGCCGGUCAAUAAUACUGCUGAUAUAUGGGGUGCCUCAACAAUUCUUCUAAAGAGUCGUUUUCGUUUCUAAAGAGUAGUGGUUGUUUUGUUCGGUGUUUGCAUUAAACAGCUAUUGACUCUUCACUUCAAGUUGGAUUGAUUUCAGAAUGGAGUAGAUAUCCCCAUCCUCCUAAUCAAUUAAUAUACUCAUAGGCUCUCUACGUUUGUCUUUCCUACGAGUAGCUCCGUUCCGUUUCUUUCAUAGAAUAGACAUAACGACCUAGGGGCAGUAAAGCAAGCCUUCUUUGUUCGUGCUAGGCUCGCACUACUGGGAACCUAUUAAGAAUUCAUAAAGAAGCGCAAAACCUCUAUCCUCGUCAGGGCAUGCAUUGAGUAUUAACAGGGCGAAGGGAUAUUGACGGGACUUACCUUUCAAACAGGCAUAUCUAAACUGACCUUUCAAACAAGGCGUAUCUAAUCAGUAUAGUAUCAUGGGAGAGUAGAGUGGUAGGGUCGGAACUGAGAGAAAGCUAUAUUUUGCAAUUGAUCGUUACCAAUAGCAACUUGAACUAAGUCCUCUGGUGAAUGAUCGAUGUGUGCCAGAUUGAAACCACCUUCUUUAUCAUUGGAAGAAGACCGCUUCGUAAAGCUAGGGCUGGAUACCUGAAUUGGAUCUUGAAUGCCCCGGUUAGGGCGCCUUGUGCGUGUGCUCUUAAUCGUUGGGCCUAGCUUAGCUCCAUUACUCAUUCUAGCUCUAGCCUCAUUGGGGAACAGGUCUGGCAAAAGGAGAAAGAACUAAGGCACACCCCAAACCGAAAUGCUCCUUACUUAUCUUAUAUUAUAGUUAUAGUAUGAUGUACGAUCAUAAGUUCCCAGAUUUCUCAUAAUAGGAAAGGAAGGGCUUUGGACUAUUAUGGUUUGAGAUUGAACUUCUCAUUCAAUGGGGAUCCAACUAAACCCCCAGGAAGGGAAGUGCCAAAGAAGAGGACUUCACCUAUCCUCCACCAAAGGCUAUAGGAGAAGGUACCUACCUUUUACUGAGGAUCCAAUUUCUUCUCGCUAACGCCCUUGUUGCCAUGCCCUCUAUCUCUCUCUUUGCUUUGGAUCGAGAAGGGUUGGCUCUGCCUCAGAUCUAUUCAGCUUCGACCAGACGACUACCGCUAAGUGAUGAAGUUUGUUUAGUGCGGAAUCUGGCAUACAGUUACCAAUCAAGUAGAAGUCAAUAGGCUCACUCAUAAAGCCCCCCGCUAGUAAGACAAGAAAACGCUUCGCUUGGUUGUCAUGUCAGGGCACUCUGGUAGGACGUGGCGUGGAGAAUUACCUGCAUUACGAGAAUGGGCUUCUCUUUUAAUGUAAUAGAAGAGUCACGGUCAAGUGAGCCCGGCUUUCUCCCUAAUCGACCUUACUCAGGGGAGUUGCAUUCAGUUAGGUAUAGGCUUUUUGACCUUGUGUUCUAUACUGGUAAGAGGCUAAUACUGGCAAAGAGUUAAGCAUUAACGUGUUUUGGGGUAUUAAUAGAAAAGAAGGCGCCCAACAAGGAGUAUGGACUUGGAUGCUUGCUGGGGAGAUCUAGAGAGAGUUCUAUAUCAACAUAGAAAUCCAAAGUAGUUCUCAGUUCUAUAUCAAAUAGAAGUUAUAAGUUCAAUAUCCAAUUAUUAUAAGUGUAAAUAUCAAAUUAAGGAAGAGUACGCACGGCUGACGCUGUUAGUUGAUCGAAUCAGAUACAGAUAGCUCUGGCUACCCCAAUUCUGAUCCACAUGAGGUAUGGCUCUGAGCGGAGUGGCUGAAGGCAUAGGUUUGCGAAAUCGACAUCAAAUAAGAUUGUAUAAUGGAUCCCUACGGAGGCGGGCGAAAUAACAUGAAAGAACAAACCUAUUCUUGGUAGAGUUCCCUGAGGACGUACAUAAGAGCACUAACCACUUUUGAGUGAAACUAGAAGCUUGUGCGCUUUAUUUGAUUGACCGGCCUGCCCAUCUUAUUUAUAGUAGCAUACCCCUAAGUAUCAUUUGUAUAGGAACGAAAGCAACACUUUGACUUUUGAAAGUAAUGGGCUACGCUUAUCCCUGACUAGUCAAGUAGUGGUAAGGUAGGUGCUGGUGCUGUGCUCUUCGAUGAAGAAAAUCUACAAUAUAUUAUAUACAAAUACAAAUAUACAAAUACUACAGAAAAUAUACAUACAUAUUAAUAGGUGAUUCAAUAGGUGAUUAAGGUAUCUAAACCAGAGCAGAGCAAAGUAUUCUCCGUUUUCUUGUGUCAGUGGUUAGAAAUCGAAAUUAGUGAACACGUCGCCUACUUUCUUUAAAAGGAAGCAAUUCUUCUUACCUAUAACCAAUAAGCCUUAUUACCUCUGUUUGUAAAAAUGGGGUUAUGGUUAUAGAAACCAUAGACUUAUCCAUUUGUAGAUGAACCUCCUUGUCGUAUUUAUUACCUCCUUGUCGUAUUUAUUACCUCGCCCGAAAAUCAUUGAAAAAUAUAGGCAUCCGGAAUACCGCUUAUCGACUGAAUCGCAUAUGGGCAAAUCGACGAGGAAUCACAGUAAAGCGCCCUAGUACCAUCACUCCCUUGCCGGAACAUUAGAAGACCAGUAAGACGUGGGUCCGCUCCUAAUCUUGAAUGGCCUCAUCAAUGACUGAAACACAGUAAUGAGUCACCUACUCUUUAUUUAGACAAGAAAGACGGCGGACAUUGAUGGCUCUAAGUCGGAUGGCCCCACUGGAGAGUGAGCGAAACGAAAAAGCAGUGCACACGCAAAAAACAUCAUUAUGGGCUUGCUUUACCUACCCUUUACUCAUCAUUCCGUUUUGGAAUCUACAAAGAUGAUGAAAUGAUUGGAUUAUUUCCGUCUUCUUGCUUGCUCUGUCUGAUACUAUGUAUGUGAAACCAGAAGAUAGUAGUUCCCCUGCGACGACAGGAAUCUCGUCCCUUCUACUCUUUGUUUAUGGUCCCCCAAAAGCAAAAGGAAAGAUUCUUCAUGAAAAUAGAAACCACCUAUGAGACGAUCCCUAGUCUAUUUCAUACAUUAUGCCUAGGUCAAAGGUAUGCCUGCUUUCUUUCUACCUAUGGGUCAAAGGUAUGCCUGCUUUCUACUUUCCACCUAGUUAAAUUCGAAGAGAGUCUAUCCACCCUAAGAUCAGAAAAGAGCCUAUUUCUCUUUUGUUUGAUUUAUGAGAAUCAGAGACAGGGUUCGAAUUCCUGUUGAGAAUGAAAUCAUGAAACUAAAUGAGAAACCUCUGAAAAAGACUUGUUUGUAUGGAGCUUGCAUACUCCCUGCGCGCGAUCGUAUACUUGAACCCUCGCUUUUGUUGGUGGUUCAGCGAUAGAUGGUAGUUUGCCUUAAUGAUGGAUAGCCUUGCCAAGGAUUCGAUUUCUUUAUCUUUUCAAAUAGAGAAGAGAUCGCAUUACGAUAGGACUGACUGCUGGCUUAGUAGUUCUUUCCCCGGGUACCAUGACAGUGCGAGCACCUUUUCCGAAAACCCAUUUAAGGAAGGGCAGGAUAGAGCAGUUUUCGGACUCAAAGUGUAUAUGGAUAGAACCUUGUCCAGAUUUCCUACUUUACAUCUCUGCAAAGAGAAAUCAAUUCAAUAAAAACAUGACCCAUAGCUACGAAAUGAAUCCAAUUAGGUCCCUUAAGAGAGAACUCAAUCUCAUGCAUCGAUGUAUUCCUUCUAGAACUAUAGUCGCCUGUCUUUUGAGUUCAGGGAGAUGGGCAUGUCUUCUUCGAAAAGGAGGUCGUGGUCAACGAUCAAAAGUGGCUUUGACUACACGAAUGGGAUAAGCAAGAAGAAUGGAAUGCUGUAAUACUGUCUUCUUUGGUUCUAAGAAAGAUAUUCAAAGACUCUCUACCCUACCGCCUGCCGACGAUGGACCUCAAUCACCAUCAUAGUAGGGCAAAGCUUGUAAACAAACACAGAUUUAGACCUUUCCUUUAGUGGAGAACCUAUUGAUGGAGACAUCGCAACAAUCAUCUUACAUUCAAUCUCAGAGAUGAUAGUGCGGACUUAUGAUGGGCAAAAGACUAAGAUCUAGAAAUAAUGAUAGGGCCGGGCCGCACCCUCUCGCCUUUUAGUUACUUUUACCGAAAUACGAGACUGACUCCUAAAUUCAGUCGUUCCUCACUAAAUAUAAGAUUUUGGAAAGAGUCAAACAGUCCCGUCCCUUUGGACUCGAAUUAGUUGUAUAUCAAAUGAGAUUGUAUAGACCCGCCAGCAAUCCAAAUUCUAUCUCAAUAUUAGCGCAAUGGUUCUUAUCCAUGGUUUGGCCAGAGCCCCACCUUUGUCUUUCUUGUUUGGGUGAGGAAAAAGCGGAUACAUAAGCAUCAGGCGAUAGUCAAAAGAGAAGGUUGUCUUUCACAGGACAUUCCAUUCAGUUAUCUAUAGCGGUGCCUAGCUUAUUUGUUGGAUAAUGCUUCUUCCUGCUUGAAAGCCCUUCAUGACUAGGUAGAGGGGAUUAAUCUAAAUAGAAACAAAUAUCAAUCUGGGAACGAUAGGAUCAAUCAAUGCAAUUGAAUUGAGGCGAGUGAAGCUAUAGGAAGGCAGUAGCAGACCAGACCCGAUUGGGAGGGAGUCUUUGCGUACGAUAGGUGGUAUAGGGUUUUUGGAAUGGAGUUCAAACGGAAAUGGCUCGAUUGAUUUGCUUACAGGAAAAAGACUAGUUUCAGAAAUCCAAUAAUUGGAACAAAUUGAGUGACAACGCAACGGACACCUUUCUUUCUCACUCAAAAGCUCAUCGUUUACCAACGAGUAUUGAGAGUAUAUACUCUUACAAAGACAGACCUGUGAUCCACUUUCGAUCUAAAGCACCCGAAUUCUACUCGCUUAUUUUAUUACUUUGAUAUGCGUUCAAUAUUCGAUUUUAUGGAAUGGAAUUAAGCUUCACUGCUCCUAUCCAUGCUUUCGAAUUCCUUUAUUACCGACCCAUCCUGGCUAUUUCUCCUAUUUGAGAUAUAACCCAUCCUGGCUAUUUCUCCUAUUUUAGAUAUAAUUAGAAUAAUGUCUUUGUUAACUUAUUAGUAUAGUCCACUCUUACCUUAGAUCAAAGAAAGUCAGACUGAGUAUUUUUCUAUACGAGACGUCGAUAAAUCCUUUGUAUAUGAAAUUAUUGUGAAUGGAAAGCGCAUACAUCGAGUAAAGAAAGACGGAAGAAUGGGGGAAAAUAGAGUACCACUACUGACUAAAGGAUUAUGAAACUCAAGAAAAAGAACCCUAAAAACAAGGGGGAACUGUCAUAAUUCAUACAAGUAACUAGCUAACGCCUGAGAUAGAGACCCCGUCUGUGACUCGUGAGAUAGACCACCCCGUCUGUGACUCGACUUCUUUUAGUAGUGUGCUCCAACUUACCCUUAUACUUCGCUCGGUUCGGUGCUUAGAAAACUCCAAUAACAUACCAAUAACAUCAAGGGUAAGCGUUAGCUUACCUUUUCUCUUCUCUUAGGGAGCGCUAGGGCAAUAAGCUAUGUUGUUUAGGUCACUUUCAUAUAUUAAUAAUGAGUGAAGUUAGUAAUUGUCGUUAAGAUUCAUUUCUUUCAAGUUGAGUGCACCUUUUGCCUAUAUGAGUGAUUAAAGGAAAAAUACAGGAGUUAUGAAAAUCAAGAGAAGAGUAUAGUAUGCUCCGCUCCGUUUUAGAAGCAGAAUAAGCGUGAUCGCGGACAGGAGAAGGGGUUAACUGACUCUGUGACUAUAACCUUAUUGAAUGGAAUCGAAACUUGUCGAGCUUCACUUGCUACCGAGAUACCAGCUAUAUACUUGCUACCGAGAUACCAGCUAUAGCUAUAUAGUCGUGGAAUUCAGAAGUUUGGAGGACGAGUAGGGUCGGUCAAAUAGGAAUUCAAUAUCAAUCAGUCAACCUGCAAUUAAGGGCAUAUCAUGAAUUCCAGAAUAUAUAUGGCAUAUCAUGGAAUAUAGUAACAAAACACUAUAAACUCACUUACUCUGUAGUUUCCAAUCCUUUUUUUCCCUGACAUAACACAUAUGUUCUAAUUGCAUAACUGGACUGUUUACUCCAACCAAUAAGCGUUAGAGCACCCCAAGAUAGAGAAUGAUAGAUUAGUUAGCGAGCGGCGAACUCACAUUGCGCUUACGGAGCACUUGUUCAUUCUAUUGUUUGUUCUUUUCUUCUGAGACUUAUGUCAGUUAUUAGAGUUUGGGCCAGUAUGUAAAGUUCACCUUUCAUUUCAUCUAUCUAGCCAUAUGAUCUUGAAUAGCUAAUCCAUCUUGUGCAUCAUCUCUAGCCUAUAAGGGAGUAAGAUGACCUCUUUAUAUACUCAAUGAGAAGCAUUCGCCAACCACUAAUUAGCUCCUAGCGCACACAACAAAAAGAAUGAACUAACGACCACAUGAUACGAAAACGUCACUCAUGUUUGUAACUAAUGCAGAUUCUAUCGUCGCAAAGACAGAUCAGAUGAAACUCCACCUUUCCCGCUUGCUGCUUCUGAUCUUGAUUCUGAUCCUGUAGUAGUUAAGGAUACGGCUGCCAAUAACAUAUUAUUCCCUUAAUAAAGCAGCAGGGGGCAGAAGCUUCUUUUUCUUCGUAGGGGUUUACAGACACAGCCGAUUCCCUAAUUGCCCCAUGCUAUACUCAAUGAGACUCUAUUCUUUCUACUGUUCCUUUUCCUUUAUACCUAACAGCCAGCUUAUUAGAUACAGACAGCACUGCCAGCUUAUUAUCGGCUUCAACUGAAAGUCAUUAUUAAGCUUCUUCCCAUUUCUGUAGGAUCAAAGUCGACAACACAAGAUUCAAGUCGCUAACUCUUUUCGGCAGUUUAGAAUUCCAUGAAACAAUUCCAUUCUUUAUCGGGGAAAUAACCAACAAUGAAAUUAUGUAUUUGGAGGCACCGGAUAUAGGCAUGAGUAAAGACACUGAACGCACAGGGACAAGCACUUCUGGACCAAUACUGGAAUCUGGAACUACACUUUCCACUGCUUCUUCAAAUGGUGUUGGAGUGGAGUAUAUCAAUUAGUAAUAUGAAAAGGAUCUAUACCCAGGCUCGCUAACAGAGCUGUUUCUUCUCAAGUCGACAACACUAAUUGACUUUGCGCUUACAGCUUCCUUUAGUACUGCUUAUUCUCCCCCACUCUUGCUUCUGCCUUUGUCCUAACCCUAUUUGGAUAGUGAAAUAAGGGUUCUUUGAUAGUGAAAGUAAGCGUUCAGCUGCCUCUGCUCUAUAUGAGUAGGUGUGUGACCUCUGUUCUAUAUGAGUAUAGUGUAUCAAACUCGUCAACUUCAUAGCUUACACUGCUUAAAGAAAUGAAUCUGUAACUUAGAAGGGGAACUCACACAUCAAUCUCUGACUCUCGGAUCCAGCUGGGUUAGUCCGAUAAUUUGUGUCGAACCUUGCUUGGGCUGGCUUGGCUCUAAGAAGAAGAUAUAGUAGAUGAAAGAGGCUCCACGCUAUAACAGUGAAAAGAUUUAGCAGGUUAAGAACUUCAAGUUUAGAAUAGGUCGGCUCAAAGGCAAGUAAGGGAUCCACCAACCAAGGUAAGAAGCAUAAGCUAGAUAAGAUUAUGUAUAAAGUGGAGUUUACUUUAGAUAAUGUCAGAAUUUCCGUUUAUAGCUUAGUCUAUAAUUCAGUGACAGGGAGUACAUUCCUUCCCUACCCGGAGACAUAGUCCGCAAGUGGUUUAAGUGCUUGUGUCUAAGGCUUCUUUAAGUAGAGUUCUAGACUAAAGUAGAGUAGAGUUCCAGUUCUCAAGUAGUCUACGAGAGAAUCAGCAAUUACUGGCUUUGAAGAAGAAGCUUUAUCAAAAUCAGAAGCAGUUUCAAGAGAAGUAGCAGAAUAUCUUACUGGCUACGCAGGGUGUUGGGCAUCAUAUCUUACUGACUUUUCAAGUUGAAGCUAGGUGUGGUCCACGUCGUCGAUUGAAGCACGGUGACACUGAAUACGAGUUAUUAAGUUCCAGAAGAGAGAGACGCCGCUCCACUCUUUUUGGUAGUGUUCCAUCCUUGUUAGCAGUGGUUUCCUUCUUUGUUUGACCUUAGACUCCUUUCUUCGAUUCUGACUUUGGAGCUUACGGACUGACGCUACACUCUUUUGGUUUGAUUCUUUGUUUCUACCUUGAUUCUUAUACCUAUGAGCUCGAUUCUACGCCUAUGGGAAAAGAAAGGCUAUCCGCCAGCACUCGCCCAUUAUGGGACUGUUGAGUUGGACUCCCUAUGGUUGGACUACCCUUUUGUAUUCCUAUUAGUCUCAUGCGCUAGUAGCUCGGACCCGACCCUUAUUCUUAUCCCCAUGGUCGAAAGACGGCAAUUGAAUAAGUAGAGGCGAGAAGUCAGCCUAAAAGCGAGGGCUGCUUUAGAUGCCUGAGAUUCCAUAAUAUAAGUUGGAAGGGAAAGUCAGUAAGUUACAGUUCCAAAGUUCUCCUGUUCCUGUUCGAGUUAUAGUGUUUUCUUAUAAGGAAUACAGUAACCAAGGAGAUAUAAAGGAAGUAGGUAACACCAAAGUGAGUUGAACCAAUUCCAAAUUCUAAAGAGAAUCACCAAAACUCGAGAAACCGAAUUCAUGCCUUGUUUUUUGUUUGUUGCUAUACACUUAACACUAAGCAACUCCACGCCAAAAAGGUCUCGAUCAAGGGCCUUCCGCCUUCUCGUGCCACAGCUCUAAUCCGAAUGGCUUCAACUAUGAACGCAAUUUCCAGUUCGAGCAAGAGCCGUUUGUUUUUCGAGAAAAUCCAGAAACUAGAAAACGGAUCGUCGUUAAGUCCGGCUUGCAGAACCGUCUUUCGGAUAACUAUAAGUGUGAGUCGGUUAGCUCCUUUUUCUGUUGCUGUAGUUGGUCGAUAAACACUCCUAUAUUUCGUAAUGAAAGACUUAAUUCAGUGAGCUUGGUACCGCCUGUUCAAGGGGUUGGAGGAGAUCAAACCCAAGAGAGGCCCGAGCACAACGUCUUCAUGAGUUAAGUGUUCCCACCUUGGGAGCUGAGAGUCAGGCCUGCAUUAGUGGAAUAUCCUUUACAGCCUUCCUUUAUCCGACCAGACAACUAUUCUAGUUCCACUUUUGAUACCGGGCAGAGCAGCUAAAGUGGCUUCAGCCUCUUUCUUUUGGCAGUUGCUUGCGAAGAAUUUGGGUAUUACUUAUCCUAGCUCAGAUAGAGCACUUGAGAGAGAAUUCGAAUAGUAGGGUUUGGAUCGUAAGCACAAUGGACUCGCUGCCUUAUCUGUCAUAUAGGAAUAUCGAUAGCGAGCAGUACCCAUCGGUUGCAGCUAUAAUCGUUUGCAGCUAGUACCCAUCGUUUGCAGCUAUAAGUAUAGAGCUCGUUCUUUUCUUACUUACCCGACGGUCGGAACUUUCAAAGGAUUCUCCCCAUCUAAAGAGCACUUCGUUCCUAAUAAAUGCAGACGGAAAGGUAGGACGGACCAGUGGAAGACUUAUGUCGAGAAGAACGUAGUGGCUUGUUGGCACAGAUGCCUUAAUUGAUCUUGUUGGCACAGAUGCCUUAAUGGAGAAUUGCAUCCAUCCAAUUAUGCACUUAAGAGAUUGACAGUCCUCCGCUCAGGCAAAGAAAAAACCGAAUCUUAUUAUACUUAUAUUGGAUCCAAAUUGAGAAUAGAACCUAAAGGUUGGUGGAUCAUGGUUCUACUAAGCGCCCUUCACCCCUGGUCCUUCUCAUAUGUCUUAUACUGGAAUGGCAUUUUUCUUAGGGUAAGUUCUUUGUCAAUAAAUUGGAUGCCCUAAGACGUAAUCAAGCCUUGCCUUUUCUUUUUGUUCUCGAUCUCUUCUCUUUAGAACUUAUAAAUAGCACGUAAGCAUGACAAAGGAUGGGAGCGGUGAUUGACCAGAAACAUUCUGUAAAAACAGAAAAGAGUAUCUUGCUGGAAUGGAUUUCAAAGAGCAAUCGUAAGGCCCACCAAUCUAACGCCGACAAGUGGUAAGACUAUCCCUCGUAAGACCGACAUUCCUCAUUCACUUCGAGGUGUGGCGCUAACUAGGCAUUCAACGAAAACGGAAUUAGUGCUUAACUGAAACUCCCC
rnacentral:lncRNA from 1 species